rnacentral:lncRNA from 1 species
GAGUGUUACAUGGAAGAAUAUGGCGUAACAGCACAAGAGGCAUAUGAUGUAUUCACCAAGCAUGUUGAGAGUGCUUGGAAGGAUGUAAAUCAAGAGCUUUUGAAACCAACAGAAAUGCCAACCGAGGUUUUGAACCGUAGCCUAAACCUUGCAAGGGUGAUGGAUGUACUUUACAGGGAAGGCGAUGGCUAUACAUAUGUUGGAAAAGCGGCUAAGGGUGGAAUCACUUCAUUGCUCAUUGAACCAAUUGCACUUUGAAAUUAUGUUAAUUUUUCCUCUCCAAGCUUGUUUCCUAAGAAAUAGUUAUUAAGUUCUAAUUAAUAAUGUUUUAUAAUAUUCAUAUAUUAUAAAAGAAAGUCCAAAUCUAUUAUCUUUGUACUUAUUGCCUUAUAUUAAUUCAAUAAAGUUCUUUCCAAACUUUUCAUUGUGAAUAUCUUCUAUUUUAUAUAUUAAUUGAUUUUUUUAUAUAUUUUUUUGGUAUAAAAUAAUAUGUAAUAUAAAAAUAAGAUCAGUUAUAAAUACCCGAAUUAAGAUUAAAAAAAAUCCACUAAACACUACCACCUAAAGUUUAUUAAGAUAAGUUUUGAAUUAUUUAUUUAUUUAUUUCGGUAUAUCAUUAACUUUGAAAAAUAAAAUAUUUGAGAAAUUAUUUUAUGAAUCUUUCCCACUACAUCAUUUAGGGUUUAUUUCCAUUUUUGGUAUAAUGACAUUUCAGCAACUUUUUCCAUAUCAUUAACAAAAUUUUGGUAUUUUUUUUAACCCUAAACCUUGAACCAUGAAUCUUAAAUCCCAAACCAUAAACCUUGAAUCUAAAACCUUAAAUCCCAAACCCUGAACGUUGACCUCAAACCCUAAACCUAAAUAUCAAACUCUAAACCCAAACUCAAACUUUAAAUCCCAAACUCGAAUCUUGAACCUUGAACCUUAAAUCCUAAAUUCUAAACCUUGAACAGUUUCUAGUUUGGGGUUCAGGGUAAAAUAAUUACCAAAAUUAUAUGUCAGUGACAUGAAAAAAUUACUAAAAUAUCAUUAAAUAACUGGAAAUGGACCAUAAAUAAUAUGAUCAGAAUGAUCCAUAAAAAAAUUUCUCCAAAAUAUCGAAUAUUAAUUUCCACUUAAAAGUCAACAAAUAUAUAACCAAUCCCAAAAAAUCAAUAGUGAAAUUCAAAUUUGUGUUACACAAUAUGUUGCAUCACAUGUAAUAAAUAUUGUAAAAAGAUAAACGUCUUUUUUAAGGAAACUAUCAAAUUUAACCAUUAGUAGAUGAUAAAAGUUUUUGUAAUCAAAUAAAUUAUAUUAUAAUUUAUGUUAUACAAAAUUUGGUAAUAAAAUAAAAUAUAUUAUAAUUUAUGUUAUACAAUGUAGUAUAAUAUAUAAAAAUAUUGUAAUGUUGUAGUAUAUUUUGUAAUGACUAUUUUCACCAACCAAAAUAUAUUAUUUAAAUUUGAAAUAACGUAAAUGUUAAGUUUCUAAUAUAUAAUAUUAUAUAUGUACGUAUGUAUGAGUCAAGUACUGACGGCUACCAAAACAAAAUGUUUUAAAUCAAAGAAAAAAAAAACAAUGAGUAUAUUAUAUUAUUAGUCACUAAAUUAUAAGUAAAUUUUUAUUUUGGUCACUUAAUUAAAAAAGUUACAAAUUAAUUACAAAUGUUUUCUAGAUUUUUUUUUUGGUCACUUGACUAUUAAGUGACACUUUUUAGUUAGUAUAAUUACAAGUUUGGUCCUUGAUUUUUAUACUUUAUGUCAAUUUGACCCUAAUGAUGUAGUCGUAAACCAACUAAAAAUCUGACUAAGGCAAGUGUACCUAUCAAUUAAUAGUAUAGCUACGGUGAGCAAAUAUAUCGUUCCCACGAUGACUAAAAGUAGUAGAAAUUACUAUCUUUGUAUUAUUUAAUCGAUAAAUUCGAAUGAUUGAUUGAAAAUUAAAAUUAUCUAAACUAAUUGCUAAUGAACACGAUAAAAAAUAAUUAAGGAAAAUAAACGAUUAACAACCAAGAAGCGAAACAAUACCCAAGAAAGAAUUCACCUAGGUUUCAUCUGUUAUUAUCAAUCUAAAUUACGUAAUUUCUUCACUUUGUAUCUUGAUCUGUAGAAAUCCCUAAAUUAUGUUAAUAUCUCUCUUCAAGACUAAGAGCAACUGACUCUAGGUUGAUUAAUUGAAAUUUCUUUCUAAUUAAAACCCAUAUUACUGCAUUAACUCAAUCUAUGAAUCCCCCUAUUAGAUUUCACUCUACUGUAAUAUAUUUAUGUCGUCCUGUUUCUAGGAUUGCAUGCAACUUCACUCAAUUAUGCUAGAUCUACUUUUAGACAAGGUAUAUUCCUCAUCUGAUUUAAGCACAUCAAACAUGAAUUAAUAAUUUAGAAAUAUCAAACUAAGAAUUAAGCACACAUAAUUGAGAACAAGUGCAAUACCCCGAAAAUUUACUACAUUAAGAAAGUAAUAUAAUAUCCCUGAUAUAGUAAAAUAAGGAAAUAAAGUGAAAAAGGGGUAAUUUUGAGUUAUGUCAACAUUGGGAAGUAUAUUAUGACAUAUUAAUUCAAGAAAGGAUUAAAUCGUAAAAGUGAGAAAAGUUUUGUUGCCCAAGAGUAAAUAUUCAAAAUUUGAGGGGUUAAAAUGUAAAUAUGAAAAAGUUGAAGGACCAAUAGUGUAAAUAUUUUAAGGGUGGAAUGAUCUAGAAAUUAAGGAAAAUGGAUGAAUUGGGACCAAAUUGAAUAGGUGAAGAAUUAUGAGGACUAAAUCAUAAUUUUACCAAAUUAAGUGAUGACUCAAGGAUGAAAUUUUAAAAGAUCAUAAAGGGCAAAAUGGUGAAUUAGAAGAAAGAGAAAUCUAGAAGAAAAUGAUGAUGUUGGAGAUAUUUUAGAUUAAAUAAAUAAAUAAAUAAAUAUUAGUUUAUUAAUAUUUUAAUUUGAUUUUUAAAUGAUAUUUUAUUAUUUUAUUAUUAUUCUAUUUAGUAUAUAUAUGGAAGGAAAGAUGAAGAAUCAUCUUCUUCUUCCCAUGCAUCAAUGUAUGAAGAGAAAAGAAAGAAAGAAACUUUCUUUUCUUUACAAUUUGGUCCUUUCACCAAAUAUUCGCCAUUUUCACUUAGAAAUCAAAAAAAUUUCCAUAUCCAUCAAGAGAGAAAGAUAACAAGGAGACUAUGGGGAGUUAGAAUAUCAAGUUAGAUUCAAGCAAUAGAAGCUGGGGGAGAAAGAAAAUCAAGUUAAAGUUUGAAACUAAGAGGACAAGAUAAGAACAUCAAGAUUUCAAUAUAUUUUGAAGUUUGAUAUUAUUGAAAAAGCAUGAAAAUGAUGUUAUAGUAAAGUUUUCUUAUAUAAGAUCUUAUGUUCUUGAUAUAUUAGUGAAGGGAAAUAAGUGAAAGUGAUGGGAAAUAUUAUAGAGAAAGGGAAUAAGGGAGUUAUAAACUUAGUAAUCAACAUCUUGCACUAAAACAGUUUUGGACAGAAGUAGUACGUUAAAUUUGAAAAAUCAUCAUAAAUCGUAGAAAUCGAAUUAGAGGAUGAAAAAAUAUGGAAUUAAAGCUUAUUGAGUCUAGUUUUUCAUAAAAGAAACAGUGUAAGUAAUAGAAUUGUAAAUCAUGAGAUAUAAUAAAUUUUUUGAGACAAGGUCAGAAUGAAUUCGGGUUUCCCUAUUCUGACUUUGGAAAAUAAUUAAAAAUUGUAUAAAAAUAAUUGUGGGUUAUAAUUUAUAUGUUUAAAAUUAUUAAUGAAUCUACCCUCAGUAAAAACAAAUGGGAACAUCAUCCAAAUCUCGUACGAGGAGAUAAUUAAUUUUUAGUGAAGAAGGGUUGAAACUGUCAGACAGCAGAACAGGGAUGCCUUUAAAGAAUAAACUAUACUUAUUGGCUAAACCAUAAAUUCUGAAAAGUUUAUGGUAAGAAUAUAUGUGAGUUUAGUUUCAUAUAAAUUUAGCAGAUCUUAAUUUGGAGUUCCGUAGCUCAAGAUAUAAAUAAUUUAGUGACCAUGACUCAAGUGGACAGCUUUGAAUGAACAUAUAAAUAAAUAGUGAAAUUAUAGAUAAUGUUACAUAUAAGCAUGUUAUAAACAUUAAGGAUGUGGAAUGGAGAGGAAGAGGAGGAAAAUAUAUGAUUAUUCAACUAGCAUGAGUUUUCAUUAAAAAUGGCUAAUUUGCAUGCUUUAGGUUUAGGGACUAAAUUGAAUAAAAGUAAAAUUUUAAGGGUAGAUUUGUAAAAAUAUCAAAAAGUGACCAAAUUGAAUGAAAUAUUAAUUUAGAUCUAGAUUGGGUGGAAAUUCGAGGAAAAUAAAAAUUACCAAAAUGUCCUUGAAUUUUGGUAUUUUUGCAAUUUAGCCUGGUAAGUUCGUAUGAACUAUAUUCUGUAUAAUUUUAAUUAAAGUGAAUGUUAUUUGGUGAUGAAUAUUAUAUAAAUAUGUGUUUUAUUAUUGGAAUUGAAUUAUUAUUGGUAAUAUGUAUAAUUAUUAGAUGCAUUGAAAUUAUUAUCGGAAGCUCGAUUGGGUUGGAAGCUUGUCGGAGAUAUAUCACACUAUCCAUUGGUUCUAUCGGUAAUUUUGGAUGAUUUGAUUCUGGUUAUAAUGGAAUGUAUAAGUUAAAUUGGCCAACGUUAGCUCAUUAAUGUUUAGAUUUUAAUUGGUUAUAAAUAUGAAUGCUUGAUAAAAUGAAAUGUCUGUAAAUUAAUUUGUAAACUCCAGUAAUGCUCUAUAACCCAAUUUUGGCGAUGGAUACGGGUUAGGGGUGUUACAACAAGAUCCAAGUAUUUAUUGCAUAAAAAUAGAAAUCAAAUAACAGAAUCUAUCUUAGGGUUCAUCUCCCUAGGUAUUUUGAAAAUUAGUUCAUGAUAACAAAUAAAAACAUUCCAAAGACAAUAUAACCACAAGAAAUAAAGAAACUCUUAAUAAACUUCAAAGAAAUCAAAAGGAGAUCUUUAAUCCUGAUGGAAAUUUGCUUCAGAGUCAGCUUCAAUGGUGUUUUUCGAGUUAUUUUCUUGAGUAUUUAAUGAUAGUCCUCUCCCAUCUUCUUAUUUUUGUCAUGUAUAGGUCUUAAAAUGUUCGAAAAACCUAUAAAAAAAUUUCUCGCGAGUUUGGAGUGCGAUUCGCUAUUUCCACACGGGUUGGCACAUGACCGUGUGGCAACUCAUGUGGCUUAGAUGGUCAUGUGUCCAGCCCAUGUAGAACGAUCUAGCUUGUGUGGCUCCUAAAACCUGUUCUGAUUUUCGCUCCUUUCCAAAUGCUCCCCUAAAUAUAAAAACAUGAAUUUAAAGGAUUAGGAAUAAAAAAUUCACCAUUUAAAUCGAAUAAUCAUCCAAAAACCUUUAAUGUGCUUUAUAUUAGUUUAAUUCUACUUUAUAAUUUGUUCAGGCAUGUAUUUGUGAUUAUACUAUAAUCACACCGUAUUGUACUUGUAAACUAAAACAAAAUUUAUAAUUUCAUAUUAUUUUUUUAAUAUUAGUUUUACAUCCUCACUCAUCAAGUAAAUUUGGGUUAUAAUUAUUUGAUUAUUGAGCUUCUGAAGAUGAAUUUUUUAGGCAUAAUGACUUAUUUGAUCUUUUAAAUUUUUUUUUAAAAAGUCAUUUUAGCCUUCCAUUUAAGUUUUUGUCUCGUUUAGCUGUUAAAUUUGCGUUUUCUACCAAAUCACCCUAAAAUGGAUUAAAAAGCUAAUAUAUGUUAACUUUGUUAGCAUGAUUGCCAUGUGGAUACUAUCUCAACAAUUAAUUUUUUUAAAAAUUUAAUCAUAAAAAAUCAAAAAUCCAAAUCCAAAUUAACCAAAACCCGAAAUAUUUUGAACUUAAAAUGAUUUUAACGAAAAAAGAAAUUAAAUCUAAAAUGAACCGACCAAAAAACCCAAAACCUCAUGUUUAAAUUAUAUGAAUUUAGAAUUAUUCAAAUCAAAAUUCUUAUUCCAAAAUUAUUCAAAUCUAAAAAUUUUAAACUAAAAUAUCCUAAAAAUGUUAAAACUCAGAAUUAAUUGUUCCAAAUCACCCGGCCGCUCAACUGAAUGAUCUAAUUAUAGGUAAUAAUUGAAGCUUGUUUAAUUACUAAUUGUUUACUAAUUGUUUUACGAUUUUUGUUAAGUUAAAAGAUAAUUUAUUAAUUUUAUAUGAUCCAACAUAGAGGUGCUCAUGGGUUGGGCGGCCCGGCCCGACGGCCCGCCCGAAAUUUGGGAGGGUUCGAGUAAAAAUAUAGGCCCGAAUUAUGGGCUUGGGCAAAAAAUAAGGCAAAAUUUUUUUGGCCCGGGCCCGGCCCGGCCCGGCCCAGAUCUAAUUAAUAUAUAUUUUAUUUUUCAAUUUUAUUAUUACAGUUACAUUUCCCAAUUCCCCUCCCCAUUUCCCAUUUCCCGACCCCGUGUAUCUGUAAAUCCUUAACCCCUUCCCUCCUCCCUUUUUUUCCCCCAAAUCGAAAACCCACCUCCACCGAUCCACCAUUCCACCUCCGGUGUCCGGUCCUCCACAACUCCACCUCCACUCUAGCCUUCAACGUGGUAGAAUUUCAAAGGUAAGUUUGCUUUUAACCCUAUUUCUUGUUAACGGUUUUCUAAUUUUUCAACGUCUUCUCCCCUUUUUGCUUUUUGAUUUUGAUUGUGAUUUUGAUUUUUGCUGUUAACGAUUUUCUGAUUUUGAUUUUGAGACACUGAAUCUUGGGGGAUUUUGAUUGUGUUUACACUUUACAUAUUGUUCUAUUUUUUUUUAGUUCUUUUGCGGAUUAAUGUGAUUUUCUUUUCUUGAAUGAUGAUUGUUCUUUUGUUGCAAAUUCGUUCUUUUAUUAAAACCGAAAAAGGAAGAAAAUCAAUAGAAUUGGAUUUAGGGUUUAUGGAAUCUAAAAAAACUGAAAAAAUAACCCUCCAAAUUGACUGCUUAAAUUAAACUAAACUAAUAUGUCACUGUCAUUAACAACAAUUUUCAUUUUGGAUGAGAAUUAAGAGCAAAAUUGUAUUAUUCAAUUAUUAUUGGAUGAGAAUUGAUUUAUGUUUUAUAGAACAUGUAAUUUGCAGGGCUGAAUUCUGAGAUCACAUACAAGUAUAUUUUUUCUGCUUCUUUCAUGCAUGCUGGUUCACAAACAGUAGGUGGUAGCCUCGUUAAGGCUUGUGGUAGCUUGGGUGCUAUUAAACAAGGUAAGCAAGUUCAUGGAAACUUUUUAGUAUCACCCUAUUUUGAUGAUGAUGUUGUUAAGUCAUCUUUGGUUGAUAUGUAUGCAAAAUGUGGAUUACCUGAUGAUAGUCGUUUAGUUUUCGAUUCUAUUAAGUUGAAAAAUAUGGCUUCUUGGACUGCUAUCAUAUAUGGCUAUGCUAGAAAAGGAAGAAAAGAAGAGACUUUGGAGUUGUUUUUAAGGGUUCACCUGAAAAAUUUGUUUGCUUGGACUGCUUUGAUAUCUGGGUUAAUACAGAGUGGAAAUGGGGUUGAUGCAUUUGGCUUGUUUGUUAAUAUGAGAAGGCAAGGGAUUAUUAUAAUUGACCCUCUUGUGCUUUCAAGCAUUGUUGGUGCCUCUCCUCAUUUAGCGAUGUUGGAAAUAUAAGUUUUACUUAAAAUCAAAAGUUAGUUUUUUUCUUUCUUUCUCUGAUCUUUACUGUAAAUAUAAGUUUGAUCUAUUGUAGUUAAAUAACUAGUUUAUUAUACUGUUUUAACAUAUUGUUUUAAUAUAUUGUUUUAGUAUACUGUUAUAAAUAUACCAUUUUAAUAUAAUGUUUUAAUAUACUGUUAUAAAUAUACUGUUAUAAAUAUACUGUUUUAGUAUACUGUUAUAAAUAUACUGUUUUAAUAUACUGUUAUAAAUACUACACCUUAAUUAUUAAUGUAAUAUACUGGUUUAAUAUAUUAUUAUAAAAUUUGUAAUAUACUAUUUUAAUAUAUUGUUAUAAAUUAUCACAGUGAGACCAGUUAAAUUAUCAUAGUUGUCGAAAUCGUUUUUUGAAAAACAAAAAUUUAGUUGUCGACUUUAAAAAUAAAAUUGGAGUCGCCACUGAUCCUUUAUUAAGGUGUGAUCGGCUCACCUUAAAAAUUAUUUUGGUCUACGAAUUUUGAGAAAACGAGUUCGGGAGUCAGUUACGUACGAGGAAGGGUUAGCACCCUCGUAACGCCCAAAAUCGGUACCAAAUUGAUUAUUUGAUGUCUUGGUGUCGAAAGUUAAAAAAGAUUUUAAAAUAAGCUUGAAUGAUGAAAUUUGAAAAAUGAUAAUCAAUUGUUCAAGUCAUGUAAAGAAACUGAGUCCCAAUACGUUAGGGUACAAUUCCUCAUAAUCCCCGAACUUUGAAUAUCACUUUUAUUUUAUGCAAAAAUCUUCAUUUCGAGAAAGUAACAGGCCACACCCAAUACGUUAGGGCACAACAAGUUAAGUUCCCAAAAAUGAUUUUUAUGCUCAUGCAUUUUGAAUAAAGAAUAUUCUCAGUCAUUUAAGAUUGACAAAGAAAAUCAGAACCCGAUACGUUAGGGCUCAAUUUUCCUCGAAAAUCCCAAACUUCAAAAAAUGCUUUUAUUCAAAAAACCUUUAAAUCAAGAAAAUAACUUUGAUGAAUGGUUAAAACUAAAAUGUAUUUUUAAAAGGGUACGUUAAAAAAGUUAAUGUACAAUGUGGUACAGAUACUUUAAUUCACAACAUAUACGAAUAAAUAUUUACAAAUAUAUAUAUACAAAUAUAAUAUAACAAUAAAGUUGCAAACAUAUGUACACAUAUAUCAAAAACACAUAUACAAGUAUACAUGCAAAUAGAAGAAAUGAAAUAUAUCCAAUAAAACAAACAAAAAACAUGUAUAAAAAGAAAAUAAAAGUAUAAAAGAAAAUGCAUAUGUAUAUAUUUUCAGAAUAAAGGAAAAAUAUAUAAAAAAUAAGAAAAUAAAAUAAGGAUAUAAGGAAAAACGUAUGUAUAAAUAUAUGCAUGUAUAUAUUAUAUAAAACAAAUGCGCAUGUGUAUGUAUUUUACGAAAAACAUUUUUUGAAAAUGAAAUUCACAAAAUAUAUGUUUUGUAAAAAAUAUGAAAGAAAAAAAGAAAAUUAUAUAUAUAUAAAAUGUGCAUGUAUAGAAAACCAAUAUAUGUAUAGAUAUAUAUAUUAUAUAAACGUGUGUAAAUGUAUAAGAAUACUAGAAAAACUAAAAAAAAAAUGACUAAUGAAGGAUUAAAUCAAAAAGAAUCUUAAGGGCCGAAUUUAAAAUAAAAUUUUAAAAAAGGGGCCACUUGAAUGCGCGCGUAACAGUGGAGGACCAAAAAGGAAAUAUGCCCAUUGAUCCCACGGCACCGUUUCGACGUAAUCUACAGUCCUGGUUGAUGAACCAAAUUGAAACAGGCGCGAAAUUUUGUGGCAAAAUUGCAAACGUGCGAAAUACUACAUUUAAAAUCAAAAUAAAAUAGGAAGGACCGGACGUGCAAAUAUCCCAUAUGACGUCAGAACGCGCGAAUCCUCCCCUCCGGGUCGGGUCACCGCGCAGGUCUGGCCAUUCAAAACGGCGUCGUUUUGAUCUGUUAUUUAAAACAGAAUUUUCUUUCUAAAACCAUUUUAACAAAAUGAAAAUAAAUAAAUCAAUAAAUCCCCCCCUUUUGCUCUGCUAGGGUUUCACCCCUAGCGUCCUCGCGCUGCCGCUCGCCUGGCCAACGCUCCGAUCGCGACGGAGGUGGCCACCGAUCCGGCAUUCUCAACGAAUGGGGUAAGAUCCUUUCCCUUGCUUUUAUUUCUAAAAAAACGCAAAAAGAAAAGAGAAAUAUAAAAACAACAGAAUGGAACCCGAUUCACCUUUUUAAAAACUUUGUAUUUUUAAUAUUUUUCUUUUGUAUUUCUCUGUAUCCACUCUCUGUUAUCCCCCUUUUACAAAAUAACAGUGGCUUUAUAUAGCCCAAAAACUAUUUGUUGCUUUUUAUUUUACACUAUAUUUUCGCGGAUGGACUCUCUGAGUCCGUGUUUGCAGGCGAGAGUGGAUCAAAUGGCGCGCGUGGAGAGGUCAGCCCUGAGACGUGUGGCGCUUGGAAAGGCUGCUGAAGGCGGGGAGGCUGCGACGCUCGCUUGCUGGUACUAUUUUAGGUGUAUUGGGCUAGGGUUUAGGUUGGGUAGUGUAUUGGGUCUUGUUCAUUAGCUUGGGCCUGAGUGUUAUAACGUGAAAUGGGUUUUAGAUUGAGCCUGGGCCGAUUGGGCCCUAUUACAGCUGCCCCUCUUUGCUCAUUGUCGUGUAACGGGAAUAGAGCAAAGACUACAGGGCCCAAUUGUCCCUUGUCUUGUGGAGCCUCAACUUCUUCAAUGCUUCUCUUCUUUAGGUAGCCACGUUCCUUCCUGCUGCAUCUUCAGGGGUAUAGGCACUGGUGCUCCAAUCUACUCCACUGCAAUGUCGGGGAGAUAGGAUUUGUAUGCUGUAGCUUCUUAAAAGGACAAAAUUUGCUAUUUUUAAUCUGCUCCACUGCAACUUCAGGAAGAUAAGACUUGUAGCUUCAAUUUGUUCUGCUACAACUUAAAGAUAAAUCUUGGCGCGAUCUGCUCUGCUGCAACUUCAGAGAGAUGAGAUCUGUGGUUUUAAUCCACUCCAUUGCAACUUCAAGGAGAUAGGAUUUGUUACUUCUGUCUGCCCCACUGCAAUUUCAGGGAGAUAAAACCAGAUAUAAUUUGCUCUCUGCGACUUUAGAGUAAUGGGAUCUGCUGCGCUUGAUCUACUUCACGCCAAUGAAGACAAGGUCUGUUCUCUUCGAUCUACUCCACCACCAGUAUGGGGAGACAAGAUCUGUUGUCUUUGAUCUACUUCACGCCAAUACAUGAAGACAAGAUCUACUUUUUCCUUCGAUCUACUUCGCCACCAGUAUGGGAAGACAAGAUCUGUUGCCUUUGAUCUACUUCACGCCAGUACAUGAAAACAAGAUCUGCUUUCUUCGAUCUGUUUCGCCACCAGUAUGGGAAGACAAGAUCUGUUAUCUUUGAUCUACUUCACGCCAGUACAUGAAGACAAGAUCUGCUUUCUUCGAUCUGUUUCGCCACCAGUAUGGGAAGACAAUAUCUGUUAUCUUUGAUCUACUUCACGCUAGUACAUGAAGACAAGAUCUGCUUUCUUUGAUCUGCUUCGCCACCAGUAUGGGAAGGCAAGACCUGUUACCUUUGAUCUACUUCAUGCCAGUACAUGAAGACAAGAUUUGUUUUCUUCGAUCCGCUUCGCCACCAGUAUGGGAAGGCAAGAUCUGUUAUCUCUGAUCUACUUCACGCCAGUACAUGAAGAAAAGAUCUACUUUCUUUGAUCUGCUUCGCCACUAGUAUGGGAAGGCAAGAUCUGGUAUCUCUGAUCUACUUCACGCCAGUACAUGAAGACAAGGUCUGUUCUCUUCGAUCUACUCCACCACCAGUAUGGAGAGACAAGAUCUGUUAUCUUUGAUCUACUUCACGCCUGUACAUGAAGACAAGAUCUGCUUUCUUUGAUCUGCUUCGCCACCAGUAUGGGAAGGCAAGAUCUGGUAUCUCUGAUCUACUUCACGCCAGUACAUGAAGACAAGAUCUGUUAUCUUUUAAUCUGUUCCACUGCUGCUCAGGGAGAUAAGGAUUUAUGAUUCCACCGACCUGUUCUCUGUGGACAAUGACCUGUAUGAUGAACCUAAUUAUGCCUAGUGAUUAGGAUAUCAUGAUUGGAAUGAAUCACAUGCUCCUAACUAGGCGUGUAUGAAUGACAUCUAAAUGCUAUGUCAUGAAAAUGAUUCAUUAAUACUAAAUAUUGAAGUCGUUAUUACUCAUUAAGGCUUUCUUUGUGAUAACAACGCUUCGAAAAAACUCAAAAAUUCUUGAUCCGGCUUUUUACUCCUAUAUAUCUUCGACCUUUUAACCCGGUGAAGUCUAAACAAUAGUCCUGCUUCAGGUUCUUGUAUUAUUUAGAAAUUUCCAGAGUAAUAUGAAAAACUUCCCUUGUGAAAGUUUUAUUAGUCCAUUAAUCGUUAUUCUAAUGCAACAUGCUUUCGAAAAGAUCAUAACGAUGGAUAAAACGAAAUUGACUUGAGAUCAUAACUUGCAAUAAAUUAUUAAUGAAAACAAGUCAAAAAAAGAAAUUGACUAAAACACUUAUAUUGAAAAAGAAUGAAGUGUUUUGGAAAUACAAAUUAUGGACAAGUGCCCCAGAUAUCUUUGCUUGAAUUGCUCUAUACAACUUUCUAAGGACCCUUCUGAAUUCAACACGUGUUUAGGAGAUUCAUAGUAUUUUGUUGAUGCCCCAAGAUGUCAUCUAUUCCUUUCUGCCGAUUUAGGUACAACAAGACUACCACGUGCUUCAAUCAGACUUUGAGCCGUCCUUGUCAGGUUUUCAACUCAAACCCCUUUGGUCUUAAGGUGCCCUUUGCGGGUUUUCACCCUAGCCUCUCCGUUUUUUUUUUUGGAAUCAAAGCGCCCUUUGCGGGUUUUCACCUUGGUUCCUUCCCUUCUUCAAGUAAAGUAUCUCUUGACCGAAUCUGAAUUUACUGGAUUAGGCAAGUUUCUUCCAUCCAUUUCAGCCAGGAUCAGGGCUCCUCCAGAAAAGGCCUUUUUUACAACAUAAGGACCCUCCCAAUUCGGCAUCCAUUUCCCCCUAAAAUCUUUUUGUAAAGGAAGAAUUUUUCUCAACACCAAGUCCCCCUCGUGAAAUUCUCUGGGUCGGAUCUUCUUGUUGUAGGCUCGCAUCAUUCUUUUCUGGUACAUCUGACCAUGCUGAAUAGCCUUUAGCCUUUUUCCCUCUAUCAAGUUCAACUGAUCGUAUCGAGAUUGAACCCAUUCUGCUUCAUCCAAUUGUAGCUCAGUCAAAACCCGGAGAGAAGGGAUUUCAACUUCGAUGGGCAAGACUGCCUCCAUGCCAUAAACUAAGGAGAAAGGCGUUGCCCCGGUGGAGGUCCUGAUUGACGUUCGAUAAGCAAUGAGGGCAAACGGUAAUUUCUCGUGCCAGUCCCUAUAAGUCUCAGUCAUCUUCCCCACAAUUUUUUUAUAUUUUUAUUAGCCGUUUCCACUGCACCAUUCAUUUUUGGGCGAUACGGCGAUGAAUUGUGAUGUCUGAUCUUGAAUUGACUGCAGACUUCUGCUAUUGAGCUGUUGUUCAGGUUCAGCGCAUUGUCAGAUAUGAUUCUUUCAGGCAUUCCAUAUCGACAUAUGAUCUCCCUUUUCAAGAACUUACUGACUGAUGACUUUGUAACGUUAGCAUACGAAGCAACUUCUACCCAUUUGGUGAAGUAGUCAAUAACCACAAAUAUGAAACGAUGCCCAUUUGAAGCCUUCGGCGAUAUUGGCCCGAUGACAUCCAUACCCCACAUGGAGAAAGGCCAUGGAGAAGUCAUGACAUGAAGAGGCGAAGGACGUGCAUGCAUUUUAUCACCAUAGAUUUGACAUUUAUGGCACUUUUUGGAGUAAUUGAUGCAAUCCCCUUCCAUGGUGGACCAGUACUACCCGAAUCUCAUAAUCUGUCUAGCCAUUGUGAACCCACUGGCAUGCGUUCCACAGAUGCCCUCAUGGACUUCCUCCAGGAUUUUCUUUGCUUCCACGGCGUCCAUACAUCUUAACAGUACCUGAUCUUUUCCCCUCUUGUAUAAGAUCUCCCCAUCUAAGAUGUAAUCAAUGGCUAGUCUUCUCAGAGUUCUCUUUUCAUUCUCCGUUGCCUGACCAGGAUACUCACGGUUUUUUACAUAUCGCAGUAUAUCUUGAUACCAGGGGAUAUCAUUGAUUUCUUCUUCUUCGAUAUUGUAACAAUGAGCCAGAGCUUCGUAGAUACUCAUUUGGAUAGGCUUCAUGUCUUCUUGACGGUUCACUUUAAUCAUGGAGGCUAACGUAGCUAGGGCAUCAGCCAUCUAGUUCUCAUCUCGUGGGAGAUAGCAAAAAGUGAUGUCCUCAAACUCUUUAAUCAAUUCAAGGACCAGCUUUCAAUAAUUGACUAAUUUGGGAUCCCUCGUUUCCCAUUCACCCUUGAGCUGAUAUAUCACCAAUGCUGAAUCUCCAUAGACCUCUAGCACUUUGAUUCUUCGCUCUAUAGCUGCACGAAUACCCAUGAUGCAUGCUUCGUAUUCUGCCAUGUUGUUUGUACAAUCAAAAUCCAAUUUGCAAGUGAAAGGAUAAUGAUCACCAUUCGGGGACACCAGGACUGCCCCAAUUCCAUUGCCCACAGCGUUCGAGGCUCCAUCAAAGUUUAGCUUCCAACUGUGACCUUCUUGGGGAUUUUCUUCAAUAGCGGCUACUUACAACAAGUCCUCAUUCUGAAAAUCAAAACUUAACGGUUCGUAAUCUUUUAAUGCCCUGCUAGCCAGAAAGUCAGCUAUUGCGCUCCCUUUUACAGCUUUUUGACUCACAUAGACGAUAUCGAAUUUAGACAGUAAAAUCUGCCACUGGGCCAUCCUCCCAUUCAAAGCAGUUGACUCCAUCAUAUACUUUAACGGGUCUAACUUUGAAAUUAGCCAAGUCGUAUGGUAUAACAUGUACUGCCUUAAUCUUCGGGUUGUCCAAAUCAGGGCACAACAGAACUUCUCAAUGGGCGAAUAUCUCAUUUCACAGUCAGUGAAUUUCUUGCUGAGAUAAUAUAUUGCCCUUUCUUUUCUCCCCGUUUCAUCAUGCUGGCCUAGCACACACCCCAUGGAAUUAUCAAACACUGUCAAAUACAAUAUCAGCAGCCUAUCUGGGCUAGGUGGUGACAGCACCGGAGUAUUGGACAAAUAUUGUUUCACCUUGUUAAAAGCUUCUUCGCAUUCUUCAUCCCAAGUACCAGGGUUAUGUUUCUUCAAAAGAUGAAAUAUAGGGUCACAUUUCUGAGUUAGUUGUGAAAUGAACCUAGCGAUGUAAUUCAGUCUUCCGAGGAAACCUCGAACUUCUUUCUGAGUGCGAGGUGGAGGUAAGUCUCGUAUUGCAUUGACUUUGUCUGGGUCAAUCUCGAUUCCCUUUUCACAGACUAUGAAGCCUAGCAAUUUUCUUGACCUGGCCCCAAAAGUGCACUUCGCUGGAUUAAGCUUGAGUUGGAACUUUCAAAAUCUUAAGAAUAACUUUCUCAAGACCUGCACAUGUUCCUCCUCCGUUCUAGAUUUCACGAUCAUAUCGUCAACGUAAACCUCGAUUUCCCUGUGCAUCAUAUCAUGGAACAAGGCUACCAUAGCUCUUUGGUAUGUUGCUCCUGCGUUCUUUAAUCCAAACGGUAUUACUUUAUAACAAAACGUCCCCCAUAACGUAAUGAACGUAGUCUUUCUCAUGUCCUCAGGAUGCAUCUUUAUCUGAUUAUACCCAGAAACACCAUCCAUGAAGGAAAACAUUGAAAAGCCUGCCGUAUUGUCUACCAAUGUAUUGAUGUGGGGUAAUGGGAAAUUGUCUUUUGGACUAGCCUCGUUCAAAUCCCUGUAAUCCACGCACAUUCGUACUUUCCCAUCUUUCUUUGGAACUGGAACGAUGUUGGCCACCCACUCAAAAUACUUGACUUCUUGCAGAAAUCCAGCAUCAAACUGCUUUUGGACCUCAUCUUUUAUCUUCAACACGAUGUCAGGUCUCAUCCUUCUAAGCUUUUGCUGCACUGACUUGCAAUCCUCUCUUAUAGGAAGGUGAUGGACUACAAUGUCGGUACUCAACCCCGGCAUAUCUUGGUACGGCCAUGCAAACACGUCCUUGAACUCUCGGAGUAACUCGAGGAGGUCUUGUCUUGUCUUUGCAGAGAUAUUCGAUCCGACCUUCACCUCCUUUCCUUCCUCUAAGCUCACAAUUUCUAUUGAUUCCCUGUAAGGUAGGAUUUACUUCUCGGCCCUUUCUACCAUCUUCAACAAGUCAGGAGACAAACCACAGUCUUCGUCAUCUUCAAAAUCAUGUGAUCCUUCUAAACACAUGUUUCGUUCAAAAGGAGACUCUAAAUUUAUAAGUGUGACAUUCGUAUCAUUGAUAUCGUAUGACCUGUUAUGAAAAAUAAUAUGGAUUCAGGAAUUUGUUUGGUGCAAUAUGGUCAUGAAUGAAAUGCAAGUGUAGUUUGAGAGAAAUUCAAAAUAACUGCUCUUAUGGAAAGAAAGAUUUGCUCAAAAAAUGACUGCAAAAAUGAACUUUAUUAAAAUAACGAUUUUUUGGACAUGAGCCUAUUUCACAAAGGAAUCCUUAUCACUUCUAGGCUAAAAGCAAUAAGGGUGUUCUGGACAUUACUAUGAGGAAAUCCUAAAAACUACAGGUAUUUCUUCUGCAGUCCAGUUGUUUAGCACACUUCUCAGUUCGUAAGGUUGAAUAUCCUACAAUGUUCCUCCUCCCGUCGCUUCUUCAUACACGGCAUGAAUACUUUCUAACUCCAUGUUAAUACUUUCGACUCCUAGUAUUCCUUGAUAGAUGAAUCCUCCCAAUACAAAAGUCUUAGAUAGGUGAGGAAAGGUCAUGGGCUCCCAUUUGACUUCAUCACCUGUCAAACGAGCCCUUCUUCUCUCUCGCUUCUUUUCUUGCUCUAUCCUCUUCUGCCUAGCAUCUGGCUUGUAUCCUAAGCCAAAAUGGUCCUGCUUGUCUUUCAAUACUGGAGCCUCAACUCGGCCCUGAAGAUAUUUCCCCAAUCCUUUUCUCGGCAAAGCUCCAUUUCUAAUUGUCAAUUGCAGACCCAUCUUUGUGGUCUUUGAUAUUCUCGGCAUCGGGAUCUUGUUUCCCUCAAGGAUGAAUGUUACAUUUACGAACUCCAAGGAACGGAAAGAGCACUCGAUUGCAUCAUCACUUGUUUCUAAAUAAGGUGCAUCGUUGGUCACAGAUGUAAUGAUAUCUUCUUCAACAUUUAUCGUCACUAGCCGACCUUCUGACACCAGCUUCAGUUUUUGAUGUAAUGAUGACGGUACCGCUCCUGCUGAAUGAAUUAAUGGCCUUCCUAAUAGGAAACUGUAAGAAGGCUUGAUGUCCAUAACCAAGAAGUCUACCUCAUAGCUAGUUGGGAAAAUUAACAAGGGUAUGCCAAUUCUUCUCAUGACUUUCCUCUCGGUGCCAUCAAAUGCUCUCACCAUAUUCUGGUACGACUUCAUAUGUGAACUAUCCACAGGUAGCCUGUUGAGCGUGGAUAGAGGCAAUACAUUCAGUACCGACCCGUUGUCUACCAGAUUUCCUGGUAAUAUGCGCCUUUUACACCUUGCAGUGAUGUGUAAAGCUCUAGUAAAUCCCAUACCCCCAGGUGGUAUUUCAUCAUCGCUAAAGGAGAUGAAGUUAUCAGCGCUUAUAUUGCCGACCAGUCGAUCCAACUUGUUAACAAAGAUAUCAUCAGCCACAUAAGUUUCGUUUAGCACUUUCAGUAGUGCAUUUUGAUGUUCCUCCGAGUUCAGGAGUAAAGCUAGCACAGAUAUGCGAGCUGGUUGUUGGUGCAGUUGUUCCACAACGCUGUACUCGCUAUGCUUUAGAAACUUCAAGAACUCUCUAGCUUCCUCCUCUUUGAUUGGUUCAUUGACCAAUAAUUCAGGUUCGACCGCAUUCUUCCUCUUUCCAACCGAAGCUUCUUCUCUUAUUGGCCCUUCUUGAGCUUCCAUCUGUUCGUAGUGCCUUCCUUCAUCCUGAUCCUCUUUACUGAUUAUAUCCUCUUUCCCCAGGAUUAUCACAUUACAAUCGUGAUUCCAAGGAACCUCUUGUUAUCCUUAUAUGCAAACACAGCCGGUUUUUGAAUGAUUACUUUUGGUGUUAUACGUGCCCCAACCUCACUGUUCUGAGGUCGCGAAAUGAUGACCACAGGAUGGUUAGCCUUCGGAACCCCCAAUGCCAACUCUAACGCGCAUACAUGAUUCUCCUCUUGAACUCCUUCACAGAAUUCCAUCUCCCUAUUAUCCAUCAUACCUUGUAUCAUGGCUCUGAAUUCCGUACACUCUUGGAUUUCAAGCCCCAAUUCAUGGUGGAACUCACAGUAGUUUCCCCUCUUUUCACAACUUCCUUCUGAGACGAUUAGUCCCCUUUUCACCAUCUCCUUCCAGACCCAUCUCAAAGGAGUUUUCACAUCCGCAAUGUCUACCUUGAUUCUUCUAUCUUCGCCCAUCAUAUUUACCCCACCAUCAGUGUGGUUUGGUAUUGGGUUUUCUACCUUGGUCGAGUCAUCAAAUUUAACGACAUCCAUACCAAUGAGCCUUUCUACCAACUUCUUAAAGGCCGUACAGUUUUCUAUGGAAUGCCCUGUUCUUCCCGCAUGAUAGUCGCACUGUGCAUUCACGCCGUACCAUUUGGGGUUGCAAGGGCUUCAGAUAGAAAGGGGAAACUACGUGUGCGUCAAAUAAAUUUCGAUAUAGUUCCCUGUAUGAUAUAGGAAUUGGCGUGAAUUGGGGCCUCUCAAUAUUUCGCCUUGUACCGACCUCUUGUCUCGACGAGCUUUGCUGAUUGGCAGCCACCUUUCCUGGCUGACUCACUGUUAAUGACUUCAAGUAACCUUUGCUGUACAUGCUCGCGUUGUUCACCUCAUUUUCCUUCAUCUUCAAAGCCGAUCUUCUGUUACUCUCUCCCGCAUCGAUCUUCCCAGUCCUAAUGUCAUUCUCAAUCAUCUCGCCAUUCAUGACUAUGUCAGGAAAGCUUUUUGUGGCACUUUCUAACAUAUGUGUAAUAAACGGUGCCUUCAGGGUGUUAAUGAACAACAUGGUCAUUUCCUUUUCCAGGAGCGGUGGCUGAACUUGGACUGCAACCUCCCUCCAUCUCUGUGCAUACUACCUGAAGCUUUCACUCGGCUUCUUCUCCAUGUUUUGAAGGGUGAUUCUAUCAGGAGCCAUGUCUGUCACAUGACGAUAUUGUUUCAUGAACGAUUGUGCCAAGUCCCUCCAUAAACCAAUCGUGGCACGACUCAACUGAUUGUAACAUUUGGAUGCUGCCCCUACAAGGCUGUCUUGGAAACAAUGUAUCAAGAGUUGGUCGUUGCUAACAUAUCCCGCCAUUCAUCUGUAGAACAUAGUGAUGUGAGCUUCUGGGCAACUUGUCCCAUUGUACUUUUCGAACUCCGGCAUCUUAAACUUAUGAGGGAGCACCAAGUCUGAAACUAAGCUCAGCUCUUUGGCAUCAUUGCCUCGAUAACUUUCAGCAACCUCCAUUGCCUUGAACUUCUCCUUGAGCCACUUGCAUCUUUCCUUUAACUGUUUCGGUAACUCCUCCUUCACUCUUUCCUUCUCAACUACUUCAUCAAAGUCUGGAAUGACAGAGUGAAUAAGAUUAUUUUCGAGGUUAGAUCCCGGUCCAGCUUGAAAGCUCGAAACACCAGCCCGAAACUGCUGCGACAUAAUGGUGACAGUAGAUUUGUGCGGGUAUUCAGCUUGAGUUCGCACAUAUGGAGGGGUGAAACCUGGAGGAUAGAGAGGUUCAUCACCAUUUCCCUCAUCGACAUUUUCCAUGGGGCCCUUUCCUUUAUCACUUCCCCUAGUUAUCAAUUGGGUUAACUUUGCCACUAUAUCUUCUUGGGAUUCUUGCAUCUUCUCAGACAUCUCUUGUUUCAUCUUAUCUAACUGCUCCUGCACUUGUAGCUGAAGUCGGUCUUGCAUCUCCUUCUGACACUGUUCGAGUUUUUUCAAUCUCUGAUCCAUAUCUUUUGUUUUUGCUCGAGUGCCGUAUCGAUGUUGGCUUGGUUGGUUGGUUUCCAGGUUAACUGAGCAGUGAUUUUGACUUAUUAGGAUUAAAUAAAAAUCUUUAAUACAUAUAAUGCGGUGCUAAUGCAUAUGAUACGAUGCAUGAGAUGAAUGCAAAAAAAGGCGUUAAUUAUAAUUCAAUUCCAUUCAGAAAACUUUACUAGAGAAUUUUUUUUACAUAAAAUGGCUAUAAAUAAGGCUUUGCCCUAACACUUAGAACUUUAAUCUCCCUAAGUAAUGGUGCCAACUUCUGCCCCUGAUCUGAUUCUGAUUCGUACUUCACACUUAGUAUAUCAGCUUGUAUUGCUAAAGUCUGCAGGUGCUCAACUACCCCUUGAAUCUGUACCACAGCUUCUUCCAUAAUGUGAUCCCUUCUUGCAACUUGAUCCUGGAGAUAGUGAAGUUGUUCACUUUGAUGAUCUUCAUUUGCUUCCAGAUGUUCAAUCCUGGCUUCACAGUUCUGUAAUGCCAUCUCUAAUCCUUCUACUGUUCUCUUCAUCUGCUCGAUCCUGCUCAAGCUUGCUUGCAACUCCAUCACAACAUUGCGAUUUCGAUAUUGAUGAAUAGUUUCCUCUAGUUCGGCCAUCCUAGCUUUUAAUUCAUCAUUUUUAUUCUGGCUUUCUGACAAACUCCUCUCAAAGGACUUAUUUUGCUUUUGAGCCUCCUGAAAUCUCUUUUUCCACCUAUCAGCCUUGACCUUUUCUUCUUGAACUUCUUGACGCCACUGCUCUGAGGUUUUUCCCAACCCAGCAGUUCUCACUAACAUACGUAGUCUCUUAUAAUCCGUCUUCAAGCUAUUCAAAUCUUUAUCGGCUUUGCGUUUUUCUUUUCUCAAGCCUUCGGUUUCCAGCUUCUGAACAUCCAUGUCCAACUUUAAAUUCAUCUUCUCCUCUUCUAUUUGCUCUAUCUUCCUUUCAAGCUCUGAGUUUCUUCUUUCAAAAUCCUGCUUUAUAAUUUCUAGCUCAGAAGGGACCAUAUGUACAUGCUUUUCUACUAAUUGAUUGUCUCCUUGACCUGGUGCAGGUAUAUUAUCAUUGACCCUCCUACCUAGCCACUUGAUAUAUUCAGAAGUCGUCGAUGGACCUACUACCAAUCUCUUCAUUCGUCGAGUCUGCCUCCAAGCAUUUGUCAUUUCUCGAAUCUUCUUCUUGUAACCAUCAUACUUAUACGAGAAUUCACUUUGAGCUAAUCCUUGGGUUGUAGGUACGAACUGCCUCAAUCUAUACUGUCUCAAUACUAGUAAUGGUGCAUAGCUGAUAGCUCCCCAAAUCCCAAGUAAAGGGACCCAAUCGAAAUCUCCACACCUAUACAAGAUCUCAUCUGGCAGCAUCCAAGGAGCUCUCUACUCGAUGUUCUCCUCUUGAAGAUUCUGAAGAAUUACAAUCCAUCUUUCUUCUAAAACACCAUCUUGCCUCGAUAUCGCCAUUAUUUCUUUCAAAGGCGAAUAAGUUUCAGAAAAAACUCGAUAGGAAAAUUUAUCAGCCUUCCAGAAGUGACUGUGAAACCAUGCCAAGAGAAGCUGCGCACAUCCAACGAAUCUUCAUUCACCUACUCUUCGGUAUUCGUUCAAUGACCUAAAAGUUUUUGCUAAAAUUACUGGAACCGGUGUGACUCCUUUACCAAGUCGAUCGAAAAGAUCAGUGACUGCUUCAUCAAUAUGUCCCAAGGCUUUGGGAAAGAUAACUAAAUCGUAAAUACCCAAGGCAAAGACAUCAACCCUCUUCCUCGUAUCCAGAUGUACUAGAAUUAAAUCCUUCAAGCUCUUCCAAGGAAUGCAUUUACUAUCUCCCUUUUGUUUGAUUCGUGCUGCGACCCAUUACUCACUCAUCCCCGUAAUAUUCAUCAAUUUCUUCAAAAAGGUUGGAACAUUAGCAGCUCUCGAGUAGGCUUUAUCUACUUGGAUCUUCGAACAACGAAGCAAGGCCGUAUAUUCCUCCACCGUAGGCACUAAGUCAACUUUUCCAAAGGUAAAGCAACUAUAAGCAGGAUUCCAAAAUUGGGCUAAGGCACGAAAUAAGUGCUUAUCCACCUUUAAGUCGAGCAAGUAAGGUAUGUCUCCAUAGCUAGAGUAGAAGAGCUGUUUAACCUCAUCAGUCCACCUUUCCCAAAUUUCCUUUAGUUCAUGUAGGCUAUUCUGGGUCACGCUAACACGAGUGAAGUCCCACAACUCUGACACAUAUCCUUCGGCCAAACUAUCACCUUUCUCUUGCUGUGUUGUCUCUGACCAAGUUUGGACAGCCGCAUUAUCUUCCACUUUAUCAAGAAACCCUUUUUCCAUGAUAAGCUUUCUAUCUAGCAACCGAAUAUGAACUAACGCCCUUUUAGGAUGAAAUGCUAUGCAAUCAUGAUGUCAUGCAAUCAAAACGAAAGAAACCCAAGUCAGUAUCACAUAUAGAGAUAUAAUCCAAUACAAACAUGAAAUAGCAAGAAACACUUAAUCUAGAAUCCACUAGGGUUUUGGGAUAGUUCUACCUAGGUCAAGUUCCUAAAGCUCACUAUAUGAGGUUUAGUUUCUAGAGUAAGGGUACCCGAACCAGCAGAUUCCUCAAUCCUCACCCAUUAUAGGCUCAUAUGGAUCGAGUUCAGUUCAGGGGGAUACAUUUCCCUAUGGCUGCACGGAGAUGAAAAUCUCACGAAGACAUAGGUACGGAUGUAUCUCGAAAGCGGUCCACUACCCUGCACGGAGGUGAAAACCUCACGAAGGACUAGUUUCUCGCUCCCACUUAAAGGGUCAAAUGCAAAAUGCAAAUGCAAAGUUGCCAACAUAUCAUGAUGAAAAAUCAAUGAGUGCGUAGGGAACUCAUGAAUUUUUUAAAAAUUUUGAUUUUCGACACAAAGACAAAUAUAAUUAGUUUAUGGCUCGACUCUCUCAAGCGUCCCCAGCGGAGUCGCCAAGCUGUCGAAACCGUUUUUUGAAAAACAAAAAUUUAGUUGUCGACUUUAAAAAUAAAAUUAGAGUUGUCGCUGAUCCUUUAUUAAGGUGUGAUCGGCUCACCUUAAAAAUUAUUUUGGUCUACGAAUUUUGAGAAAAUGAGUUCGGGAGUCAAUUACGUACGAGGAAGGGUUAGCACCCUCGUAACGCCCAAAAUCGGUACCAAAUUGACUAUUUGAUGUCUUGGUGUCGAAAGUUAAAAAAGAUUUUAAAAUAAGCUUGAAUGAUGAAAUUUGAAAAAGGAUAAUAAAUUGUUCAAGUCAUGUAAAGAAACCGAGUCCCAAUACAUUAGGGUACAAUUCCUCAUAAUCCCCGAACUUUGAAUAUCACUUUUAUUUUAUGCAAAAAUCUUCAUUUCGAGAAAGUAACAGGCCACACCCAAUACGUUAGGGCACAACAAGUUAAGUUCCCAAAAAUGAUUUUUAUGCUCAUGCAUUUUGAAUAAAGAAUAUUCUCGGUCAUUUAAGAUUGACAAAGAAAAUCAGAACCCAAUACGUUAGGGCUCAAUUUUCCACGAAAAUCCCAAACUUCAAAUAAUGAUUUUAUUCAAAAAAACCUUUAAAUCAAGAAAAUAACUUUGAUGAAUGGUUAAAACCAAAAUGUAUUUUUAAAAGGGUACGUUAAAAAAGUUAAUGUACAAUAUGGUACAGAUACUUUAAUUCACAACAUAUACGAAUAAAUAUUUGCAAAUAUAUAUAUACAAAUAUAACAUUACAAUAAAGUUGCAAACAUAUGUAUACAUAUAUCAAAAACACUUAUACAAGUAUACAUGCAAAUAGAAGAAAUGAAAUAUAUCCAAUAAAACAAACAAGAAACAUGUAUAAAAAUAAAAUAAAAGUAUAAAACAAAAUGCAUAUGUAUAUAUUUUCAAAAUAAAGGAAAAAUAUAUAAAAAAUAAGAAAAUAAAAUAAGGAUAUAAGGAAAAACGUAUGUAUAAAUAUAUGCAUGUAUAUAUUAUAUAAAACAAAUUCGCAUGUUUAUGGUAUUUUACGAAAAACAUUUUUUGAAAAUUAAAUUCACAAAAUAUAUGUUUUGUAAAAAAUAUGAAAGAAAAAAAGAAAAUUAUAUAUAUAAAAUGCGCAUGUAUAGAAAACCAAUAUAUGUAUAGAUAUAUAUAUAUAUUAUAUAAACGUGUGUAAAUGUAUAAGAAUAAUAGAAAAACUAAAAAAAAUUACUAAUGAAGGAUUAAAUCAAAAAGAAUCUUAAGGGCCGAAUUUAAAAUAAAAUUUUAAAAAAGGGGUCACUUGAAUGCGCGCGUAACAGUGGAGGACCAAAAAGGAAAUAUGCCCAUUGAUCCCACGGCACCGUUUCGACGCAAUCUGCAGUCCUGGUUGAUGGACCAAAUUGAAACAGACGCGAAAUUUUGUGGCAAAAUUGGAAACGUGCGAAAUACUGCAUUUAAAAUCAAAAUAAAAGAGGAAGGACCGGAUGCGCAAAUAUCCCAUAUGACGUCAGAACGCGCGGAUCCUCCCCUCCGGGUCGGGUCACCGCGCGGGUCUGGCCAUUCAAAACGGCGUCGUUUUGAUCUGUUAUUUAAAACAGAUUUUUCUUUCUAAAACCAUUUUAACAAAAUGAAAAUAAAUAAAUAAAUAAAUCCCCCCUUUUGCUCUACUAGGGUUUCACCCCUAGCGUCCUCGCGCCGCCGCUCGCCUGGCCAGCGCUUCGAUCGCGACGGAGGUGGCCACCGAUCCGGCAUUCUCAACGAAUGGGGUAAGAUCCUUUCCCUUGCUUUUAUUUCUAAAAAAACGCAAAAAGAAAAGAGAAAUAUAAAAACAACAGAAUGGAACCCGAUUCACCUUUUUAAAAACUUUGUAUUUUCAAUAUUUUUCUUUUGUAUUUCUCUGUAUCCACUCUCUGUUAUCCCCCUUUUACAAAAUAACAGUGGCUUUAUAUAGCCCAAAAACUAUUUGUUGCUUUUUAUUUUACACUAUAUUUUCGCGGAUGGACUCUCUGAGUCCGUGUUUGCAGGCGAGAGUGGAUCAAAUGGCACGCGUGGAGAGGUCAGCCCCGAGACGUGCGGCACUUGGAGAGGCUGCUGAAGGCGGGGAGGGUGCGGCGCUCGCUUGCUGCUACUGUUUUAGGUGUAUUGGGCUAGGGUUUAGGUUGGUUAGUGUAUUGGGUCUUGUUCAUUAGCUUGGGCCUGAGUGUUAUAACGUGAAAUGGGUUUUAGAUUGAGCCUGGGCCGAUUGGGCCCUAUUACAACAGUAAUAGUUUCCACUUUCCAGUAAUAGUUUCUAGUGUUCCUUUACUUUGCUACCAUAUUUCCAUAUUUGGGUUACCUGGGUUGAAUCUUCAUGUAGCUUGGGCAGUUUCUUUUAUCAAUACUGACAUACCAUUUUAGAGCCCAUAUUCCACUAUAUUGGCUUUAAUUGUUGUAAUAAUUUUAUCCAUAGAAUUGCAAUUAUAGAUAAUAUGCUAUACUAUUUUCUCCUUAAUUACGGAAAAAAUAAAUAUCAAAUUGAUUUUCCUUUUUGUACAGGCUACAGUUUGAGGUUAUUUACUUAAGCAAUUUUAUCCCACAUUAGUCAAUGUUUGAGUUUGUUCUUCAAAUAAGUUAUCUUAUUUUAUUUUUUGUUCAUUAUAUACAAAGAAAAUAUAAUUUGAUAUUUAAUAUAAAUUUAAUAACAAUUAAUUUUAAGUAAUGGGCUGGGCCGAGUCGGGCCUGGGCCUUGUACUUUUUCCCCGGGCCGAGCCUAGACAAAACUUCAGGCCCAUAUUUCGGGCCAGGCCGGGCCCGGAUCUAGGACACGGGCAAAAUUUUUUCUGGGCCCGACCCGAACCCGGCCCGGCCCAUGAGCACCUCUAAUCCAACAUCAUAUGAUAAUUUCUUAAUUUUAUAUGAUCCAAUAUCCUAAAAUUAGGUAUAAUGAUUUAUUUUUUCGUUCUUUAUUUAAUUUUUGUUAUUUUAAAUUUGUAUUAUUUAUCAAAUCACCUCAACGAAUAAAAAUGUAAUGUCAAUUAAUUUUACUGAUGUGACAUACAUGUGAAUUGUCACUUGAAUGCCACAUAAGUACUUAAUUAAUUUUUAAAAUGAUUUUAAAAAAUUUUAAAAAUAAAAUUAUAUAAAUGUUUUUCUAUGUUUUGGAAAUUUUAAGAAAUAAUUAAUUGCUAGGUGAAUGUCAUAUUAACAAAGUUAAAAGGUGUUAAUUUUUUCAUUCAUUUUAGGGUGAUUUGACAAAUAAUAAAAAUUCAAGGGUUAAAAGAUAAGGAAAAUUAAAUUAAAGGCUAAUUUUUUUUAUAAAAUUGGAGGGUUAAAUAAAUCAUUAUGCCCAUGAUAUAAUGACGAUGACUUGAAAUUAAAUAAUGUCUAUGAAACCGGUGUAGUUUUCUUGGUUUUGUAUAUAUUCUUUGGAAAUUAUUCGGCUUAUGCUCUUUUUGGAUAUGUAGUAAAGUUAAUUUUUGGUGAAACUAAAAGUAAUAAUUAUGAUGAGAUUAGUUAAUAUAGCGGUAAGAUUAAAAUUAAUAAUGUGAUAUAUGUUUGGAUUCAAACAAAAUAAUAACCAUGAUGUAAAAAUGGAAAAUGAUUAUUGAUGUCAUUAAGUUACAACUUAUGUGCCAACAACCUCUUGACUUAGUGGCAAGAAUACUAUGUUAUAGGCAUGAGAGUUUAGGUACAAUCCCAAGUAAUCUUAUACUCCACUUCCAAUUUUAUUAAAAAAAACUUAUGUAUAUGUAAAAUAAAUAAUUAAGAAAAAAAAUUAAAAUAAAAUAUGUUAAAUUAUUUUUUUGAAAGGUAAAUUCAUUAAUUUAUUCAAUGAAUGGAACCAUACAAUUCAGAGAAAAAAGAUAACAAACACUCAUCGCAGAUGGUGAAGGACAAGCGCCAUCAACACAACAAAGGCUUUAGCCUUAGCAUCAAUAGAACAUUAUGACACAUUGACAAUUGGCUUAAUCACAACUCAAGCACGACAUAUCUGGAGUGAUUGCAAGGACUUAAUAUGAUAAUGAAAUCAACCUCGGAUGGUCCAAAGUGGCGAGCAAAAAUCGACAAAAGAAUCGAGUAUUCACCAAACUAGAGAGGACGACAACAAAAUUUGUAACACCCCUAACCUGGCCCAAACGUUAUGGCCGAAUCUGGGUGUGUUACGAAGAAGGGUUUUAAAACUAUAUCUCUUAAGCUAAAUCGUAUCGUGUUAUUAGUUUACCAAUUGCAGUUUUAAUAACCGGAAAAACUUGGAUUUAAGAUCUUAUUUGAAACCAUUUUAAGUUAUCAAGAAUUUGCAACAGAAGUUUGAAAAAUGUUAAUUCGAAACCAAGCUCGUGUUUCCAAAAACCAUUUGUUAAAACCAUAUGUUUGCGUAAAGUGUUUUUGUUAACAUUGUGGAAAAGAAAGAAAAAUAAAAUCCAAAUCCAAAAGUUAAAACCAUACAGUUCAGAAAGUCCCAAAAAUUACAACUCUCACGAAAACCAGAUUUUGAAACAAAACUGAUAACAUUAAAUAAAAAUAGUUCUCAACCGAGUGGUCACCGUUGAGUCUCCGUCGCAUCGACCCACCUAAGUCUGUGGAUUACCUAAACAGAACAGACAAACAAAUGUGAGUUUUCAUAAACUCAGUGUGUAACCUAACAGAAAUAGUCAUGCAACACACACAGAAUUUCAUAUACAGUCAGAUACAGAUUCAGACCUAAGUCCAUAACAAAUACAGAUUCCCGAAUCAGAUAAUCAAAACAGAUAUAUAUAAUCCUAUCCCCUCCUCUAUACACCAUCUCUGUCUAUCCCAUCACACCAUGUGGGGUUAAAAACACCUACUCAUCCCUACACACCAUAUAGUGUCGAUGCGACACAUAACAGAUAAUAUGCAGUUAAGCUACCAGAAUGUAGGCGAAAGGUCGCCGUAUAGAUUACUUCCUACACAUAUGCAAAUCCCACCCCAAACAUAGAUACAUAAUACCAAAUUAACGGAUUUAACAUGCUUAACAUGCUCGUAUAAAAAUAACAUAUAUAUAUACUCAAACAGAACAGUCAGACAUACAUAUUAGAGUCCCACUCAGAUCAGACUAUCAGAAUACCAUAUCACAUGAAUUAGGGUUGGUUGGCCCUUACCAUCCCUAUGGUAGGCCCACAGUCGAUCGAAACGACCCGUGCGACCCUAGGGAAAAUUUCAGAAUCCUGGGCCACACGCCCAAUCUAGUCUAGCCCGUGUGGCUUACACAACCACACUUACACCAUCACACGGUCGUGUCCCGCACACGGCCACACCUACGACAUUCACAUGAUCGUGUUUAGGGUACACACCUAGUACGAUUUUGUUGUGAAAACACUCCCGAGACAACUAGAACCUAAAAUUGACAUAACAAGCUCUCAAAAUCAGUCUAAAUCCUCAAUUAAACUGAACUAACAAAUUUGACAAUGGUGAAAUUCAAGUUUUCAACACUUACCCGAUUCCUCGAACGAUUCCAACUAUAAUUCCGUAAGAGAAGAACCACGUUCAUCACGAUUCACUGCAGUCAAACCCAUACAAUCAAACUAACAAAAAGCAAAACCGACUUAAAUAAACUUUAACCAAAGCCCUCAAUCUAAGAAGAAACUCACCACUUUCCCUUACCUAAACGUAAAAAGCAAUCAGAGAUUCGUAUUAUCGCAAUUUUGGAAGGGAGAUUUUGACAAAAAUAAGGGAAAAGAAAAAAGAUUUUUGGUGGGGAAAGAAAAGUAUAACAUCAGAAACUAGAAGAGGGAGAAAUUUUUGGGAAAAUAGAAUAAAAGAAAAUAGAAAGAUUAAGUCAAAUCCCACUACAUCCACAUCCCUUAACCACUCAACUAACUCAAAAUCCCACUACCACCAAACCACUAUCAACCGCCACCGCCAAAAAUUAUCACCCACGCUCGCGCGUGAAUUCAAACACAGGACCUCCAACAAACUAAGUCCUUACCACUCGAACCAGCAGGCUCAUUCUAAUAUGAGUUUGCAAACAAUAUAAUAUAAGCCCACCCAACAAGGAUAAUGCUUGGAUCAAAAAUAACAAAAUUUGCCAAAAGGGGGACUUGAACCCAAGACCUCAUACACACACCUAUAACACUCAACCACUGAAGCAGAUACAUAUUUGUGUCAGAUUUCACAAAAAUAGAAAUAAAUUAUUCAGGGUGUUACAACUCUACUCCCUAAAAGAAAUUUCAACCUCAAAAUUUACCUAAUCCGAACAGAUAAAGAUACUACAAACUUAUCAAGUCCUUAUGUUCCCACAUGGCUUCCUCAGUGCCAUGAUUCCGCCACAGAACAUUUACCAAUGGAAUAGAAUUCCUCCUCAUAACCUUAAUAUCUCGUUCCAAAAUCUGAACUAUCUCCUCCUCAAACGUCAAAUUCGGUCUAACAUCGAUCUCCUUAAUAAAGACAAUGUGAGAUGGAUCAGACUGAUACUGCCUCAACAUUGAGACGUAAAACACAUCAUGGAUACAGUCCAACUUUGGAUGUAGCUCUAACUAAUAAGCGACUGGUCUCACACGCUUCAGAAUCCCAUACAACCCAAUAAAUCUAGGGCUCAACUUACCCUUACGAUCGAACCGUAGAAUCUUCUUCCAUAGAGAUGCCUUAAGAAAUACAAAGUCACCCAUAGAGUAUUCGAUAUCCCUCCUUUUUAGAUCCGCAUAGGACUUUUGUCUAUCAGAAGGCACCUUCAAACGAUCCCAAAUCAGUCUAACCUUAUCUUCAAUCUUGGAAACCAACUCAGGACCCAAAAUCCAUCAUUCACUCGACUCAGUCCAACAUAGUGUAGUAUGACACUUACGGCUAUAUAAAGCCUCGUAAGGUGUCAUCUGAAUGCUAAACUGGAAACUAUUGUUGUAGGUGAACUUAGCUAACAACAGAAAAUCCUCUCAGUUACCUCAUAAAUCAAUCACAAAGCUCCGAAGCAUAUCCUCCAGUAUCUAAAUCACCUUUUCAGACAACCAUCAGUCUGAGGAUGGAACACAGUACUGAAAUCCAAUCUCGAACCCAUAGCUUCAUGUAAUUUCUUCAAGAACUGAAAAGUGAAGCGAUGAUCCCUAUCAGAUAUUAUCAAAAUCAAAACCCCAUGUAGCCUCUCAACCUCAGAAAUAUAAAGCUUCGCUAACUUUUGCGAACUUUGUCAAUUGAUCCACGAUAACCCAAACAGAAUCCUUCUUAUUGGGUGUCAAGGGCAACCUACUAACAAAGUCUAUUGUCACUUGCUCCUAUUUCCAUAAUGGAAUCUUAACAGGUUGAAGCAAACCCGAAGGCAAUUGGUGCUCAACCUUAACUUGCUGGCACAUUAAAUAAUAAGCAACAAAAUCUGUUACCUCACAUUUCAAUCCCGGCCACCAGUACAGCUUACGAAGAUCCUGAUGUAUUUUAUUAUCACCGGGAUAUCUAGCAUAAUGGCUACUAUGCGCUUCCCUCAGAAUCGACUGUCUCAGAUCAGAAUCGUUCGGUAUACAAACCCGUCCUCGAAAACAUAGAACUUUAUAUUAUUCAGUCCAAAAUCAAAAGUACUGUCACUCUCAACCUAACAAAACCGCUCAUCCCCUAAAUUCUUUUUCUGGAUCUUCCCAAUCCAAGUUGGCUUAACUUGCAACUCGGCUAACAGACCCCCAUCAUUGAACAAACUAAGACAAGCGAACAUCGCUCUCAAACCAGUCAUCGCUCUCUGACUGAGAGUAUCAGCCACCACAUUGGCCUUAUCGGGAUGAUACUCUAUCUUGCAGUCAUAAUCUUUGAGUAGCUCAAUCCAUCGACGCUAUUUAAGAUUCAAUUCUUUUUUAGUAAGGAAGUACAUGAGACUCUUGUGAUCGGUGUAGAUAAUACAUCUCUCACCAUACAAAUAGUGCCUCUAGAUCUUUAACAUAAAUAUCACCGUAGCUAACUCGAGAUCAUGCAUCGGAUAAUUUCUCUCAUGUGACUUAAGCUGCCGGGACGCGUAAGCCACCACCUUAGACUAACAUGUGACGCAUCACUAUACAUUACAAACUCCUUACCAAAUUCAAGUUGUAUUAGAACAGGAGAGAACAGACUUGAGCUUCUCGAAGCUCGACUGUUGUGCAUUAGUCCAGAUGAAAGGAACAUUCUUGCAUAGAAGUUUAGUCAAAGGAGCUGUAAUUAGUGAGAACCCCUAAAAAACCUCCGAUAAUAACCCGCAAGACCCAAAAAAACUGUGGAUCUCAGAGAUAUUCUUAGGCUGUUUUCACUUAAGCAUAGCCUCAAUCAUUCUAGGAUCAACUCAGAUACCCUCAGCAGAAAUCAUGUGCCCUAAAAAAGUUACUUCUCGCAACCAGAACUCACAUUAACUCAACUUAGCGUAGAGCUAUUUCUUUCAGAGUAUCUGUAGCAUUACUCUAAGAUGCUCAUCAUGCUCAUCCUCAGUCUUAGAGUACACCAGAAUAUCAUCAAUGAAGACUACGAUAAACUAAUCCAAAUACAAUUAAAAACUCAGUUCAUCAGAUCCAUAAAUGCAAUCGGAGCAUUCAUCAAACCAAAGGGCAUAACUAAGAACUCGUAAUGCCCAUAACGAGUCCUAAAUGUCAUGUUAUGACUAUCAGCUUUCUUAACCCUAAACUAAUGAUACCCAGAAUAGAGAUCUAUUUUUGAGAAUACCACAGCCCUACAAAACCAAUCAAACAGGUCAUCGAUCCUCGGAAGUGGGUACUUAUUCUUCAUAGUCGGUUUAUUCAACUGCCGGUAGUCGAUGCACAUCCUCAUGGUACCAUCCUUUUUCUUCACAAACAGAACCGGUGCCCCCAUAGAGACAAACUAGGAUGGAUGAAACCACGAUCCAGAAGCUCUUGAAGUUGAGCCUUAAGCUUUGUUAGCUCUUUUGGUGCCAUACGGUAUGGAGCGAUAGACAUCGGAGAUAUACCCGGUAGAAGCUCAAUGUCAAACUUAACUUCUCGAUUUAGAGGUAAACCUGGUAACUCUUCAGGAAAAGUAUCUAAAAAUCCCCUCACUGUUUUAAUAUCCCCAAUAGAAGAGUCCCCAAAAACUGAAACACUGACAUAGGCUAAAUACGUCUCACACUUUUUCUGAACCAAUUUCUCAACCGCUAGAGCAGAGAUCAUAUUAGAUAGGUAAUCUCGACCCUCACUAAUUACAUCCGUUUCCUUAUCAUCCUCGGUCCUCAGAAUGACCCUUUUAGUCAUGCAGUCCAAACUAAAUCGGUGCUCAACUAACCAAUCUAUCCCCAAAAUUAAGUUAAACUCCCCAAACAGUAGCUCUAUCAGAUUUGCCGGAAACACAACUCCUUAUACUUCCAAUGAAACAUUCCUAUAAAGUCUAUUUACCCUAACAGACUGUCUCAAUAGAGUCAGUACAGUAAUCUCUCCAGAAGUACACUCAACAAAAAUCCUUAAGUUCUCGGAAACAGAACUAGCUACAAAGGACUGUGUAGAACCUAUGUCUAUCAAAACAAUAUAUGAAGCAUCAAAAAUUAAAAACGUACGCGUGAUCAUAUCAAGGGCAACGUUGUCCUCUUGGCAUCGAGCAACAUAAACUAGUGCAGGCUGCCUCACCUCAGUCUGAUUAGUAAUUUUUCCUAGUGCUCUCUGACCUUAGCCCAUACCAUUACCACUCCUAGCCGGUCUACGGUCCUUAGGUGGUUGUUUUACUGCCCUCUGAGGCUAAACAAAGUCCAGUCCUAAAGCUUGCAUCUAAUUAGCAUGAUAUGGACACUCUUUAAUUUGGUGCUCCAAAGACCUACACCGCAGACAAGCUCUUAAUCUCCUCUAACACUCACCCGAAUGGUGUCUACCACAGUCACCACAAGGCUGAAUCUUAGUAGGAGCAAUUGGAACUCCCACUCUAACAGGCCCAUCAGGUCUGGCCCAUUUCUUAGGCCUCUAAACAGAACUAGAGGGCUCUGAAUCCCUCUUAUUCAUGCCUCUCUCUUGGUCUUUAUUCUGGCACUCCACGCGCUUAACCUUCUCAACGAUCUUUGCCUUAUCUACCAAAAUAACAAACUCACACUCUCUCUGCAGAGUAAUCAGAGCGCUUAAAUUAUCCCUCAAAUCGUCUUCAAAAUGAACACAUUUCUCACACUCGAAUGCUACUAUGCCUCGAACGUAGCGGCUCAAUCUUAGAAACUCAACCUAACACUCAGUCACAAACUUAUCACCUUAAGUAAAAUUCAUGAAUUCACGCCUACGAGCGUCCACAUAACUCGUACCCAUAUAUUUUCCCUAAAAAAAAGUCUUAAAGUAGUCCUAGUUCAAACAAUCCAGUUGAGUACCCUCCUCAACCGACAACUAUCACUGAUAUACCUCAUCGCGAAGCAAAAAAAUUGCACCCUUCAAUUUCUGCUUAAGAGUGCAGUCAACGUUGUUCAUAAUCCUCUUGGUAUCCUCCAACCAAUACUCAGCCACAAUAGGGAUAAAUUUAGUGACGCCCCUAAACAAUUUAGCUCUAUUGGACCGGAGUCGUUCAAUUAUUGACCCAUGGCUUCCAAAUCCAAAAUGGGGUCCAAAAACCCUCUUCAACACUCUCAACAUGGCUUGCGACAGUGCGUCGUCCCUAGCUGAGCUGCUUUGAGACCCAGCCUCAGUAGCAGGUGAAAUCGGUGUCUCACUCAUAUCCAAAUUUGGCAUAUUGCCUAAAAAGAAAGACUCAGCUCGAGCCCCCUACGGUGCCCACCGCGCCCAUGAAUACCACGAUUGCGAGUUCCACGAGUGCUCAUCGUAUUUUCAGUUUUAUCUACAUUAUAAAAUUUUAUUCAUUUGUUCUAGUGUUUAUUAGCAGAUAUUUUAUGCUCAAGUUAUCAAAGGUACUUACAGGAUCGACGCCGAAGACUCAGUGUACGAUAUACUUACUCAAAUUGAUCCAAAUUAUUUGAAAACUAGUUUUUUUUCAAAGCAUAAUUUUGGAACCCAAAAUUUACAGCUUGAGUUUUGUAACCUGGCUCUGAUAUCACUAAAUGUAACACACCUAACUCAGCUUAGAUGUUAUGGCUGAAUCUAGGCAUGUUACAAAGAAAGGUUUUAAAAUUAUAUUUCUUAAGCUAAAUCGUAUCGUUUUAUUAGUUUACCAAUCAGAGUCUUAAUAUUAAAAAAAAUUGGGUUUAAAAAUAUAAUUUCAAACCAUUUUAAGUUAUCAAGAAUUUUGCAACGAAAGUUUGAAAAACAUUGAAUUCGAAACCAAGCUCGUGUUUUCAAAAACCAUUUAUUUACGUAAAGUGUUUUUGUCAACGUUGCGAAAAAGAAAGCAAAACAAAAUCCAAAUCCAAAAGUUAAAACCAUACAGUCCAGAGAGUCCCAAAUAUUACAACUCUCAAAGAAAUCAGAUUUUUAAAAAAAAUCGAUAACACUAAAUAAAAACAGUUCUUUGUCGAGAGGUCACCGUUGAGUCUCCGUCGCACCUACCCGCUUAAGCCUAUGGAUUACCUGAACAGAACAGACAAAAAUAGAUGUGAGUUUUCAUAAACUCAAUGUGUAACCUAACAGAAAUAGUCAUGCAACAUACAUAGAAUUUGAUAUACAGUCAGAUAUAGAUUCGGACUUAAGUACAUAACAGAUAUAGAUUCCCGAAUAAGAUAAUUAGAGCAGAUAUAUAGAAUCUACCCCCUCCUCUACACACCAUCUCCUUCCAUCAUAUCACAACAUAUGGGGUUAAAAACACCCACCCAUCCUUACACACCAUAUAGCAUCGAUGUGAUACAUAACAAAUAAUAUUAAGUUAAGCUGUCAGAAUGUAGGCGAAAGGUCGUCGUACAGAUCACUUCCUCCACAUAUGCAAAUCCCACCCCAAACACAGAUACAUAAUACAGAAUUAACAUGCUUAACAUGCUCGUAUAUAGAUAACAUAUAUAUUCAAACAGAACAGUCAGACAUACAUAUCAGAGUCCCAUUAAGAUCAGACUAUCAGAAUAUCAGGUCACGUGAAUUAGGGUUUGGUUGACCCUUACUGUCCCUACGGUAGACCCAUAGUCGAUCGGAACGACCCGUGCGACCCUAGGGAAAAUUUUAAAAUCAUGGGCCCACAUACUCGUGUGGCCCACACACCCAAUCUAGUUUAGCUCGUGUGGCUCACACCGUCACAUGGUCAUGUCUCGUGCACGACCACACCUACGACAUUUACAUGACCGUGUCUUGUACACGGCCAACCACAUGGUCGGGCACAUGCUCGUGUGGCGUCGAUAAUACCCUUUUUUAGCUUUCAUCGAACCUUAAUUUUUCGUGUUUAGGAUACACACCUGGUACGAUUUUGAUGUGAAAACACUCCCGAGACCACUAGAACCUAAAAUUGACAUAACAAGCUUUCAAAAUCAGUCUAAUUCCUUAAUUAAAUCGAACUAACGAAAUCAACAAUAGUGAAAUUCAAGUUUUCAAGACUUACCCGAUUCCCCGAACAAUUUCGACUAUAAUUCUGUAAGAGAAGAACCACGUUCCUCGCACUGUAGUCAAACCCAUAAAAUCAAACUAACAAAAAACAAAACUAACUUAAAUAAACUUUAACCAAAGCCCUCAAUCUAAGAAGAAACUCACCACUUUCCUUUACCUAAACAUACAAAGUAAUCAGAGAUCCGUAUUAUCGCAAUUUUAGAAGGGAGAUUUUGACAAAAAUAAGGGAAGAGAAAAAAGAUUUUUGGUGGGGAAAGAAAAGUAUAACAUCAGAAACUAGAAGAGGGAGAAAUUUUUGGGAACAUAGAAUAAAUUAAAAUAAAAAGAUUAAGUCAAAUCCCUUAACCAUCCAACUAAUUAAGAAUCCCACUACCAACAAACCACUAUCAACCGCCGUCGCCAAAAAUUAUCACUCACGCUCGCACAUUAAUUCGAACACAGGACCUCCAACAAAUUAACUCCUUACCACUCGAACCAGCAGGCUCAUUCUAAUAUGAGUUUACAAACAAUAUAAUAUAAGACCACCCGACAGGGAUAAGUUUUGAAAGCAUUUAAAUUUACAUUUCAAAUGAACCUGGACAAGAUUUUUUCUAGAUUCAUUUUUAAUGUGUAAAAUAAUAAUUUCUUUAUAAUUUCUAGGAUUUUUAUAUUUUUAAAACUUAGAUUAUUUUUAUAAUUAUCUUUAAUUAUUUAUAUUUUUACCAUUGAAAUAAUUUUAAUAAUUUUUAAUUUUUUUACUAUAUUUCAAAUUUAUAUCUGAAUGAAUCUGGACAAAUUUUGUUCAAGUUCAAAUUUAUUUGGACAACUAUUUAUUCAGGUUUAUUCUGGAUGUAUUGAUAACUUUAAUAAUUAAAAUUAAAAUUAAAAUUUUGAUAAAUUCAAAUAAUAAAAAUUAAAAUAUUUAUUUAAUAAUUAAAUAAACAAUAAAUAAUUUGUAGUUGGUGUUCUAAAUUAGAAAGAAGAAGUGAAAGGAAAUACAUAUGCUGUCAAAAGAUUACAUCAACAUUUGUCCACUAGAUACACUAUUGUGGCCAUUAAAUGACGUACCAUAAAAAAAUAAAAAGAAAAGAACAAACAACUCAAAAACCGAUUUAUAUAUAUUAUUUGUAUUCUUUUGACUUAAAAGCAUAAUUGAAGCUAAAACUAAAAAUAUUGCAAUGAUUUUAUAAUGUUAUUGAUAAAUAUAAUCUUUUUAGGAAAUUUUAUAUCUCAUAAAUAUAAUAUAUAUAACUCUUCAGGAUAAUUUAAUUAUCAAUUGCCGAGAAGUUUUUGCAAUCAAUUCUAUUAAAAAAUAUUAUUAUUUAAUAGGAGGAGACUUUUUAUUCUUUUAUAUUUAUGUUUUUAUUUUUUUUAAAUAAAAUUACAAUUUGCAAUUAUAAGUAAUAUAUCAGACAUUCUCUCACAUGUAUCUGCACGUGGAAACCACAAAUUUAAAACAUAAAUGUAUGUCUAAAAUAACAUAUAAUAGAUAAUGAAACUUAUGGUUUGAAACUAAUUAAUAAUAAUGCAUUAAAUAUGUACGUUAUUAGAAUAAGAAAAUUAGAUUAAUUUUCGUAUCAAGUUGUUGUCAUCAAUCUUGAGUCCUUGUCGAGUUAACUUGUGGUAGAAAUUCAUCUAUAUUAUUAUUUAAAUUCUUGACUAAGUUGGUGUCAUGAGUAAACCGGACACCAACUUGGUUAGGAAGUUAUGAGAAUACCCUUUUGUAAUUAAAAUAAGUAAUGUUAUUCGAGGCUAGUUUAGUCUUUUAACUUUAAAAAACAUUAAGAAUAAGUAUAUGGUAGGAUUCGAACCCACAUCAAUUGUAUUAAUAAAACUUUUAAUUUACCACUCAAUUAAAAUUUUAUUUUAAUAUUUUUAUACACUUUAGUUUUAUUAUGCACACUCUAUUACCUUCAUAAGUUGUAUAUCUAUACAUACUAUUAUUUAAACUCCAUACUGAGUUGGUGUCACUCUCAAUUGGGUCACCAACUUGGUUAAAAAAUUACAAGAAUGCCCUUCUUUUAUUAAAAUAAGUAAUAUUAUUUGAGAGUAUUUUAGUUUUGUCACAUAAAACAAGGAAUAAAAAUAUACAUACGGUGAGAUUUGAACCUAGGCAAAUUUUGCAUUAGUAAAACCUUUAAUUUACCACCCAACUAAAGCUUUAUUUUAAUAUUUCUUAUACAUUUUAAUUUACUAUUUAUUUAAAACACAUAUGUGUGUUUUAAAGUAACAUACAAUAAACAAUGAAAGGUAUAGUUUGAAACUAAUUAAUCAUAAUAACUGCAACACCCCAAAUUCGGUUUGAAAGUUUAAGCCAAACUUGGAGGAGUUACACCAACGCAUUGAAAACUGGUUUCUUUUCGGGAUUUUAAUUUUGAAAAUCAAAAAUUUGUUUUUGUCGAUUUACGUGAUUUUGUAGUUUCAUGUUAGAAAUUGACUGAUACUACAAAAUGACAUUAUCACAGAAAUGUUUUGCCGAACCAUGACGUCUUGUAACUUGGGUAGUCGUGAUAUAUUGCUAAGUGUUACUCACUAUGUAAUGACAUAGUUUCCAAUGGUGUUGGGAAAUCCAAUUUCUGGACAUCAUUUUCAUAAAUUGAGUCCAUAAAUAGUAAACAGGGGUUUUUGUGGAAUAAUUAUGUUGAUAUAGCAAAAUUUAGUUAAGUAAUUUUGCAGAAAAUGUGGUUAGUUAAGGCUUGAAGACUAAAUUGUAAAAAAAAAAGUACUAUAGAUUUUUAAUUAAAAAAAGACUUGGAGACUUAAAUAGAGAUUAUCCAAAGGAUCAAAUGGUAAAUAAAAAAAAUAAAAUAGAUGAUAAUGGGAUUGGAUGGUGGAUGCCAUUAGAUAAGUUAAUUAAAUAUUAGAGUUUAAUUAAUUAAGACUAAACUAACUAAUUAUGUUUAAUUAGGAUUUUUUUACAAAAAUAAUAUUAAAAAAUAGUUAAUUACAAGAAUGAGUUUGAGGAAAUUACUUACAAAAAUAAGUUGUUUGCUACAGUACAAACUGGUAUCUACAACACCACCAAAAAAAUUAGGUCAAUCAUCAUUCAAUCAUUACAUUUUUUUUAAAAAGAAAUUUGAUUGGUUUCAUCACUAUAUUAAGCCACACCAAUUUAUAUAUUUUUUAAAAAUACUCAUAUUUUCACAUAUGUAAACGGUGAGAGAAAAAAUAAAAAAAAUUCUGAAUGCCACCAAUGUCUCAAACGUCACCCUUUCAAUUUUUUUUUUUAAAUGUCUGACAUCAUACGGUGCCAUUUACGUACAUGAUUUUUUACAUUUACUAGUGGGGGAUAACGCUCCCUUUCCUGCCUUCAAAGAUUUGCUAAGAGUUAUUGGUCAAGGGUUUUUUUUUUAAUCAGUUUUUUUUAACUUCAGCUGUUUGUUUUCAUGAUAGAAUUUUUUUGAAUUCAAAAGGAUACUGUCUGACACAUUUACGGUACCUACUUAAAAAAUAAUGUUUUUCACUUUUUCUUGCAUCAAGUAUAUUUGUGAGAAUACAACUAUUUUUUAAAAAAUAUAUUGGUGUUGCAGCACCAAUAAAAGAUUUUUUUUUAAAAAAAACAUAAUGAUUGACUGAUGAUUGACCGAAAGUUAGGUGGUGUUGCCGGUGUGUCAGGCGGCACCAGUUUGUAUUGUAACAAAUAACUCAUUUUCGUAAAUAAUUUUCCCCAACUCAAUUCUGUGAUUAAUUAAUUUUUAUAUUAUUUUUAUAAAAAACGGUGAAUUACAAAGUCAUCUUCUCCUUCCCCAGAGCUAUCGUCCAAUUUUAGAAGAGAAAAGAAAGCUUUAAAGCCUAACUUGAUACUCAGCCACCUAUUUGAGUAAGUCUCUAGCCAUUUUUUCUUUGAUUUUUAUAGAAAUUGAAUAAUGAGAGCUUGAUUUAGCUAACCCAUGCAUCAAUUUCCCUUACUUCAGUUUAUUCGAUGAUGCACUUCGAUGCCAAUUUGUAACAUUCUCGACCCGGUUUAGGAGUUUCAACUAAGUCGGAGGCGUACAUUUGAUCACCGAGGUGAUCAUGUAAAGCCAUUCUUUUUGAAGUGUUGAUUUAUAUGGAAAACUCUCUUUUGUCUUUAGGAAGAACAUUCAUUAAUUUAAAUUGGUUUUACUUAACAAUUCAAUUAUAAUAUUAUUAAUGUGAAGAUUUAGGAAAAUGAGGUAAAUUUUUUAAUAAAGGACUUAUCAAAAGCUUUUAGUAUUUUGUAAAACCAGGGAAAACAUUUAAAGUAGUGGUUUUCUAAACUGAAAAGCAUGCAAAUUUCAGAGUAUUAACUAAGUGUCAUGCUUUAAAAUAAAUAAGCUAAACAACUUUACCCUAAAUAUAAAAGCAAGAAAUAACUAACAAUUACAACCCAAAAAUAAAAGAUUUGAAGAAAACUUUAAUAAAAACUUUAUAAUAAUAAUAAUAACAAAAAAUUAGUUGUUAUUCUGAGGUUCCUUCGAUGCCAUAUCGAGUUGUAGUUUCUUAUGUUACCUAAGAGGAAAAGAAAGGGGGAAUGAGCUUACAACCACUCAAUAUGAAACUAGCUUAUAAAUCAUUAUAUAUAAUUGCACAAAUAGAAAAACAUAGAAAUAAUAGCGAGUUAAGUAUAACAUUUGGAGUACAUAGUAAAUCAAUGUAUAUACAGUUUAUGUAUGAUGCAAUGCAAAUCCAAAUUUCCCACCCGUUUAUUUUAUCCGCCCUCAAGCAUCGCUCGCCACACCUAAAACACAUAUCAAAGACUAGCCAUCCCUGAUUUCCCGAUGAAGAUGGUCAUUUACAUGUCAUUUGUGAUGAUGAAUUUUACUACAAUAACUUACUAUCCUGGUUGUCUGAUUUUGAUAGUUUUUUACUACGAUAAACUAUCAUCUCAGUCGUCACGGUUUAGGAUUAGUUUUCAUUUUGCUAGGGAUACUAGUGCCAACAUUGGUUUGCAACAUGUGGAGAAUUUGGUCUAGCUGGCCUUGCAUUUGACGCACUGUAGUGUGCAACAAACGUAUCCCUUCUUCAAGUUUACUAACCUUAACGGUCAUAGGGGGUCAUUGUUAAAAGUAGGCUUCCUCUUAAGGUCUUGGGGUUUAUAGGCUUGUAGAGGUUGGUAAGGAGGGGCUGGUCUAUGGUGGUUGAAGUUUCCCACACCUUGGUUUCCUCCCCACCUAAGGUUGGAAUGAUCACACCACCUUAGAUUAUAGGUAUUUGAGUAUGGGUUACCACCCCUAGUUCCCAUAUAGUUCCCCUCAACCUAACUACCCUCUUGGUGAUUUCUCUAAGUAGCUUUUCAUUUUUGCCCCCUACAUGAGAUCCCAUAAGAUGGUGUUUGUUAGGAUUGAGGCAUAUUAGAGCUAAUUUCGAGGUUAUUAAACCUCUAGAGGAGUUGCCAUUGACUGCAUUCACAGUCAGUGAUUUAGCUGUACAUGUGAAUCGCUUAAUCGACCACAUCUAGGAGUUCAUUGCUAAAUGUUUAAUGGGUUGGCAACCUUUAGCGUAAGUUUUAGACAUGAACGGCCCCGCAGAUGCUCCUUCUAAGCUUGACCUCAAAUUCCUGUCCAAACCAUUAUAGAAAGUUUGUAAUUACAACCAAUCUUGUAGACCAUGGUGAUGACACUUAUCUAGUGUUACUUUGAAGCACUCACAUGCCUCAUACAACAAUUCUACCUCCAAUUUCCAGAAGUUGGUGAUAUUCAUUCGCAACUUCAUCUUUUUGCUCAGUGGGAAAUAUUUGGUGAGGAAUUGGUUGGCUAGCUCAUCCCACAUAGCGAUAGAAUUUAUUAGCUGCGAAUCCAACCAUAUAAAAGCGUCAUCACACAAAGAGAAAGGGAAUAACCAAAGGCAUAUAACGUCAUUGGAUACCCUGUUAUACUUAAAAGUAUCACAAAUGGUUAGAAAAUGUUAAAGGUAUUGUUGGGAUCCCCAUGCAUUGAGCCCCAGAAAUAGAGAUAACUUUGUAUCAUCUAAAUCCUAGCCGACUUGAUCUCAAAAUUGUUGGCAUUAAUGGCAGUUUGGUUGAUACUCCUCGCACAACAUCCAAGUUUGGCAUGAUAUAAUCUUUCGAUGUACGGUUCGCCAUUCGUCUCGAUCAGAUAGGGGUUCGUGUUUCUCUAUGUUCAGAGGGCCUAGAGGUGGAUAUUCAAAUAAAAGAUUGUCAAUCGGUGGAUCAACAAUCAGUGAUUCUAUCGAUAGGUGACCCUCUCUUGAGGGUUGUCCUCAUCUUGCGUUGGAUAUUAUCUUUUCCGACUCGAGAUCAAAUGAGAUUAAAUCUUUGUUGCUCCAAGUCAUACAUUGAGAAAUGCAACCACAAGAAACACGGGUUAGUCAUGAAAUUAACUAAACAAAUAAAAAUAGAAAUACACAAAGAAGUAAAGCGCCGUAUUUAUAAACCUAGAUUUCACCAAUUGUCUUCCUGGCAAAACAUGAGAAAAUCACAACAAAUCAACUCAUCACACACACAUCUCCCAAAAACUUGAUUGCGCCACAGCGUACGAACUCCUAGCAAAUAAUUAGCACAAAAUAUAAGAAAUUAAAAGUGACUUGACUGCAAGUGUGAUAGGUCAAUUGUAAUAUUUGUAAGUGUUAUAAUGGAACACUUUGAGCUUUCCAAGGAUCAAACCCAAGAGAGGUCAAAGUUAAUUACGCUAAACUACCCUAAGGAGGACUAAAUUGAAUAACAAUAAAAAGUAUACAAAUAUAAUUCAAUGAGAUAAAGUGGUCGGUUGAUAUCCAUAUUUCUAAUUAAUUCUUGGAUUAGGGAUAUAAAUUGCUCAAACUCCUAAUUAGUCCAAUUUUACCUCUCGAUUACCAUUUUACCUAAUUAUACGAUUUAGUCUGAUUUAUCUCCCGACCUCACUAAACUAAGUCGGGUCAAUCAAAUUGGCUCACAAUAGGAUCUCCUUUCGGUCUCACCUAUCCAAAUGUUCACGUAGAGGCGUCAAUUCUAGGUUUUGAAAUCUAUUCAAUUUAAUCCGAUUUUUAUGAUUUACUCUUUGACCCAAAAAUUAACCAUGCAAUAUUUCAAUCAACCAACCACCAUAAAACUUAGUUACUACUCAUCAUCACAAGACAAAGACCAACCAAUUUCAAGCUAAAAUGAUUGGUCAAAUAACCACAAAAAGAUAAGUUUUAGAAAUGUUUAGUGACUCUUGAAGGAUCCUUUGAUGAGGAUGAUGACAACAAGAAAGAUGAUAAAUCUACAACCAAAUAUGAUUUUUUUUUUUUUUUUUGAAAACUAACAAGAAUAAAAUCUGUUGAAUGUUUUAAAUAGAAGUUGAAAAUGACAAGGUUGAAAAUGACAAGGUUGACUAUUGUAUCUACUUGGAAAAAAAAAAACUAAAACUACAGUAAAAGUAAUGACAAGGUUGAAUAUUGUGUCAGAAUUUAAUGCAUGAGUUAAAUAAAUGUUCCUUGAUAAAAGAAAUCCGUGAAAAAAUCAAUUGAAAAAAAGAGUCAAAUCGGUUUAACUUUAUAUGCAUAAAUUGACUUCAUUUGAUUUUAAAUUUAACUUCAUAUAUAUAUAUAUAUAUAGUUCAAUCUUAUUAGUCCGUUGUACCCAAAUAAAUUCUUUAUAUAUAUAUAUAUAUAUAAAAACUCAAUGAGUAUUUAUAACCUUAGUUAAAGAUUUAAGAUUUAAUAUCUUUAGCCAGUUGAGUCUUAAUUUAAUUGAUAUGAGUAUUAUUAUCAAUGCAGGAGAAUGUGAAUCCGAAUAUGUUAAAACGCAUUAUUCUUCUAUUUAUGGGUGGAGAGGGACUAUAGGUAAUUUUAAGUAUUAUCUUAAAAAAUAUAUAUAUGAUCAAAAUUUAUAAUAAGAUUAUUCAAAAAAAUGAGACUUAAGAUCCUUAAAAUUCACUACUAAUAAUUUUGAUCUGUUUAGCAAAAAAUAUUUUGUUUAUUAAAAUUUUCAAAAAUGUUUUUAUUAUAUUUAUAUAUAAGAAUAUUUGGUACAUCACUAUGGAUGAAACAUGCCAUUUUUCAAUUUUUAUUUACCCAAAAUUAAUAUUAUUUUUCAUAGUUUUUAAAUUGAUUCCUUAAAGAUUUUCUAAAAUCCUAAACAGGGCAAAAUUCCAUUAAAAAAAAUCCAAAAGAGAGCGGCUCAAAUAAGUAACAAAAAGAAUUGAUUAUUGAGUAGGAUUAAAAGUAGCAUGACAAACAUUUUUUUAUUAAGUAAAAUUUUAUAUCUAAAUAAGUUAGUAUUUUUAAAUAAUAUAUAGAGUCAUAGCAGUCUUACUUUACACUGUUAUUUCCUAAGAAAAUAAUUUCGGUGAUAAAAAGAUUGGUCAUAGAGACUGCAGGGGGAUUGAGGACUUAAAAUUCUGUCAAGUGUAUGUCAAAAGCAAAGAAAAGAUUUAAUAUCACUCAUGCCCUCAAACAUUAGGCAUCAAUCAUUUUCAUCCUUACAUUUCAAUCAAUGAAGAAUAAACCAGAAGUAUAAACUCAAUUUUAACCUUUUCUAUAUACAUUACAUAAGAUAACAUUAAAUCAAGUACAUUUUUUUAUUAACUACUGUAAUUAUUUCUUUUUAAACACAUUUCAUAUUAAAGUAAUAGUUAAGAUUUAAUUUAUACAUUACAUAAGAUAUUAUACAUUUCUAAACAUUUAUCUAUUAAUAUUUUACAGACAUAACAUUUCUUUUAAUCUAUUUCCAAUUCUCAUGCAAUGGGUCCUACAUUCACUUUGUUUUCCAUAUUUGUUUUCUUGAAUUUAAGUUCUCCUUUUUUGUAUUUCUCAUGCACUUUGUUUUCUUGAAUUUAAGUUCUCCUUUUUUGACUUCAAAUAUCACCACUAUUUUUCUUACCUAUAAAUACAUGCAACAAUUGCACUCUUAUCCUCACACAAAUUCUGUGCCAAAUUUCAAGAGCAAACCAAAAAAAGGCUGCAAUUUCAGCUUUUCAAUAUUUGCUUUUGAUCAAUCGAAAUGGCUUCACAAGAUUCUCAAAUGCCUUCUUCAUCACCCCUUUCUUCCAAUAAGGAUGAAAUGCGUCCCAAAGCCGAUUUUCAGCCUAGCAUUUGGGGAGAUCUCUUCCUCAAUUGUCCCGACAAGGUAUACAUACAUAUCACCAUAUUGAUAUAAUCUUAACAUAUUAUUUGUUUAAUUAUUUAGUGAUUCAAUGUGAAGAAAAUUUUCAUUAUUUUGAGCAGAAUAUUGAUGCUAGAACUGAAAAACGCCACCAACAAUUGAAAGAAGAAGUGAGGAAGAUGAUUGUGGCACCAAUGGCUAAUUCAACCCAAAAGUUAGCCUUCAUUGAUUCAGUCCAAAGACUGGGUGUGAGUUACCAUUUCACCAAGGAGAUCGAAGAUGAACUAGAGAAUAUCUACCAUAACAACAAUGAUGCCGAGAACGACCUCUACACCACAUCUCUUCGAUUCCGACUACUCCGAGAGCAUGGAUACAAUGUUUCAUGCGGUAAUUAUUGGAACAACAACAUAGUGUUUUUAAGUGUCUAGAGAAUAUAAUAGCAUGGAAUGUUUGAUAACGAUAUUUCAUUUUGGGUAAUUUCAUCUCAGACGUAUUCAACAAGUUUAAAGACGAGCAAGGGAAUUUCAAGUCAUCCGUGACAAGCGAUGUUCGAGGAUUGUUGGAACUUUACCAAGCUUCCUAUUUGAGGGUUCAUGGGGAAGAUAUAUUGGAUGAAGCAAUUUCUUUCACCACCAACCAUUUAAGCCUUCCAGUAGCAUCUUUGGACCAUCCUUUGUCCGAAGAGGUUUCUCAUGCUUUGAAACAAUCAAUUCGAAGAGGCUUGCCAAGGGUUGAGGCAAGGCACUAUCUUUCAGUAUACCAAGAUAUUGAGUCCCAUAAUAAGGCUUUGUUGGAGUUUGCUAAGAUCGAUUUCAACAUGUUACAAUUUUUGCAUAGGAAAGAACUAAGUGAGAUUUGUAGGUAUGUUUUGUUAAUCUCUUUCACCCAUUUUUUUUUUCUUUUUCAUCUUUUUUUAAUUUUUUGGUGGAAGGGGGGUUGAAUUUAUAGGAGGCAUCAUUCUCAGUAUAGGAUACGAGUUGCAAAUGCUAAUAUUUGAAUCUUAUUAAAUAGCACAAGUUAAAAGUGAUGGCAUGAACCUUAGAUUCAUCUUUUUCACCAUUUUCAUUUUAACCUUAGAUUCAUCUUUUUCACCUAUUUCAUUUUACUUAUAUAAUUUUUAAAAUUUGAGGUUCCCAAUUGACUUAAGAGUUUAACAAUUUACUCAUUGACAACAUGAAUGUGGAACUAAUUAAAACUUUGUAUGGUCAUUGCGUUAAUGGGGUUUUUUAUAAUAUGAUUUUUUAGGUGGUGGAAGGAUUUAGACUUUCAAAGAAAGUUGCCAUAUGCAAGAGAUAGAGUGGUUGAAGGUUAUUUUUGGAUCUCGGGAGUGUACUUUGAGCCCCAAUAUUCACUUGGUAGAAAGAUGUUGACAAAAGUGAUAGCAAUGACAUCUAUUGUAGAUGAUACAUAUGACUCAUAUGCAACAUAUGAAGAGCUCAUUCCCUAUACAAAUGCAAUUGAGAGGUUAGAUUUCUUUAAUUUUGCUAGUAAUAGGUUAGGUUUUUUUUGUUCAAGUGAACAUUCAAGUAUAUAUUACGAGGAAUGAUCAAAUAUAACGUUGAGGUUUGAUUCAGGUGGGAUAUCAAAUGCAUAGAUGAACUUCCUGAAUACAUGAAACCAAGCUACAAGGCACUAUUAGAUGUUUAUGAAGAAAUGAUACAAUUGGUGGCUGAGAAUGGGAGACAAUAUCGUGUUGAGUAUGCGAAGAAUGCGGUAUGUACAUUUGCAAACAUUUAUUUUAUACAAAAGAGAUAAGAUCUUAGCUAAAUUCUAGAUUUGAAUAAACAACUAACUUGAAUAACAAUAUAUAAUCAUUUAAAUAUUAUUAUUGAAUUUUAAUUGAUAUUAGUGAUAAUUGUUGGGACUUUGUUGUCUUAGAUGAUACGACUUGCUCAAUCUUACCUUGUGGAGUUCAAAUGGACUCUUCAAAACUACAAACCAUCAUUCGAGGAGUUUAAGGCUAAUGCAUUGCCAACUUGUGGUUAUGAAAUGCUUGCUAUUACAUCUUUCGUCGGCAUGGGAGAUAUUGUAACGCCAGAGACCUUUAAAUGGGCAACUAAUAACCCUAAGAUCAUUCAAGCUUCCACAAUUAUUUGUAGGUUUAUGGAUGAUGUUGCUGAACACAAGGUAUAAUAAUAUAUUUAUAUGAUCACAAGAAACCGAACUCUUAGCUCAAUAAUUGAAUGUCUUUGUAGCAAAAUUAAAUGAUGGUUUUUAUCAUGAUCUGAAACAAUUAAAGUUUAAUGUUGACAUAUCAAAUGUUUAGUCUUAAAUCGAAAAAUAAGAAAAUAAAUCUAGUUUCAUUUUAAACAAAACUAUAUUAAAUAUAGUUUAAUAAUAUGAUAGGUUUUAGGGUAUAUAGUGAUAGAAUAAUUUUGAUUUUAUUAUGGUUGCAGUUCAAGCAUAGAAGAGAAGACGAUUGCUCAGCAAUUGAGUGUUACAUGGAAGAAUAUGGCGUAACAGCAGAAGAGGCAUAUGAUGUAUUCAACAAGCAUGUUGAGAGUGCGUGGAAGGAUGUAAAUCAAGAGUUUUUGAAACCAACAGAAAUGCCAACAGAAGUUUUGAAUCGUAGUCUAAACCUUGCAAGGGUGAUGGAUGUGCUUUACAGUGAAGGAGAUGGCUAUACAUAUGUUGGAAAAGCAGCUAAGGGUGGGAUUACUUCAUUGCUGAUUGAACCAAUCGCAGUUUGAAAUUAUAUUAAAAUUUCCUCUUCAAGCUUUUUCCUUAAGGAAUAAAUAUUAAAUUUUAAGUAAUAAUGUUUUAUAAUAUUCAUACAUAUCAUAUAAAGAAAAAGUCCAAAUUGAUUAGAUUUGUACUCAAUACCUUAUAUUAAUCCAAUGAAGUUUUUUCUACCUUUUUACCAUCAAAGUCCUGCUCUUUUUUCAAGAAAAGCUUUCUUCUGUUUCAUAUUUUCUUUUCUUUUAAUUGUUUAUUUAUUUAAUGGCAUUCAUGAAUAUAUAUAUAUAGUAUGAGAAUAGGAAGAAUAACAAAUAUCAUAAAUGGGAUCAAAGUAGGAAAAAGAAUCCAGUAAAAUUACCACUUAAGAGAUAGGUUUUCCUUUAUUCAAAUUUACAAUUUACUAAUAUCAAAUAUGAAAUGCCCACAUUAAUUAACACUCAUCUAAUUUGUAGGUAAUUGUAAAUAAUAAAUAGUCUAUUUCAAUGUAGUAGUUGUUUGAAUGAUAUGAUUGGAGAAGAAUGUGAAAUCAAAUACUCAAUUGAAAAAAUCGUUUCAUUUAAUUCCCCACUCAUAAAUUAAUUAACAUAAUGAAGAAAGUAAUAAAUUUCUCGUUCAAACAUUAUAUCCCCGACAUUGACAAAACAAUAAAAAGUAACCAUAAAAAAUAAAAUGAAAAAAAAAGAUAAUAUUUGUGAAAAAUAUUAACCCCCAAAAGGAAAUAACUAUAUAGCAAUAGAAAAUAUAAUCUACUCUAAUUUGUCGCUAUAACUUUGGAGUGUGAUCUUGUCGUGCUCUUCCUCUUUGUUGGCCUAUCUACCACCGUUGUUUCCACUUUCAGCGAUGUUUUCUUCUUUAACAUAACUUUAUCUUUCGAGAUUGCAUACAAUAAAGGUUCACCUUUCAAAUAGACUUUCAGGCCUUGCCUCAACGAGCUCACCUAGCCAAGCAUACCUUUGUCUAUUCAAGCCUUUCCAUUACUAGCCCACCCUUUAGAAUUGACUCUUAAGCUCACCUUUUUAAUCUUGUUAAGAUCAUGAAAAAGUUACACCAACAAAAUACCUACCCGUCCAUCAUCUCCUUUUUAGGCAUGCCAAAGACAACACAUCACAUCAUCAUCGAAAGGAGAGCACCUCGCCAAAAAAAGUUCUCGGGAAAAGCCACUUUAUAACCUCUUCCUCGACUUUCAAAGGAAAAUUAUUAUACUUAAACACCUCGCUAGGUCAACCAAUUUUAUCUAGAAGGGCUCGCCCAUGAAAGGGCUUGCCAAAUUCAAGCUUUCAAUUAUCUCCUUACAUGUGCCACUGUCAAAUCAAGUCCCAGUGCUGAGUCUCAUUAGGGCCUACUCAGAGGUCCUUUCUACCACAUCCUAGUAGGACCCUCCAUAACUUUAGUACAAACUCCAUACACUACCACAUGUCAUUGCCUGACAGGGCUUUUUUGGCCUUACGACUGAGCCUGAGGUAGACCACCAUCACAAUAAGCUGUACACAAACCUCUAUAUGAAGUUACCUCUUUCUCUAAGAAGAGGUAUAUUCAUUUUCCAUAAUAACCUUGUCUAAGUUCAUUCAUAACUCUAGAUAUCUCCAAACCUAUUUACUUCCUCUAGUGGUUCUUAGCAUGUUGGUGUGAAUUACACUCACUGUAAACCCAAUCUCCUUUAAUGGUUCUCAGUACUUUAGUAUUAACAUCCCUAGGUACUUCCAUUUUUGAGUCAUAUAAGACAUUGUCUUCUUCUUCAUUGGAGCUAUCGUUAUUUCCACCACCUCUUUCAUCAAAGAUACUUCAGAAGUUUAAAUGCAAAAAAAAAAAAAAAUUGUCUAGCUAUACUUUUUGUGCCAUAGUCCAACUAUGGUCUUACACAUACAUUGUCAUGGCCCUACCAUGGUCUUACAUUUGUAGUGCCAUAACCCAGUUAUGGUCUUAUUAUCAGAAUGUCAUAGCCCAGCUAUGGUCUUACACAUGUAUCUAUAUUGCCAUGGUCCAACCAUGGUCUUACGUUCAAGGUGCCAUAACCCAGUUAUGGUCUCAUUAGAAAGCUAUAGCCCAGCUAUGGUCUUACAUAUAAACACUGCCAUGGUCCAACCAUGGUCUUACGUUCAUAGUGUCAUAACCUAGUUACGGUCUUAUCCCUCAAUUCAUCCUUUGCCACAGAACGAUUGUACUCAAUCCCGCAUUCAAUCCAAACUGAGUAUUAAAUUCAAUAAUAUAUUUCUAAUAAUAAUUCAAUUCCAACAAUUGAACACACAUAUAUAUAAUAUCCAUCACCAAAUAUCAUUCACUUUAAUCAAAAUUAUACAGAAUAUAGUUCAUACGAACUUACUAGCCUAAAUUGCAUAAAUACCAAUAUACAGAGGCAUUUUAGUAAUUUUCCAUUUUCCUCGAUUUUCCACUCAAUCUUGAUCUAAAUUAAUAUUUUAUUCAAUUUAUUAAUUUAAAUAAUAAAACAAUUUAUUUCAUACAAUUUGGUCAUUUUUGACAUUUUUACAAAAUUACCCUUAAAAUUUUACUUUUAUUCAAUUUAGUCUCUGAAUCUAAAACAUGCAAAUUAGUCAUUUUUAAUGAAAACUCAUGCUAGUUGAAUAUUCAUAUAUUUUCCUCCUCCUCCUCUCCAUUCCACAUCCUUAAUGUAUAUAUUAUGCUUAUAUGUAAUAUUAUCUAUAAUUCUACUAUUUACUUAUGUUCAUAUCAAAGCUGUCCACUUGAAUCACGGUCAAUAAUUUAUUUAUAUCUCGAGCUAUAGAAUUCUAAAUUAAGAUUCGCUUGAUGUUUUUGAAACUAGACUCAAAUAUCUUUCCACCAUAAAAUUUUUAGAAUUUACAGUUUAGCCUAUAAGUACAGUAAAUGCUUCAAAUUUAUCCCUAUUCUGCUGUUUGAUAGCUUUGACCUUUGCUUGCUAAAAAUUAAUUAUCUCUUAGUAUGGUGUCUGAAUGAUGUUUCUGUUUGUUUCUCUUGAAAAUAGACUCAUCAAGAAUUUUAAAAAAUAAAUUUAAACCCCUAAUUAUUUUUUAAAAAAUUUUGAUGAUUUUCCAAAGUCAGAAUAGGGGAACCCGAAAUCAAUCUGACCCUGUCUCACAAAAAUUCAUAUAUCUCUUAAUAUGAAAUUCUUUUGCUUACAUCGUUUCUUCCAUGUAAAACAAGACUUAAUAGGAUUUAUUUUAAUACUUUAAUUAACCUCUAAUUCAAUUUCUACGUUUUUUGGUGAAUUUUCAAAGUCAGACUACUACUACUGUCCAAAACUGUUUUAGUGUAAACUGUUGAUAACCAAAUUUAUAACACCCUCAUUUCCUUUCUCUACAAUAUUUCCCAUCACUUCCUCUUAUUUCCCUUUACUAGAAUAUCAAGAACAUAGAAUCUUAUAUAAUAAAACUCUACUUUACCAUCAAUUUCAUACUUUUUCAAUAAUAUCAAACUAAAAAAUAUAUUGAAAUCUUGAGGUUCUUACCUUGUCCUAUUGAUUUCAAUCUUUAACUUAAUUUUCUCUCUCCUCCAGCUUCUAUUUCUUGAAUCUAACUUGAUACUCUAGCUCCCCAUUGUCUCCUUAUUAUUUUUCUCUCUUGGUAGCUAUGGAAAUUCUUUUGAUUUCUAAGUGAAAAUGGUGAAUUUUUGGUAAAAUGACCAAAUUAUAAAGAAAAUAAAUUUUCUUUCUUUCAUUUUUUUUUCUUCUCACGUUGGAGGCAUGAAAGAUGAUAAAUUCUCUUCAUCUUUCCUCCCUUUUAUAUUAAUCAUUUAAUAAUAAAAUAAUACUAAGAAUCUAAAUAAAAUAUUAAUUAAACAACAUUUAUCUAAUUAAUUAAUUAAAAAUAUCACCAACAUCAUCAUUACCUUUUAGAGUUCUCUCUCUUUCUAAUUGACCAUUUUGCCCUUCAUGAUCUUUUAAAAUUCCAUCAUUGAGUCAUCACUUAAUUUGGUAAAAUUAUGAUUUAGUCCAUCAUAAUUCUUCACCUAUUCAAUUUGGUCCUAAUUCAUCCAUUUUCCUUAUUUUCUAGAUCAUUCCACCCUUAAAAUAUUUUCACUAUUGGUCCUUGAACUUUUUCAUAUUUACACUUUAACCCCUCAAUUUUUGAGUAUUUACUCUUGGGCAACAAAACUUUUCUCACUUUUGCGAUUUAAUCUUUUCUUGCAUUAAUAUGUCAUAAUAUACUUCCCAAUGUUGACAUAACUCAAAAUUUCCCUUUUUGUCACUUUAUUUCCUUAUUUUACUAUAUCAAGGAUACUAUAUUACUUUAUUCCUGUAGUAAUUUUUGGGGUAUUACAAGGACGGACCAACUAGGAAAUUAUUCCCAGGCCCGCAAACACACCGUUCCAUGAGCGACUGAAAAGAAACAAAAUCACUGGGCAAAAAUUAAAAAAAAAGAAAUAGGACUAGAUUGAAAAACAAUUAAAAAGCAGAAGGACUGAAGUAAAAAUUAGACCCUUUCUUAAGAAAACAUGCGGAUCUUGUUUGUAUUUAGGUCAUAUUUCAAAAUGACGUCGUUUUGGGGCUAUUGAAGCUAGCUUUAAACGACGUCGUUUAGCCUCGCCUAUAUAAGCCAAAUUUUUUUUAAAAAAAAUCAUUAUGUUUAGUUUUUCUUAAAAAAACUGAGUCUUUUUUUCUCUCUCGGUUUUCCACGUCUGCCCCUGGCGCCGGCGAUGAUUUCACCGUUCCCGGUGGCUAGAAUCUACGAGCAACCAUUUUUUGGCCGUUACGGCUUCUUGAGCCCGAAUCCGGGGUCAGUACUUUCCAAAACCCAACAAAAAAAUAAAAAAAAAUCUAAACAGCCCCUUGGUUUUCUACGCCGUGGUCCUUAGACAAAACAGAAGUGACUUGGAGGUCUCAUCGAAGGGAGCCGUCCGUCAUCACGGACGGAGUCCUCGUCUACUCGCGGCGGUGGAACAUGAAACGACUCAGUAAGUUUUUUUGAUUUUAUGUUUUAUGUUUUUUUUUCUAAAAAUAACAGAUAAAAAAAAUGAAGAAAAUCACCUUUAAAAAUGUUUUCUUUGUAUUCUGUUUUUUUAUUCCUUUUUUUCUCGUAAAGAAAUACAUAAAAGUCAUGGCUUUUAUAGUCGAAUUACACUCUCUUUUUUACUGUUUUUCUACUGUUUCUACUGUUUUUUCUUGGGUGUUGUGCUUCUGUCCUUGUUCUGCCUUUUUUGCAAGUGUCCCUAGUCGACGGCGACAACUGGCAGAUGAGGUGUCAAACCUCAGGCAACAAAACCGCUGGUAAAGCAGAGGCGGCGGCGCGCUGGCUAAGGAUUCUGUCCUUCUGAAAAUGUUUGUUUUUUGGGCCACUGGGCUCGCUUUUUACAUUUGGGCUUGUAAUAUUUUUAUUUGGAUUUGUAAUUUUGUAUUUAUUUGUAAAUUAGGCUUGAGCGAAAUUGGGUCAUUAUAUUGUACAUGUAAAAUGUUUUGUGGGUUAACUGGUCGAGUCAAGUACAGACGGCUACCAAAAGAAGAUGUGUUAAAUCAAAGGAAAAUAAUCAAGCGAAUUUAUAAUUUUAACGAAGAUAUUGUUGGUUGAAAUUUUUAAGUAUUUUGUAUUUAUAUUUAAAUUUUAUUAUAUGUAAUUAUCAUAUUUAGAUCUUUAGUUUUAUAAUGCGUCGUUGUUAAGUGUAUAUUUUUGUCCAAUGAAUCAAUUUUAGUUUUAAUUAUUUUAAUUUUUAAUGUAUUUUAUAUUAAUUUAAUUCUAUUUUAUAAUUAUCCCAAAUGCAUUUAUAAAUAUACUAUAAUCACAAUAGAAUUUAUAAUUUCAUAUCGUUUUUUUUAAUAUUAGUUUUAUAUCCUAACACAUCAUGAAUUUAUCAUUAAAUUUGUAUUAUACUUAUUUUAUUAUUGAAACUUUGAAUAUGAUUGUUUUAUAGUUGUGAUUUCCUUUUUUAACAUGUCAGGUUUAGAGAAUAUAUAUAUAUAUAUAUAUAUAUAUAUAUAUAUAUAUAUAUAUAUAGAAUAUUUAAAUUUAUAUAACCUGUCAGUGCAGAAAGAUGUGGGUUUGAGUGUGUUAAAACAUAUUGUUCUCUUAUUUAAGGGCUAGAAAAGGAUUAUAGGUAAAUCUAGGUAUUAUAUAAAAAAAUAGUUGAUUUGGAAUUAAUAAAAAUGUAAACUUAACUAUUCAUAAGUUUAUUAUCAAUUAAUAAAAAUUAAUUCUAAUAAUUUUUUUUUUCAUAUUUUUAGUAAAUUCAUUUUAAAAAUCUAGAGACUGUAAAGUCAAUCAGUAGAGCACAUGCUUGUUGGAGAUACUUUAAUUCUGGGAUAUCAAUGCCAUUAGUAAAACUACGCAUGCAGAAUAAAAUAUUAAAAAGAAAUAAGAUAUUAAUUUUAUUGAUAACUUUGAAUUAUAAAUAUAGACGCCAUUGCUGAAAUUUGCUUACUCUGAAUAUUUUUCUUCUCAAUUCUAAUGUAUCAGAAAAUUUUAAAUGAUGGGUUUUGAAUAUAAAUUUCUAGUAUUCACUGAAUCAUACAACUAUGGAGUACUUACAAUUCAAAUUGAAAAUAUUGUGAAAAAUAACUUAUUCAAAUAGUCAAGCCUUCUUAUUGUUAAGUUUUUUACUAUUAUAAUGGUACUACAUUUACAAAUAUAAAGACAUGUUUAAGUUUUAUCUUUUACAUAAAUGAUAUGAUUCCAUUCAUGGAAUGAAUGGUGACGACUUAAAAUACUAGAGGUCCAAAUUGAUUCGUGAAAUUAUUUAUUAUUCUAAAAUACUCUCUAAACAAAAACAGAUCAAGAGCCAAUUAAAAGUCACUCACUUUCUUAGAGAAACUGUUGAUGGUCAGGGUAAUUUCAGCGACGAUAGGCAUCAUCAUCUGUCCAUCACAACAUGUGAAGAUAACAAAGAUACCUACAAAAUAGAUGUAUCAAUUGAAAAGAGAGAAAACCUAUGGAAUAGAUGAGGAGAAAAAAGAAAGUGAGUUGGUGGGAGGGAGCAAAAGGUGGGCAGUAGCCAGCCCGGAGAUUGCCACCGUUGCUACGCAAAACAAAAAAGAAGAAACAAACGGCUUGGAGAAAAAAGAAAAAAGACCUAAAGGACUAAAUUGCUCACUUUUAUACUUAAGGAGUUAAUUUGUUCUUUAGUUUAUAAUACAAGGAUCCACAUUAUAAAUUUUCCAUUACAAAUAGACGCCUUUGAUGAAAUUUGCUUAUUUUUCCUUUGAAUCUUUUGUGUUAAUUCCAAUGUAAAAAAUGGAAUAUUCUAAACGAUGGGUUUAAAAUAUAAAUUUCUAGUAUUGACUGAAUUGCAACUAUAGUGUUUACUAUUCAAAUUGGAAAAACAUGUUAAAUUAAUUGUGAAAGAAAAUUCAUUACUCAAAGAGUCAAGCGGUCUUGUUUGAAUGGUUUAUUUUUAUUAGAUAUUUUUCGUUGUUUUCACAAUUUUGUGUGGAAUUUCGUAGUUAUAUAUAUUGAGAAUUUGGUCACUGAAUUGUCUACUUCGUCUUUUACGAUGAUUCAAAUGACUCUUCAAUGCUCUCAGUGUAUCAAAUAUAUCAUAUAAUUUUAUGUAUUAUUUCUCAAGUCAAUUAUUUUACUGCUAUUUUAUGGAUGGCUGAAAAUAUGAUCAAUGUGCCUUUUUUUUUCCUCUAUGAAUGAUGACAUUAUGUUAGUCAACAGUUUACUAUCUUUAUAUAAUAUAUAUUAACAAUUUUUUAGUAAAUUAUAAGAGGAUGACAAAACGUUAAUAGUAACGCGACUCGGGGGCGAUGAAUACCCUGAUCAACAAGCCAACACACAGAUUUAUAUAUUAACAAUUUUUUAGUAGUUAAUUUUUCUUAAUAUAGGUAAACCUCACAAUUUUGAUUUCAAACUCAAAAUUUGACUUGAAAAAUUUUACUUGAUCAAUUUAAAAUAAAGCUUAUUUUAUUUUUAUUUAAUUAUAAAAAAUUAAAAAUUUAAACUUAAAUUGCUUCAAAUUCAAAAUAUAGGGGCUGGCUCUGCACCCUAAAAUGGUAAGUUUCUGUUUUAGUGUUUUAAAUUUUAUAAACUAUGAAAAUUACUACAUGGGCUUUCAAAAAUAAUAAAAUUUUGAUUUAAUCUUUAAUUAAUUAUAAAGACGUAAGCUAUUAAAAUGAUGAAAUUACAUUUUACCUCUCGUAAAAACUUUACAACUUACAAGAGAGUAAAUAGAUCCGAAAACCUCAAGCAACACAAAAUUAUUUGAAUCCAAAGCUCAUUUAUAUCUAAAAAUUAUGUAAACAAAAUUGUUUAUGUUUAUACAUUUUUUUAAUAAUUUCAUUACAGGUUCUGAUCAUAUAUGCUCUUUUUGACAUAAUGCCUAGAAUUACCCGUAAUCUCUCCUCAACCCAUAAAUAGGAAGAUAAUGCGCUUAAGCACACUCAAAACUAGAUCCUCUUACAUUAACAAUAAUACACAUACCAAUCAAGAUUAUAUAUUUUUUAUUAAGCUAAAAAUGAUUAAUUAAUUGUAUAUAUUUUUUAAUGUGACCCAACACCAUAUGAAUGAAACAAAUGAAUGCAUCAGCUCACUUGACUGAUGAAAGACGUAAGAAAUAUUAAAAUCUAUAUAAUAAAACAAUUAAAAAAAAGAUUGCAGAUAGCUUGCACAUCAAGCCUACUAUGUUUGAUUUUUAAUUUAAAUUUCUUAUCAUUCAUUUUAAACGUUUAAUUAUGAUAUUUAAUUUCGUUGUCUUGUAGUAAUUUUUCUCCCAGGGUAUAUUCAAUUAAUGUUUGCCAAUGUAUAUCUCAAGAUCAUGACAAUGGUUUGACAUAAAAUUAUAUAGAUGCAUGCAAAUUUCCCCUUGUUUUCUAUUAAUCAUUUAGUUUUGGCAUAAUAAUUUUUUCGCCCUCCAACUUCACAAAACAAGUCAUUUUAGCCCUCCAUUAAAAUUUUCGCUUCUUUUAACACUUGAAUUUGUAUUUUUUGUCAAGUCACUCCAAAGUAGAUGGAAAAAUAAAUUUUUAUUAACUUUCAUGACGUGUUAUAUAUGUGGAUUGCUGAGCAGAUGACAUAUUAGCAUUUAAUUCAUCUCUAAACUAUUAAAAAUAUUGUUAUUGUAUUUUUUAAUAAUUUAAUAAUUUUUAAUUUUUAAAUAUAAUUUUAUAAUAUUUUGAAUUUUUUAAAUUUUAAAAAAUUAAUUAAAUAUUGGCAUGUCAUCCCUAUAGCAGUCCACAUGUAUACAACAUCAACAAAGUUAAAAAUGUUAACUUUUUCAUUCAUUUUGGGGUGAUUUGACAAAAAUACGGAUUUAAGGACUUAAAAAACUAAAAAAUUAAAUGAAAAACUAAAAUGAUUUUUUUAUAAAAUUAAAAUAUAUAAAAAAAAACAUUAUGCCUUUUACUAGAAUGAGCACCCCCUUUCACUGGGGCUGCUGUAAAUCUUAUUAUAAUUUAGUCAAUUGAUAGUUAAAAACAAUUUAAAGAUGAAAUAAUUAUUUUUGUUAAAAAUUUUAUUUCUAAAUUUAAUAAUAUGACUAUUGAUAUUUAUAUUUUUAAUCAUAAAAAUUAAAUUUAACAUAAUUUUUUAAGAUUUAGUGCUGAUUUUAGACUGACAUAUAAGUUAAUCUAUGGAUCAAUUAUUUUGGAUACAUCAUUUAAUGCGAUAAUAAAAAAAUUCAUGCAAAUUCAAAUUUAAAUAAAUCAACUCAAAAAAUUUGAAUAGUUUACUAUCUCUAUACAAUAUAUAUCAGCAAUUUUUUUGGGUGAAUUAUAAGAUGAGGGCAAAGUCUUAAAUAGGAAUGCAGCUUGAACUCAGGUCACACUUGAGGCGAUGAAUACCCUAACCAUCAGACUAAUACAUAAAUUCAUAUAUUAACAAUGUUUUAGUUGCUAAUUUUUCUUAAUAUCGGUAAACCUUGCAAUUUUGAUUUCUAACUCAAAAUUUGACUUGAUAAAUUUAACUUGAUGAAUUUAAAAUAAAGCUUAUUUUAUUUUUAUUUAAUCAUAUAAAAUUCAAACUUAAAUUGAUUUAAAUUCGAAAGAUAGGGGUUGGUUCUGCACUCUAAAAUGGUAAGUUUAUGUUUUAGCAUUUUAAAUUUUAUAAACUUUAUAAAUUAGUAUAUGGUAAAAAUUAUACUUUGACUUUCAAAAAUAAUAAAAUUUUGAGUUAAUCCUUAAAUAAUUAUAAAGAUGUAAGCUAUUAAAAUGGUGAAAUGGCAUUUUACCUCAAGCAACAGAAAAUUAUUUUAAUCUAAAGCUCAUUUAAAUCUAAAAAUGAUGUAAACAAAUUUGUUUUAUGUUUAUACAUUUUCUUAAUAAUCUCAUUAUAAGUUCUGAUGAUAUCUGCUUUUUUUAACACAAUGCCUAGAACUACCCAUAGCCCCUCCUCAACCCAUAACCCCUCCCCAACCCAUAAAUAGGAGGAUAAAGCAUUUAAGUGCACUCGAAACUAGAUCCUCUUACAUUGACAAUAAUACCUAUACCAAUCAAGCUAAAAUUCAAUCCACUUUGUAACGUCUUGAAUAAUUUAAGUUUGUUUUUUGUGAAAUCUGACAUUAAGGUGUAUUUGUUUUAGUGGUUAAGUGUCCUGAGUGUGUGUGUAUCAGGUCUAGGGUUCAAUUCCUACAUUUGAAAAUUUUUUGUUAUUUUUGAUCCAAGCCUUAUCCCUAUUGGGUGGGUUUAUAUAAAUUGUCUGUUAAUCUAUAUCAAAAUGAGCAUAUUAUUUCGAGUGGUAAUGAGUUAACUUGUUGGAGGUCUUACGUUUGAAUCCCCACGUGAGCGAGGGUAAUAAUUUUUGCUUCGAUUGACUGAGUUUGGAUGGAAUCGAAAUUCUGUUUAAAUGGGUAGUUAUCAGUUGGUUAGGAGUGGAUAUAGUGGGAUUUUUAUUUUGAGAUUAAUUUAUUUUUAUUUUUAUCUUAUUUUAUUUUUUUCCCAAAAUCUUUUUUUGUUUUGAGGUUCUGUUUUCUUUUUCUUUUCAACUUCUGUCAAUUUUUGCUCUCCUUUCCUCUUUUGUUUUGGUAAUCAAAUUUAUUGGUGCAAUUCAUUGUAUUUCAGUCUAAGUACCCAAUUUCGGUUUGAUAAGUGUGGUUUUUAUUUUUGGCUAGUGAAUUUUUGGUUGAUGGGGUCUCAUUAUUGUUGUUUAUGAGAAGAUCAAGGGGCUUGGGGCUUUCUAUCAGUGUUAUAACUAUAGGAAAUCAUCAUUGUUCAUUUGACAGUUAGGGUUUUGGUUGAACAAGAGAUUGUUAAUUCGAUAUAGUUUCAGUUUAGCAUUGUUUUAGGUGGCUAAAUUCGACUUUUUAAUGAUCAAUUUUAGGUUCUGGUGGUCUCAAGAGUGAUUUCGCAUCAAAAUUGAACGAGGUGUGUACUCCUAACACGAAAAAAUUGAGUUUCGACGAAAGCUAAAAAUGGAGUCUGUCGACGCUACACAGGUGUGUGGCCGAUCGUAUGGAUGGCCGUGUGUGAGACACGACCGUGUAACUAAUGAAUGAGUGGUCAUGCACAAGACACGGUCGUGUGAUGGUGUGAGUGUGGCCAUAUGGGCCACACGGGCUAGGCCAAGUUAGGCAUGUGGGUGUGUGGGUUUUGGGCUAAACCAGUGGACCACACGGAUAAGGCCAAUCUGGGCGUGUGGGGCCACAUAGGCAUGUGGGCCCAGAAUUCUAAAACUUUCCCUAAGGUCGCACGGGUCAUUUCGAUCGACUGUGGGCCUACCGUAGGGUCGGUAAAGGCUAACCAAACCUUAUUUCAUGUGAUUUGAUAUUCUGAUAGACCGAUCUGAGUAGGAUACUAAUAUGCAUGUUUGACUGUACUGUUUAAGUAUGUAUCUAUCUGUAUACGAGCAUGUUAAGCAUGUUUAAUAUGAUAUUUUUGCAUUUGUACUCUGUAUCUAUGAAUAGAGUGGGAAUUGUAUAUGUGGAGGAAGUGAUCUGUGUAGCGACUCUUCACCUAUAUUUUGGCAACUUGACUGCAUAUUAUCUGUUAUGUGUCGCAUCGACAUUGUAUAAUGUGUAGGGAUGGGUGAGUGUUUUUAACGUUACGUGGUGUGAUGGUAUGGUUGGAGACGGUGUGUAGAGGAUGGGGGUAGGAUUCUGCAUAUCUUUUCUAUUUAUCUGAUUAUGAUAUUUGUAUCUGUUAUGGACUUAAGUUCGAAUAUGUAUCUGACUGUAUAUGAAGCAUUGUGCGUGUUGCAUGGCUAUUUCUAUUGGGUUACACACUGAGUUUAUGAAAAUACACAAUUGUUUGUCUAUUCUGUUCAGGAAAUCCAUAAACUUAGGCGGGUCGGUGCGAUACAGGCUUUGCGGUAACCACUCGACCAAGAACUAUUUUUAUUUAGUAAUUAGUGGUUUAAUUUUAAAGUCUGGUUUUUCUUGAUAGUUUGUAAUUUUUGGGACUCUCCGGACAGUUUGGUUUUAACUUUUGGAUUUGGAUUUUGUUUUGCUAUUUUUUCGCAACGUCAACAAAAACACUUUAUGCAACAAAUGGGUUUUUGAAAACACGAGCUUGGUUUUUGUUUUAAACGAUUUCCAAACUUUAGCUGCGAAAUAAAUGUUAAUUUUAAGGAACAACUUAUAACGAUUUCAGUAAUGAAUAUGUUUUAUAAUACUUGACGUUUUAUCAAAUAGCUAAACAUGGUUUAUCGAAGAAUCGUCGAUUUCAAAACCCUUAUUCGUAACACUCUCGAAUUCAGCCAUAACAUCUAGGCCAUGUUUGGGGUGUUACAUUUAGUGGUAUCAGAGUCAAGUUGCAAAACUCGAGAUGUGAAUUUUGGGUUCCGAAUUUGUGUUUUGAAAAAGGACUAGUUUUCAAACGAUUUGAAUAAUUUUCAAUAAGUAUGUGGUACAUCAAGUCUCCGGCACCGAUCCUGUAAGUAUUUCUGAACUUAGAUAGAACAUUCUUAAAAUACUAUAGUUAGUACUUUCUAAAACUGUACUGAGUUAGUUAGAGCUUAAAACCUCUGAAAUCCUUUGGAACUUCUGAUAACUUGAGCAUAAAAUAUCUGUUAAUAAACACUGGAACUGAUGCAUAAAAUUUUAUAAUGUAAAUAAAACUGAAAAUACGAUGAGAACUCGUGGAACUCACGGUCGUAAUAUUCGUGGGCGCGGCGGGCGCCGUAGGGGGCUUAAGCUGAGUUUUCCUCUUUAAGCAGUAUGCCGAAUUUAAAUAUGAGUGAGACACCAGUUUCACUUGUUACUGAGACUAGGUCUCAAAGCCGCACAGUUGGGGACGACACACUAUCCCAAGCCAUGUUAAGGGUGUUGGAAAGGGUUGUUGGACCUUAUUUUAGAUUUAGGGGCCAUUGGUCGGUAACUGAAUGACUCCAGUUCAGUGGAGCUGAAUUGUUUAGGGGUGUCACUGGAGUCGCCCCUACUGUGACUAAGUAUUGGUUGGUGGCCACUGAGAGGAUUAUGAAAGACAUCGACAACACUCCUAAGCAGAAAUUGAAGGGUGCAAUUUCUUUGCGUCAUAAUGAGGUGUAUCAGUGGUGGUUAUCGGUAGAGAAGGGUACUCAACCGGAUCGUCUGAACUGAAACUACUUUAAGACUGCCUUCUAGGAAAAAUAUGUGGGCGCGAGCUAUGUUGAUGCUCAUUGGCAUGAGUUCAUGAAUCUCACGCAAGGUAAUAAGGCUGUGGCCGAGUAUAAGGCCGAGUAUGAUGAAUGUGUCCAUUUUGAGGAUGGUUUGAGAGAUAGUUUAAGCGUCUAAUUGCUCUGUAGAGGGAGCGUGAGUUUGUUAUUUUGGUAGAUAAUGCGAAGAUCACUGAAGAGGUUAAGCGCGUGGAGCGCCAAAACAAAGACCAAGAGAAGGGAAAUAAUAAGAAGGAUUUGGAGCCCUCUAGUUCUGUUCAAAGGCCUAAGAAACGGGCCAGACCUGAUGUGCCUAUUAGAGUGGGAGUUCCUGUUGCUCCUACUUGGAUUCAGCCUUGUAGUGAUUGUGGUAGGCGCCAUCCGAGCGAGGGUUGGAGGAGAUUAGUGGCUUGUUUGCGGUGUAGGUCAUUAAAGCACCAAAUUAGAGAGUGUCCACAUCGUGUGGAUCAGAUGCAAGCUUUGGGACCGAGUUCUACUCAGCCUUAGUGAGUAAUACAGCAGCCACCUAGGGUCCGUGGGCUGGCUGGGGGUGGUAAUGGUAUGGGCCAAGGACAGAGCACCGGGAAAAGUGCUAAUCAGACUGAGGCGAGGCAACCUGCACUGGUUUAUACUGCUCGACACCGAGAGGACAGAGAUGCCCCUAAUGUGAUCAUGGGUACAUUCUUUAAUUUGAUGCUCCAUAUACUGCUUUGAUAGACGUAGGUUCUACACACUCCUAUGUAGCUAGUUUUGUUUUCGAGAACUUAGGGAUUUCUAUUGAGUGUACUUCUGGUGAGAUUACUGUACUAAGUAUGUUGGGGAAAUCUGUUCGGGUUAGUAGACUAUAUAGGAAUGUUCCAUUAGGGGUACAAGGGGUUGUGUUUCCGGCAAAUUUGAUGGAGCUACCGUUUGGGGAGUUCGACUUAAUUCUAGGUAUGAAUUGGUUAGUUGAGCACCGAGUUAGCUUGAAUUGCACGACUAAGAGGGUCGUUCUAAAGACCGAGGAUGAUAAGGAGGUUGUCGUAAUUGUCGAGCGUCGAGAUUACCUGUCUAAUGUAAUCUCCGCUCUAGUGGCUGAGAAAUUGGUUCAAAAAGGGUGUGAGGCGUAUUUGGCUUAUGUCAAUAUUUUAGUUUUUCUUGGGGCUUUUCUGUUGAGGAUAUGAGAACAGUGAGGAAAUUUUUGGAUUUUUUCCUGAAGAGUUGCUGGGUUUACCUUCGAAUCAGGAAGUUGAGUUCGGCAUUGAGCUUCUACCGGAUACAGCACCGGUGUCUAUUGCUCCAUUAUUUUGGAUCAAUUAUUUUGGAUACAUCAUUUAAUGCUAUAAUAAAAAUAAGAAAACUAAAUUGACUUGAGAGUGAUUUUAUGAAUCGACUUGUAUAAAUACAACAUUUAUAAAAAAUAUAAACAAUUGGGUUCGGAUUUUAAAAAGUUUUCAUGUAAACCUUUUUAAACAAAUUAUUUAAAUUUAAAUUUUAAAAAAAUUAUUUCAAUACUUUUGUUAACUCAUAAAUAAUAUGUAAAAUUAUAUAGAAAUUAAACUGUUCAUAAAAAUUUAAAUUUAAAUAAAUCGACACGAAAAUUCCAAACUUCAAACAUAAAUAAUCGAAAAUCUCAAGAUAUAAUGACUAUGAUUUGAAGUAAAAUUAGGUAGAUGCACCUAGUUUUCUCUUUGUUUCUCUAUUCGGUUUUCAUUAUUUAUUUUAAAACAAAUAUAUUGAUAAUUUGAAAUAAUUAAUAAUUACAAGCAAGUGAAGGUACCUUAGAAGCAAUUUUUUCAUUUACAUAUAACUGGGAAAACUUUGAAUUAAAUUAAAUAACUAUAUCAACUAUGAUCUGAAAAACUUUAAAAAAGAAUUUACACAUUUAAAUGAGACGAUAUUCGAAUUAGAAAUCUCAAAAUUUUUAAGAAUUCAAUGAAGACUAUUGAUUAUUACUAAAUUAUAGUACAUCCACUUUGUGGAUGAAAAAAAAUUUAUUAAAAAAUAUAUUUACCAAAUAAAACUUUGAUUAAAAUGAUAAUAUUGAAUGUUUAAAAUCAUAAUAUAUUAGAUUCAAUUCGUCGUCACAUAUGAAAUUUAUUGAUUCUGUACUGCUAGAUGAAUUUUGAACAACAAAUGGAGUGCUACCAAUUUUGCAAAUUAGAAAUCAAUUAAAAUUCAUAAAAACAAUUUUUGGUUUGGGAAAUUAAAAGUUUAUUAGAAAGUAGUAUUAUGCAUGAAAAAGAUAUACCUUUUAUUCAUGUUUAUUUGAAGUGAGAUUUCACCGUAUGCAAACAAGAGAGUUACAAUACAAGGUAUAUACUAUACCAGCAGAUCCUCUCGCUCUAUUCUCUUCUUCUUCUUCUGCUUCUUCCACCUCCUCUCUUGUAAGCUUCUUUUCUUAAAAUGCUUCACUGUUCUCUUCGCUGCUCUCUUUUUUCUUCUCUUCCUUUGGAAAACGAGGCCACCCUUAAAUGUUAAUAACAUUGUCAAAUAACAUAAAAGCCAACAUUAAAAAUUUAUAGUCAAAACCCAAGUUAAGGUCAAAAAUUAAAAUCGAGCUAUGAAAGUGUAGCAAGAUUCAACUUGGAUUUUUCAAAAUUAAACUUAACACUAGAAACCUGAUUACCUGCGAUAGUGAGUUUAAAAUUGAGCUUAGCCUGAAUAAAAAUAAGUUAUAAUAGUAUAAAUAAUAAUUUUUUAAUUACUAUUCAAUUGAAUUGAUAUUUGAUUAAUUUAUGAUAUCAAUUCAAUGAAAUAGAAAAUAUAAAUUUAUCUUAUUUGAUGAUUCAUGAAUUAAAUGCAUAUUUAAUUUAAAUGUUCUAAGUUAAACUUCAUCUCGCAUUUGAUAAUUUUAGUAAUAAAAAAUAGGGAUAAAUCUAAAAAUUAUACAUGAAGUUUGAUUUAAUGUGUAAUUGUAUACAUGAACAUUAAUUUGGUGGAAUUAUACGCGUGAAAAUCUAAUUGUGGUUCAAAUAUAUACUUGAAACUUUAAUUUUGAUUUAACCAUACACAUUUAAAGAAAUAAAUACAUCAGUUUAUUUUUAUAUUGGAUAAAUGUAAUUAUUUAUGCAUGCAAUAUAUAAACAUAAAAUGAUGUAAUAUCAAUAAUUGUGUUAAUAAUUUAAAAGAAUUGGAUCAAAUCAAAAUUUCAUGUAUAAAAUUACACAAAAUCAAAGUUCAUGUAUACAAUUGCAUAUUAAACCAUAGUUCACGUAUAGUUUUGGGAUUUAUCCCUUAAAAUUAAAUUUUCGAUAAUUUCAAACAUAAAAAAUUUUAUCGGCAUACUUUUAUCAUUUUCGUCACUGCCGAUAGUGACUAAAAUGAUAAAAGUAUGUAACAAUAGUGCCCAUAUUGCAAUCUUUUCAUUUUGGGCACUGAAAAUAAAAAGACUACAAUAUGGGCACUGUUUCAAUGCACAAAAUAAAAAUUUAUGAAAGUUGGAUGACUAAAUGUGUAGUUUAGUCAAAAAUUUUAAAAUAUAUUUUUGAAAAUAGUUAUUUGAUAAUUGAUUGGUGCCAAAUCCACCAAAAAUAAUAUUCCUACGCCUAAACAAUAUAUAAACAUCAGUAUAAGGAGUAGGGUCGAUCCCACAGAGAUUGAACAUCUAAAAUUAUUUUUCGAUUUAGCUAAGUUGAGUGUCAAGCACGACAUGUGAUGAUCUGUACAAAAAUAAAAAAAAAGGGAAUUAAAUCUGAUUAAAAUAAAAUUAAUAGAAAUACUUAAAAUCGAAAUAAAAGUAAAAUAAAUAAAAAAAAUAGAUUGAAUAUACCAAUGUGAAAAUAUUCUAGCUUCAAGCUCAAUUUCGGCUCUAGUUUCAAGCUGAUCUUUGAUAACACAUCUUCUCCUUCAAUCGUUAAAUCCGUUAUAGUAAUCGAGGACACCUCAUACCACCAUUCUUUCCGUGUGUAAAUUAAUUAUGGGAACACCCAAAAACUAACCCUUACCGAACGAAUAACCACAAAACACGUGUCCAUGAUUUAGCUCUUCGAUAGCCUUGUGAACUAGAAGAGCCCAAAAAUAAUCAACAACCUUAAAUGUGUGUGUCAUUUAAAUUCGAUUGUUAUUUCUCUUGACGGAUCCAACCAACCACUUAAUUGGACACGCCAAUGUGUUCUUCAAUAGAUCGAAUACGAUAACAGAUUAUAUCGAUUCUUCAAAUUGUAUGUCUAUCAACACCAAAUCAACAAACUAUUUUUUACCUGGUGUCACUAUAACUUUAUGAGACGGCAAUGUCUAUUCCUGAAACAAGAGAAAUAAUAAAUACCAAAAUAAAUGUUUUUUAAGUACGAUUUUGAAUCUCAUGGUUUUCUCCCGAAUUGACUAUCACCUUAAAGCUAAAUGGGAAAUUUAGCUAUUAAGAAAUUGUAACACCACAAAAUAUAUAGGGUUAAUUAAUCAAGAAAUGUCCUUGGUUUGAUGGUUAAAAAGUUAGCACUUUCCUAAUGGUCCUAGGUUUUAUCCACAUCUCAUGUAACGCCCCAGAAUUUUUAUUUUUGUUCUUGCGAAAGUGUGCCACAACUGUGUAUUUGCUUCAGUGGUUAAGUGUUCUGGGUGUGUGAGAGGUCCCAAGUUCAAGCCAGGACUUGGGAAAAUUUUGGUAUUUUUAUGAAUAAGCCCUAUCUUUGGUCAGUAGGCUUUUAAGUAAAAGUUGAAAAAUAUUAUUAGAAUGGGCUUGCUGGUUUGGUGGCUAAGUUAUGUGUUGGUAGGUGGGAGAUCUGGAGUUCAAGUACUUGCACGAGCAAGGGAAUUAUUUUUUUUAUUGCUUGGCCGUGUGGCGUGGUGGAGUCCUAGUCAAAUUGAAAUUUCGAGUAGUGGAGUUGCUGUGGAAGGUUAGGGAGAGAACUAAGGAGAUGAGUUACCAGAUUUUUUAGGCAUUAUCUUUUUGUUUACUUUUUUUUUUCAAAUUUAGAACUCUUUUCCACCUUUCUAACAUUUUCUCUCUUCUCCCCCACUCUCAAUUUUCAGUUUUCCUCUUUUUUUCUAAAUAAUAAAUCAUUGUUGUUGAACUUCCUUUGAAUUCCCCUUUCGUUUUCGUUGUCUUUCUUCAUCUUUUCCCCUUUGUGCAAGUGUGCAAUUGUGUUGUACGGUAAGUUUCCAUUUUAUUAAACUCGAAUGUUACUCUGGAUAAGGGAUUAAGGGGUGUUUUGUUGACUGUUUAGGAGUCGAUUGUACGGCUGGAAUUAACUUUCAUCGAUUUGACUCGAAGGGGUGAUCGUUUGGUAUGCGUAUAGGGUAUGUGUUUUCUUGUGUUGUUUGGCCGAGUGGUUUUGGCUUUGAAUUCAUUCUUAACUUUGUUGAACUCUUCAUUAAUGAGGAAUGGUUAUUUUUACAGCAGCGAAUCAUUUCGGUUGCUAUCUCCCUCGUGUUGAGUAGUUGUGGAAUUGUGCGAAGUUAGAAAGCUUUUUGUGAUCUCGGGAUUGCGUAAGCAGCGAAAACGGUACAGGUGUGUACCCGAAAGGCAGAAAAUGAGAUUCAGCGAAAAGCCAAAAUUGCUUGCUGUCGAGAAAUAAGAGAAAAUGAUGCGAAAAAUUGUAGAGAAAGGAAAUAAGGGUGUUAUAAUCUUGGAAAUCGACAUUUUGCACUAAAAUAGUUUUGGACUGCAGCAGUAAUCUAACUUUGAAAAAAUCAUCCAAAAUAGUGAAAAUUGAGUUAGAGGUUGAAUAAAAUAUGAAAUUAAAUUUUGUUGAGUCUAGUUUUUCAUGGAAGAAACAAUGUAAGCAAUAAAGUUGUAAGUUAUGAGAUAUAACGAAUUUUGUGAGACAAGGUCAGAAUGGUUUCGGGUUCCCCUGUUCUGACAUUGGAAAAAUAUCGAAAAUUGUAAAAAAAAUAAUUAGGGGCUUAAAUUUAUAUUUUUAAAUCCUUAACAAGUCUAUUUUCAAGAGAAACAAACAGAAACAUCAUCCGAAUUUCGUACUAAGAGAUAAAUAAUUUUAGUAAGGAAAGAUUGAAGCUGUCAAAUAGUAGAAUCGGGAUAGAUUUGAAGAUUUUACUGUACUUAUUUGAUAAACUAUAAAAUCUAAAAAUUUUAUGGUAGAAAAAUAUUUGAGUCUAGUUUCGAAAACAUCAAGCGGAUCUUAAUUUAGAAUUCUGUAGCUCAAGAUAUAAAUAAUUUAGUGACAAUGACUCAAGUAGACAGCUUUGAAUGAACAUAUAAGUAAAUAGUGAAAACAUAUAUGAAUAUUUAGCUAGCAUGGGUUACAUUAAAAAUGGAUCACACGACCAAGACCAAUUUGGGUCGAGUGGGCUACACGGGCACACACGGGCGUGUGGGCCCAUUUUUACUGGAAUGUUUCUAAGGUUGCACGAGUCGCCCAAGUCGACUGUGAACCUAUUAUAAGGUCGGUUAGCGCUACUUAGACCCCUAAAUGUGUGAAAUUGACUGAAUGAUAUUUGUACUGAGCAUGUUAAUAUCUGAACUGAAUAUAUGUGCUGAAAUUGCAUAAUAGCAUAUCAUCCAUGGUAUGUUGCAUUGCAUUGGGUUAGAGGUUGUUAUUCGGAGGAAGUGUACUAAAAGGCUUUAAGCCUAAUUUACUGGCAGCUCAGCUGCAAACUACUGUUUUGUGCUGCAUUCGAUACUAAUUGGAGUGUAGGGAUGGGUCGGUUGAUUAUAUCCCCACAUGGAGUGUAGGGUUGGACGGAGAUGGUAUGUAGAGGCUGGAUGGGUAGGAUUUUGCUACUGCAUAAUUGUUACUGCUACUGAUACUGUGAUGGGCUAAGGCCCUACUGCAUUUUUGACACUGUACUGAGAUGGGCUAAGGCCCAAACUGUCACUGAUACUGAAAAGGGCUUAGGCCCAAGACUGUUCAACUGUGCACUAUGAUUACUGAUUGCUUGUUUAUUUCUGCGGGAUUACACACUGAGUUUACGUAAACUUACCCUUUUUGUUUAAUGUGCACAGGUAAUCCCCAGACUUAGAUGGAUCGGUGCGACGGAGGACUCAGCGGUGACCACAGAAAUUUUUGGACUUCAUGGUUUUCAAUUUACGUUUUAUGAUUUAAUUAUUAUUGAUUAGUUGGGUUGUAAUUUAAGGACCCUCUGGGACUUUGGUUUUAAAUUUUGGGUUUUUAUUUAUUUAUUUUACUUUAUGGAUUUGUACCUGCUGGUCAUAGGAAAUUCGGUUUUCAAAAAGUUAAAGUAUUUUCUAAACGUAUGAUCACUUAGACUGUUUUAUUAAAGCUUUUGUAACGAGGGAUGUUUCAAAACAAAUGUUUUAAAUGAAUAAAGGCGACUUCCUAAGUUCUAACAAAGGUUUACUAAAGAUAAUAACAUGGAAUGUUUUCAUCGUAACAACGAGGUUUCAAAAACACUAUCGUGUGACAUUACCAGAUACGACCAUAAUGUCUAGGCUGGGUUUAGGGUAUUACAUCUCACCCAUAUUUUUCUUUUCAUUUUCAGCAAACUAGAAUGAAAAUCUCCAUAGAAUAUAUAUUAAAUGGAGUAAAAAAUGAUCAAGUGUGGGUAGUAGCUCAAUGGUUAAGCAUCAUUCCUUUCUCCCUUGAAUCCCAAGUAUAAGUCACACCACUCACCCUAUUUCAUUUUUUAUUUUCGGCAAGAAGGGUUAAUUACCCAUCCAAACAGUACCUAAAAAUUUGAAAACCCUAGCUAUUUAAACCAUUAUCCUAACUAGGCUAGGAUUUUGUUUCCUUCUCCAAUUCUCCUAGAACUUUACUUCCAUCUUUUCUAUUUCUUCCCUCUUUCUUUUCUUUGCUUUUCUUUUCAUCAAAAUUUUGUUCCAUUGCUGAAAAUCGUUCUUGAUUACCCAAAAUCGAAAUCUAUUCUCGAUUUUAACUCACUUUUCAACUAGAUUCGUAAUCGCAAUUCGAAACAUUCUCCGAUCGUUGCCAAGAAUCAGUAAGAACAUUCUAAUCCCAAAGUUUAGAUCUUAAAUUCCUGUAGACUUUUUAUUCAUGUUAAUUUUAAGAUUGAUCAAAUGAUCUUUUACGAAUCUUGUCAAUAUUUCCCAGUAAUCUUGAUAAAUCUUGAAUAUCGUUAUUAAUUCUUACUUAAAUGCCAUUUGAAGGACUUGAUCUAGGUACCUCGAAUUAGAUUCAGGCGCAAGGAACGUCGUUUGAGAUCUCGAAGUCAAGUGUAUGUUCUUUUACAAGUGAAUCGAUGCAAAAUCAUGCCUAAGAUAGUGCCACACAGGCGCGUGGGCCACCGGUGUGGACCACACGGCCCCCUCACAUGACCAUGUCCCCCUGAAACCCUAGGUUAUUUCGACCCUCACACGGCCUAGGACCCUCCACACGGUCGUGUCUCCCUUAUAGGUUGAUUUUUCAAAUGCCACAAGGCCACAGUCUGUCACACGACCUAGCCACAUUGUCGUGUACUCCUUCCACACAGUCUAGGGCUUUCCACAUGGUCGUGUGUCCCCUGUACCUUAGAUUUUACAAUUUUGACCAAGAAUUUUAUGUUUUGUUUAGUUUAGUCCCUGAAUGAUUUUCGAACUAUUUAUAGUGCUUCAAAUUAUUCAAUUAAGCCCUGAUGAUAUGAAUUAUGUUAGAAUCCAUGAUUUGAUGAAUUGAUUUAGUAUGAUAUUUAUAUAUAUAAACAUGAAUUGUGAACAUUAUAUAUAUGUAUAUUAUUUUAGGGUUUGUAAUCGUAUGUAUGGUAUGCCUUAUGUCAGUGUCAAACCAAGCACACAAAAAGCAUGAUUUUUACUAAUAAAUUAAUCUGUCACAAGCAUGUUCAUUGCUACUGAACCAAACCAUUAUAAGAAUACUGAUUGCUAUUGUAUUGUUUGUUAAAAGCAUAAUUUAAUGUUAUUUUAUUAAUCUGACGAACAUGUCAUAUUGCUUUGCAUGGGAUGGGAUGUUAUGAAUGGAGGAAGUAUUUGCAGUAUAUCUGCAUUUAUUUUUUUGUGAACCCACAGCCAUAGGCAAAUUCCAUCUACGACGGUUUGUUGUGUACCCACAACCAUAGGCAGAUUCCAUCUGCAAUGUUUUUGCUGUGCAUCCAUAACCCUUUGACAGUAAUCAUUUGCAAGCAUGUUUUGCAUCCAUGGCCAUUGGCAGAUUUUACCUGCACUAUUUUGUGUCCACAGCCAUUGGCAGUAAAAUUGCAAUCUAUUGGUAGUUAAUCCAUAAUUUGGUGUGUUAGCGGUUGGAGUUUUGGAUAACUCUAAUCGUGGUGUGUAGCGGUGGAGUAGGAUCUUUUCUAUUAAAACUGAUACCGUAUGGCAUCUAUAAAAGCAUCUGCAUGCAAACCUAGAAUUUCUGGUAAGAUAUAUUUAUAUCUAAAUAUAUGAAUGAGUUAUCUGUGAAAUCAAUAUUCUGAUAUUGCUAUUGUAAAUUAUAUAAGCUAAUGAUGGCUAAAUUGAAAAUGGAUAUUUUGAACUGCUACUUAAUUGCGAUUAUUUUAUGCAUUAUUAUUUAAUAUGCCUUACCGACUAUUGUGCUAAUUUUAUUGUGAUGGAACUCAAAGUGAGCGUCAUAGCUCAGUCCCCCUUUAAUUUUCAUCCUUAUAGAUAACUCACCAGGUUAGGGCGCGGACAUGGCAUCCGGAGGGUCUCGGCUCAGUUUUGUUAAAAUAUUUUUAGAUAUAUUAUUUGAAAUUUCAUUAUUUAGAGAUUGUAUUAUUGUUUUAUUUGAAUUGUGGCAUGGGGUUUAUGAUUUGAGUUUGUUUUUAUUUUGCAUAACACUUGAUUUAAAUUUUUAGGACAUCAUGUUACGAUUAUUAACUAGUAUGCAUGAACCCCGAUUUUUAUUAAAAAUAAAUAGACAUUACUUUUCCGUUGCUAAAUCAUAAUUAAAAUUUUGAGGAUUAAUAAAUCGGUUUGUAUCUAAAUUUCCUACCAAAAUAAACAAAUGUUUUAAAAUGACCGUUUUCAAAACUUCGAUAGCUUAUUGAGCCACUUUAGUAGAUAAUAUAAUCUUUCGAAUUCAGAUCUAACGUCUAGGUCUGGUUAAAGAUGUUACAUAAACAUAUUCAUAUAAAGGUUUUCAACAAAGUUAAAAAUAAUAAUAAUAAAAGAAAGCAAUAAAUAUUAAAACCCACCCAACCAACCGGAACACCACUCCGACCACCCUGCACACCACAAUUGGGCUAUGGUAGGCCGAUCCACCCUACACACCACAAUAGUGCGUAUAAGCCACUCAAAAGGAAAUAUGCAACUGAGCUGACAUAUAUAUAAUAAUGCAGUAAAAUUGCUGUACAGAAUAUUACAGAUAAACUGAUCAAAUCAAACUUUCUUCUCUUCACAACCAAAACCCCAAAUUAUUUAUGAAAAUGUAAAAAUGCACACAACAUGCAGGUAAACAUAUAAUUAACAAACAGAAUAUUACAGAUGAUGACUGAAUACUGAAUUUGAACUUGUAAUUUUUGAAUUUAAAAUCAACACAUAAUUAAUAAGAUAUUAUUUUUUGGGCAUUGUGAAGGUGUUAAUACCUUCAUCGCAUGUAAUUGAUUCCCGAACUCGAAUUUUCUUUGAUUUUCAAAUAACAAACCAACUAAUUAUAUUUUUAAAAGGCGAUUUUAUAGGUACCUGAUCACACCUAGUUAAAAGAUUUGUGACGAAUCUUAUGUUCUAAAUAAAAACCCAAUGUUUUAAAAUUUUAAAUUUUUCAUAUUUUUCUCAAAAUUUGUCAAGCUAGCUUUGUUCAUAAAAAUGGCAUUGAAAUUAGUCAUCCAACUUUUAGUAUUUUUUGAGUCACCCAACUAUGGAACUUUACAAAAAAUGACCAUCCAACUAUUCAGCCUUUUUCUUUUUUGUCACACAACUAUAUGAAUUUUUCUUUUUUGGUCUCCGGCCAUUAAUUUGCUAAUAGAAAGAUAACUUGACAAUUUUUAAAAUUGGCAUAAUAACAACUUUAACCCUCAACAUUUAUGCAUUGUAUUAAUUUAGUCUUGAUUUCAAAAAAAAUAACUAUCAACAUUUACAUAUUAUAUAAUUUGGUCUCUCUCUCUCUCUCUCUCUCUCUCUCUCUCUCUUACUUCUUACUUUACUUUCUUUACCUUUAAUUUUCCGUUUACNNNNNNNNNNNNNNNNNNNNNNNNNNNNNNNNNNNNNNNNNNNNNNNNNNNNNNNNNNNNNNNNNNNNNNNNNNNNNNNNNNNNNNNNNNNNNNNNNNNNNNNNNNNNNNNNNNNNNNNNNNNNNNNNNNNNNNNNNNNNNNNNNNNNNNNNNNNNNNNNNNNNNNNNNNNNNNNNNNNNNNNNNNNNNNNNNNNNNNNNNNNNNNNNNNNNNNNNNNNNNNNNNNNNNNNNNNNNNNNNNNNNNNNNNNNNNNNNNNNNNNNNNNNNNNNNNNNNNNNNNNNNNNNNNNNNNNNNNNNNNNNNNNNNNNNNNNNNNNNNNNNNNNNNNNNNNNNNNNNNNNNNNNNNNNNNNNNNNNNNNNNNNNNNNNNNNNNNNNNNNNNNNNNNNNNNNNNNNNNNNNNNNNNNNNNNNNNNNNNNNNNNNNNNNNNNNNNNNNNNNNNNNNNNNNNNNNNNNNNNNNNNNNNNNNNNNNNNNNNNNNNNNNNNNNNNNNNNNNNNNNNNNNNNNNNNNNNNNNNNNNNNNNNNNNNNNNNNNNNNNNNNNNNNNNNNNNNNNNNNNNNNNNNNNNNNNNNNNNNNNNNNNNNNNNNNNNNNNNNNNNNNNNNNNNNNNNNNNNNNNNNNNNNNNNNNNNNNNNNNNNNNNNNNNNNNNNNNNNNNNNNNNNNNNNNNNNNNNNNNNNNNNNNNNNNNNNNNNNNNNNNNNNNNNNNNNNNNNNNNNNNNNNNNNNNNNNNNNNNNNNNNNNNNNNNNNNNNNNNNNNNNNNNNNNNNNNNNNNNNNNNNNNNNNNNNNNNNNNNNNNNNNNNNNNNNNNNNNNNNNNNNNNNNNNNNNNNNNNNNNNNNNNNNNNNNNNNNNNNNNNNNNNNNNNNNNNNNNNNNNNNNNNNNNNNNNNNNNNNNNNNNNNNNNNNNNNNNNNNNNNNNNNNNNNNNNNNNNNNNNNNNNNNNNNNNNNNNNNNNNNNNNNNNNNNNNNNNNNNNNNNNNNNNNNNNNNNNNNNNNNNNNNNNNNNNNNNNNNNNNNNNNNNNNNNNNNNNNNNNNNNNNNNNNNNNNNNNNNNNNNNNNNNNNNNNNNNNNNNNNNNNNNNNNNNNNNNNNNNNNNNNNNNNNNNNNNNNNNNNNNNNNNNNNNNNNNNNNNNNNNNNNNNNNNNNNNNNNNNNNNNNNNNNNNNNNNNNNNNNNNNNNNNNNNNNNNNNNNNNNNNNNNNNNNNNNNNNNNNNNNNNNNNNNNNNNNNNNNNNNNNNNNNNNNNNNNNNNNNNNNNNNNNNNNNNNNNNNNNNNNNNNNNNNNNNNNNNNNNNNNNNNNNNNNNNNNNNNNNNNNNNNNNNNNNNNNNNNNNNNNNNNNNNNNNNNNNNNNNNNNNNNNNNNNNNNNNNNNNNNNNNNNNNNNNNNNNNNNNNNNNNNNNNNNNNNNNNNNNNNNNUAUGCACUAGAUAGACUAUCGAGGGCAUUAAAUGACGAACAAUGAAAAUAAAAGGAUAAAUUACAUCAUUAGUCCCUAAACUAUAAGUAAGUUUUCAUUUUAGUCGCUUAACUAAAAAAGUUACAAUUUGAUCACUAAACUAUUCAAAAGUUAUCAUUUAAGUCAUUGAGCUGUUAAAAUCAAAGUUAUAUGGCUAAACAGGAUGUAUUGAACUCAUAAUUCAUUAGAUACUUUUUAUGAAUGUCAACUAAGUAUCGUAAGUAAAUUGGUCUAGGUUGUUCAAUCAUUUGAUAACCAGAGUCAUUCUUUGAUAAAUGAUCACUAUGAGUCAGACUCAAUAGAAUUUGAUCAAUCCUUUUUUCUGUCGUUAAGGUGGAGAACUGAACCAAGAAUUCUCUUCCUUUAUCAUCAAUCAAAUCACUGUUCGCGACCUAGGAUUCUAUUUUCUCAUCAAUCCAAUCAGCGCUCACUUUUUUCUUUCUCUUAUCAAUGAAUAGAUCUCGCUGCCUGCACCAAUUGAAACCUCUCUUUCCCUUUCUUUUCUACAGUUCAUUUUUUUAUGAAAUAGCUUUGAACGUCAUAAAUUUGCAAUUCAAAAUUCAAAAAGCUUUUUUCUCUAAUCUCCGACAUUGACCAUCAAAUCAACUUGGAUCUAAGAUAUGUUCUUCUACUCAUCAAUAGUUAUUGAUUCAGUGUACCGAUUGUCAAAUCAUUGCUUUGAGCUUUCUUGCGAAACUUCUAAAAAAAAAUAAUAGCGUAGUAACUUAAUAAAAUUUUUUGAAUACUUCAUUGACUUAAAUAAAAAUUUUCUAAUGAUUCAAUGAUCAAAUUAUAAUUUUUUUAGUUAAGUGAUCAAAACGAAGAUUUACCUACGAAAAGAACAACUCAAAAACCGAUAUGCCCUCCGUUUAUAUUUUUAUUUUAAGGUUGUAUCCUUUUGACUUAAGAAAAACAAUAGAAGCUAAAAGGUUGCAAUGAUUUUAGCAUGUUAUAGAUAACUAUAAUGCUUUGGAAAAUAUUAAUUUUUAAUUUCAUAAUAAAUAAUAUAUAGAUGUGCAGUAAACAAGAAGUUUUUACAAUAAUACAUUGCUUUCACUAAAGUCAAGUGAAUACAGUAUAUUAACAUUGUUUAUUCUAUUUGUAAUCUUUCAAUUUUUAUUAAUUUAAUCAAAACAAUAAAUAAUCGAUUAUGAUUUUUAUAAUUAAAUAUCCUUACCAGUCUUUUUAAGCUGUUAUUAUUAUAUUAUUACUUUAAACGUGCAUUGAAACUAAAUAAAAAUACGAAUAUUAUAUAAUUUUUUUUGACUGAUCCAAGAUGAAAUUUAAUAAAAUCUAUUUGUUGUAUAUUUAUUAUCGAUAAACAUUGGUCUUCGUACGUCUCCUUUAGAAUAUUUACACUUAAUUCACAUAAAUAUAAAAUAUGAAUAUAAUUGUUUAAAUUCUUUUGUUUGGAAAGGAAUAAAUAUAUAAUUUCUUAAGCUUGGCGGCAAUAUCUAAUACGAAAUCCUUGAAAAGAAUCUUGUUUGAUUGCUAGGUUUGCCUUUGAAUAUGGAAAUUAAGUAAUUUUGAAAAAAAUGUUCUUCCUCACAAUUUUAAAAAAUAUAUAUAGUAAUUUUGAAAGGUAUAAUAAUUUUACGUGUUCCUAGUGAAUAUAUUAUUAAAAAUUAAAUGAAUUUUUUUUAAUUUUAUAUUAUUAUCUGAUUUACUGAUAGUGUCAAUGCAUCAUAUAUAAAUCCAUUGAAUUCAAGUUCUAUACAUUUAUAUUAGCUAUUAUUAUUGGCUUAUUGGUACUAUAAAUUUUUGAAUUAUUUUUAAAUGAUUGACUAAGUCCAUUUGAACCUUUUAUAUCCACUUGAGUCUUUAAACUGACAAUUUUGACCAACGAGAUUUUUUUACCAACGUUGAUCAUUAGAAACCAACACCAACAUUGAUGUGGUCAUUAAUGGAUAUCACAUUAAUCAACAAAUGCUGAUGGGGUGAUCCGCAUCAAUAAAAAUUAAAAAUAUUUUAAAAUUAUUGUAAAAAAAUGUACACAAUAAACUUAAAUAAAUAGUUGUCCAGGUUCAUUUGAAUGUAGAUAUUCAGAUGUCCAUAUUCAUCAUGGAAUUAUAAAAAGAAACAAAAAAAAUUAUAAAGAAUAAUUAAAAUUAUAAAAAAUAAUAAAAUUAUUAUAAAUUAAUUAAAAAUCAUAAAAUUUUAUAAAAUAAAUUAAAACAAAGCUUUUUAUUAUAAAUUUUUAUAAAGUCCAUUAGGUUGAAUAAAAGCUUUUAAUUAAAAUCCAUUUGGACUUUUUUAAAAGUUUCUAAAGAUUUUAUUUAAAAACAUUAAAAUUAUUAUAGUUUCUAAAAAUAUUUUUAUUUACAAUCCAUUUGGUUUUAAUAAUCCAUAAACAAUUACAAAAAAAAAACUUUUAUAUAAAUAUAAUUUGGUUUUUAAUUUUAUACGUUUUAAUAAUUUUUAAUAAUUUAAAAAAAACUUUUAAAAAAUAAUUUUAAUAAUUUUAUAAUAAUUUUAUAAAAUUUAAUAAUUUUGUUAUAAUUUUUUUAUUUUUUUAUAAUUUCGAAAUGAAUAUUGAAAAAUGUGGGUCCAUAUUCAAAUGAGCAUGGACAAUCAUUUGUCCAGCAUGAUUGUACAUUUUUUAAAAAUAAUUUUAAAAUAAUUUUUUAUUUUUUUUAUUUUUACUGAUGUGGCACUGUCAAGUUAGCAUUUGUUGGCUAAUGUGGCAUUUGUUAACAAUCAUAUUAGUGUUGCUAUUAGUUUCUAACGAUUAAUAUUGGUCAAAUGGCCUUGUUGGUCAAAAUUAUCAAUUCAAUGAUUCAAUUGAGUAGAAAAGAUUUGGAGGGGUUUACUUGAUUUUUGAAAGAAGUUUGAAUGCUUAAUAAGCCUAUAUUAUCUUCAAUCGAUUAAUUCUAUCAAUCAUCUCUAAACUAUUGCCAAUAUCAUAAUGUCAAAUUUAACCGCAACAUUUACAUCUUUCAUCAAUUUGGUUUUUUUGUUUGUUUAUAUUUUAGUUAAAUUUGGCCCUUAAUCUUUUAAAAAAGAGUUAAAUCAUUUUUUAUAGAAAAUCCUGACUAAAACAUUAAAUUUUUUUUAACGAAGAUGGCAUGGCAGCUCGUGUGGCAAUCCACGUGUACUUCAUUUUCACAUAACACUAUUUAUUAUAUGCCACACCAAAAUAUAAUUUAAAAAUUAAAAAAUAAAAAAAAUUUAUAAAAAUUCAAAAAAAAAGUAUGAAGUACAUGUGGAUUGGUAUGUGAGCUACCGUGUUUAAAAAUUUAACGGUUAAUUUUCAUUAAAAAAUAGCAAUUCAACAAUUUUUGAAAGGUUUAAUUUAAAUAUGACAUUUUUUUUUUGAAAGGUUGAUGACCAAAUUUAGCUAAAAAAAAGGGAUCAAAUUGACAAAAAAAAUUGUAAAUGUAAGGACUAAAUUUGUGUUAUGCCCAUUCUUAAUUAGUUUAAAACUUCAAAAUAUGUUAAUUGAAUCUUUAAAAUAUCAACAUUGUAUCAAAUAGGUUUUCUAUCAAUGUCGUAGUUAAUCUAAUUGUUAAAUGUGAAUCAAGAUAUGAUAUGCGGCAUGCUUAAAAGCAAACGGAUUAAACUGUAAACUCAUGUGUAUCUACCACAUAAAAAAUUUAGGUUUGACGUAUUUAAAAAUCGAUGUCAAUAAAAUGUUAUCUAUGCUGUAGAUAUAUGCGUCUUUACAAUUUGAUCUACGUAUUUCAAAUACACUUCAACUCAAACCUGAGUUGGCAUUUAAUGCCUCAACUAAUUGUUAACAUAAUAGAAAGACUUGAUUGAUAUGAUACUAAUACUUUGAGGACUGAAUUAAAACAUUUUUAAAAUUUGGAAUUGAAUUGAAAAUAUGCAUAAUUUGAGAACAUUACGUCAUAGUUUAAAGUGUUUAUGGUAAAUUAGUGAAUGGUAAACCUGACAUGCUUUAUUAUAAUAGUAAACAUUAACUUCUCUUUACUCAGUUUAAUUGUGGGAUUGUAAUUAUCAUUUAUUUACAACUGAUUAAUUUUCAUAAUUACAUGCUAUUUUGGAGGGAUUUACCAAAAAAAGCCAAUUUUUUUAUAAAAUUACCGAAAUAGGCCGGUUUUUUAAUUAUUUACCGGACUGGGCCAUUUCCCCCAAAAUCGCGCCACGUCGGAGCGAUGUCAGGGGACGGGGCAAAAGGUAGCGUCCACGUCAGCGCGACCUGAUGACGUGGGAGGAAAUCGCUCCCUUGAGGGCGCGAUUUCCUUCCAUGUCAGCAGGUCGCGCUGACGUGGACGCGACCUCCUGUCACUUAGCGCGAUAUCGGGAACGCGAUUUUGACCCUGAUUUUUACGCCUGAGUUUUAUGUUUUAGGGUUUAGGGUGCAUGCUUUUUAGGAGUUAGGGGUUCAGGAAAAUUUUUUUUCGAGUUGACGUUUCUGGUUAAAUAGUGGGAAAUCGCUUCUACUAGGAUGCUAUUUAAGAAGAAAUUGUGAAAUAGUGGCCUCGUGGACGCGAUUUCGCUACAGUGGUCAUGUGAGAAAUAAUUUUUUUUGACGUUUUCUGAGGAAAUAGUAUAAAAUCGCUGAUACCAGGAUGCUAUAUGAGAAGAAAUUGUGAAAUCGCGCCCUCGUGGACGCGAUUUCGCUACAGUUGGUCAUGUAGGAAAUAAUUUUUUUUGACGUUUUGAGCAAAUAGUGUCAAAUCGCACCCUCGUGGACGCGAUUUCGCUACAGUAGCAAGUUUGGGCUGAGGCUAUAAAUUAGGCAGAGAAUUUUCUUAGAAUGCAUAACUCAGAGCAGAAACAUUUUAGGUUAGGGUUAGGGAAUUUAGAGUUUCAAAAUGAGUGAACGUAUUAGUGCUGUUAUUUACUACGAUGGUGAGAUUUGCCACACCGAGAAUGGUGUUGUUUUUUUGUCGGAGAAUACGGUGCGACUGUCAUUUAGACAAAACAUAGAUUUGACAGAACUCCGUAAAAGAAUUAGGCGUAAAAUCUUCGGAACCACGUCAUUGACAUAUGACUCAUCUUGCUAGCGGAGCAACUUAUAUUGAGUUAUAUGUACAAUUUAUGUCACCAAAUGAUGUACUUCCGUCCGGUGUUUGAGAUGUAUACACGACCCCUGGCCGACACUCGAUUAGCGUGUUACAAAAUACGGAACAGCCUAUGUUCGGUAGUGGUGUCGAAUGCACAUCCCCCCAAGACACUCUGUCGGUGGAUGGGACAUGUACGUCGGUGGCUCGACGGUUGACGCUGGAAAUACGAGCUGGAGAACCGCAUCAAGUUCUACUAGAUGGCAAUCUACAUCCAAUUGGGGGCGUUAUCAAAUGCCCAGAAGAAGGGAUGACGUACUACCUACGACAUCAACCGGUGAGGGGACGUCGUAUGCUGCAGAUGAUUGUGGGUUAGAAGGUGAGUCCGAUGUGGAUCCACCUCGAGAGCCCGGGCCGGAUGGUGCAGAGGUGGGACUAUUUUCUGAACCGGAGCCUAUUCCAAUAGAAGGUGAAGAUGGUGAUAUGAGUGCAGAUGAUGAAGAAAAUCCACGAUUCAGAGCAUAUUCACCUCCAGCCCACAUGCAUAAUGUCGAUCUAUCAGCAGAUGAUGCGUUAGAGUUUCCAGAUCUACCACACCGGGUGCGCGAUCGUACAAGUUCGGGAGUAGAUGUUGGUGAACUUGAAGUUGGUAAUCAGUUUACCAAUAAGGAUAGUUUUAUUGGUGCUUUGAAACAGCAUAGCAUCAAAAACGGCGUUAAUUAUCAAAUUGUAUUAAAUUAUGUAUUGAUAAUUGUAUUAAAUUUUGGUUAAAUUAUCAAAUUACUACAAUUUCUUAAAUGUUAGUACCAGUCAAAACAUUUUACGAAAUCCAACAUUAUGUAAAACUACAAUUUAAUUAGGGUUUUUAAUUAAAUAGGGUUAGGAUUUUUAAUUUAAUUAAAUUAGGUUAGGGUUUUUAAUUAAGUAGGGUUAGGGUUUUUAAUUUAAUUAAAUAAGGUUAGGGUUUUUAAUUUAAGUAGGUUAGGUUAGGGUUUUUAAUUUAAUAAAAUUAGGUUAGGGUUUUUAAUUAAAUUAGGUUAGGUUAGGGUUUUUAAUUUAAUUAAAUUAGGGUUUUUAAUUAAGUAGGGUUAGGGAUUUUAAUCAAAUAAUGUCAAAAUAACUCGGAAAAAAUUCUAUUUGUAUUACAUCGUCAUAAACUUCUAAUUCAUUACAUCAAAUGAUUAAUUUUAAUACGGUAAUCAAUGUCUAUGACCGGGGGAUUUUAAUCAGUUCCACAUGGCGGCCGUCGACGGUUACGCGCUGGAUUCCUCCUUUCUCUAGCUUCCAGGGGCGGUUGUUGUUCCUCCGGUGGGGAUUCUGGUUCUUCCGGUUUGGCAUCUGGUUGUCGGACUUGGGACGAUGAUCCACCUUCAAAGAAUAGUGUAUGUGGAGGUGUUUGCAUCAUGAACGGCGACGGAGUUUGAAAGCCAUGCGUUGCUGGCGAUUGGUAAAAAGGAGAGCUCCCCGACGGCCCCCCUUGCGACCCCUCCUGCGCCGAUGGCCUAGUUAUCGGUGGUCCGCUCGGCAUUACAGGAAAUGGAGCUGAUCCGGGCAUUUGGCUCCAACCUGCCAUAGGAUUCGGAAAAGGAUACAUGUACGGGUUAGGGUACAUAUAAGGGCUAGGAAACAUACCUGGCAUCAUAGGGAAAGGUGAAUGCGUGGGUAUCAUCUGUUGAAUUGCUGCGCCAGGUGACUGCGUUGGUGCUCUCGUUGGGGACGGUGAUUACAUGGUCGCUGAUGAUGAACUGGGUGAAUGUCUGGGCCUCGUUGAGGGGCUGCCCUCGUAGUUUUGUCCCCUAGGAUUUUGAGGCCCGCGUCUUUCCCUUCCGACACGUAUUUGCCGCCGCCUCUCCUCCGGCGUAAGUAAAUACGGCUUCCCAUGGGCCCUAAACCAUGCCUUGUAUUCUGGAACGCACGCUAACUCGGGAACGAUGAUUGGUUCCGGAGUAGGUAGAUAUUCAUUCUGAUUUUCCCACAUUUCUGUGUACACUGACCAGUACAACAGCCAAUCCGUACCUAAUAGCCGAAGGUCGAUUUUGUGGUGCUCGUCAAACUCCUCAGGGUCCGCAGGGAUCGGUUGUCUACAUCCAAACUGUCGUAGGACUCUGUCUGUCUGGUGGGGCUCCACGGUUGCAUAGUUGAUCAACACCACUUUCACGUGCCAAGCGUUCAGAUUUUGUAAAAACUCUUCCGGGAUUACUGCCCGAACUGCCGGAUCCUCGUAUGGUGUCCAUUGAAACUAUAUGAACAUGAUAACAAUAUUACAUAUAUACAUAAUACUAAAUACUAAAUAUCAAUCCACUAGCGAAUGUAUGGAAAUAUCUAUUUGCAAUAAUACUUACUUCUGCUUCCGAGUGUUGCUCCAAUAGAAGCCGUAUAUCUUCAAGUUCAGUCGGUAUUCCACGAUAACUUGCCGGAUGGUUCCACCUAAUUAAAUAAAUUUUUAGCAUUCUUUUAUUCUUACAAAAUCUACAUAUCAAUUUCAAAAUGUAAUAUAAAAUUUACCUCGUUACGAGUGGGAAUGUAUAUGGGUGGUUCACUCAAGGACGUAGAAAUGGAAAGCGAAACCAUGCCCAUGAUUGCAGUAGUGACAGGCAACCUCCGAUUUUUGCUCUCCUCGGUUUGGUCGCCCCGCACAUCUCCCGAUAUAAUGUUGCCAAGACGGCAGACCCCCAACUAAAUUCACCGGCUGCUCUAAAAUCAACGAGUUUUAGCAGCCACCUUAGAUGUACACGGCUCCGUGAUGUGUCGGCCAUGAGAUAGCCUCCAAUUAUUUGAAGAAUGUAUGAUCGAGCAUAUCGGAUUCUUUCAAUCUCGGUUGAAUUUUCAUUCAGACCGGGGAAGGUGGCACGUAACCAGCCCAUCUCCACCUUACCUCCAUCCAUUUUAUCCGGAACGGCGCCCAAAAGCUCGUAGCACACCGCCUCCCAAUUGCUAGAUUGGGCAGACCCGUCACUGGGUGCCCAUCCACCGGCAAUCCCAAAUGCNNNNNNNNNNNNNNNNNNNNNNNNNNNNNNNNNNNNNNNNNNNNNNNNNNNNNNNNNNNNNNNNNNNNNNNNNNNNNNNNNNNNNNNNNNNNNNNNNNNNNNNNNNNNNNNNNNNNNNNNNNNNNNNNNNNNNNNNNNNNNNNNNNNNNNNNNNNNNNNNNNNNNNNNNNNNNNNNNNNNNNNNNNNNNNNNNNNNNNNNNNNNNNNNNNNNNNNNNNNNNNNNNNNNNNNNNNNNNNNNNNNNNNNNNNNNNNNNNNNNNNNNNNNNNNNNNNNNNNNNNNNNNNNNNNNNNNNNNNNNNNNNNNNNNNNNNNNNNNNNNNNNNNNNNNNNNNNNNNNNNNNNNNNNNNNNNNNNNNNNNNNNNNNNNNNNNNNNNNNNNNNNNNNNNNNNNNNNNNNNNNNNNNNNNNNNNNNNNNNNNNNNNNNNNNNNNNNNNNNNNNNNNNNNNNNNNNNNNNNNNNNNNNNNNNNNNNNNNNNNNNNNNNNNNNNNNNNNNNNNNNNNNNNNNNNNNNNNNNNNNNNNNNNNNNNNNNNNNNNNNNNNNNNNNNNNNNNNNNNNNNNNNNNNNNNNNNNNNNNNNNNNNNNNNNNNNNNAAUUGAGAGAUUUUGACCGUUGGGCACUGUUCACGCGCGCGUCCACAUCGCGUCCACGUCAACGUGACCUGCUGAUGUGGAAGGAAAUCGCUCCCUUGAGGGCGCGAUUUCCUUCCACGUCAUCAGGUCGCGCUGACGUGGACGCGACCUUCUGCCCCGUCCCCUGACAUCGCUCCGACGUGGCGCGAUUUUAGGGGAAAUGGCCCAGUCCGGUAAAUAAUUAAAAAACCGGCCUAUUUCGGUAAUUUUAUAAAAAAUUGGCUUUUUUUGGUAAAUCCCUCGCUAUUUUGAUUUAGAAAAUUAUUAUAAAUAUUUUUCGGUGUUUGUUUCAAUGGUUUUAUAAUUUCCUUUUCCAGCAGCCGCUUUCAAAACACCACCAGAAUAAUAACGAAACUGAAUCUUUAAAUAAAACCGGCUUAAAAAUAAUAAAUGAUUUCCUAAGAUCAAAAGGAACAACUUCCCUACAAAAUAGACUAGUUAGCGUUGCUGUUAGUUUCUAACGAUCAACGUUGGUCAAAGGGCUUUGUUGGUCAAAAUUGUCAAUUCAAGGAUUCAAUUGAGUAGAAGAGGUUCCGAGGGAUUUAAUUAAUUUUUUUUAAAGUUAAAAUUCUUAAUAAGCCCAUAUUAUUUUGAUUAAUUCUAUUAGUCAUCUCUAAUUUAUUGCCAAUAGUCUUAUAGCAUAAUGUCAAAUUUAGCCACCAUAUUUAUAUAUUUUGUCAAUUUAACUCUUUUUCUUAUUCUUUUUAGCUAAAUUGGCCCUUAGUCUUUUAAAAAAGAGUCAAAAAGUUUUUUUAACAAAAAUCCUGACUAAAACAUUAAUUUUUUAACAAAGUUGGCAUGGAAACUUGUGUUACAGUCCACAUGUACUUCAUGUAGACAUAACUCUAUUUAUUAUAUGCCACACCAACAAGUAAAUUAAAAAUUAUAAAAAAAUUCAAAAAAAAAAAAAUAAUAAUAUGAAGUACAUGUGGAUUGGCAUGUGAGCUGCCAUGUUUAAAAAUUUAACGGUUUAUUUUCAUUAAAAAAAUAACAUUUCAACUAUUUUUGAAAGGUUUAAGGUUAAAUAUGAUUUUUUUAAAAGGUUGAAGACCAAUUUGAGCUAAAAGAACAAAUGUCAAAUUAACAAAAAAGAAUGUAAAUGUUGAGAACCAAAUUUAACGUUAUGCCUAUUCUUAAUUAGUUCUAAACUUCAAAAUAGGUUAAUUAAAUCUUUAAAAUAUUAGUGUAAUAGCCCAAUUUGCCCAGGGCCCAUUCAGAAUAAGCAGAAAAAAACCAAAAAAAUAAUUAAAUGUCCACAGUCUAAAUACAUGGGCCCAACGUGGCCCAAACUGUUUCAACAUAACCCCAAGCCCAAUCACUAAACCCAAUUAAACUACACCUAGCCCAACUACACCAAGCCCGACUAGCCUAAACCCUAGCCUGAAUACCCCUGGCCCAAAAUCGAUUUUUAUGUAUUUUGAAAUCUUUUCAAAGUUCCGACACUAAGACAUUAAACAAUUGAUUCGGUACCAAUUUUGGGCGGCACGAGGGUGCUAACCCUUCCUCAUACGUAACCGACUCCUGAACCUGUUUUCUCAAAAUUCGCAGACCUAAAAUUAUUUUCAAGGUGAUCCGAUCACAUCUCAAUAAAAGAUCAGUGGCAACUCCCGUUUUCAUUUUAAAAGUCGAACCCCGUUUUUCAAACUUAAAAAGGGUUUCGACAAUUAGCAUUGUAUCUAUGCAAUAAAUUUUAACGUAUUAAAAAAUUAAUGUCAAUAAAAUAUUAUCUAUGUUAUAGAUAGAUACGUCUUUACAAUUUGAUCUACGUAUUUCAUAUACACUUUAACUCAAACUUGAGUUGACAUUUAAUGCCUAAACUAAUUGUUAAGCUAAUGGAAAGGGUUGAUUGAUAUGAUACUAAUACUUUGCGGAUUGAAUUAAAACAUUUUUAAAAUUUAAAAUUGAAUUUACAAUCUGCAUAAUUUGAGAACAUUACGUCAUAGUUUAAUGUGUUUAUGGUAAAUUAGUCAAUAGUAUAAUAGUAAACAAGUUACGUUGCCUAGUCCUUGAUCAAACCUGACAUGCUCUAUUAUAAUAGUAAACAUUAACUUCUCUUUACUCAGUUUAAUUGUGGGAUUGUAAUUAUCAUUUAUGUUGGCCUUAAAUCGUAGGAUUAGAACUAUUUAAUUUGACUUGAUUAAUUUUCAAAAUUACAUGCUAUUUCGGUUUAAAAAUUAUUAUAAAUAUUAUAAAUAUUACGUCAUAGUUUAUGUGUUCAUGGCCAAUUAGUCAAUAGGAUAAUAGUAAACAAGUGACGUUGCUUAGUCCUUGAUGAAACCUGACGUGCUCUAUUAUAAAAAUCAAUGAAAAAGAUUAGUGGGAAGAACUGAGAAACAAAAGUCUUUGGGUCUGAAACAAAUGCAUGCACCGAUCUAACUUUCAGAUGCCUUAAAGAUUAUAUGGUUAGGACUUAAAAGAUCGUUAAAGAUUAUUUAUUAUUUGAAAACAGGUUUCUUGCAUUUAAUAUAUUAUUAAUAAAAUUUUAUUGAUUUUAAAUAUAUAUAAUUUUUAUUAAUUUUAAAAAUAGUUAUAUUUAUAUAAAAAGAAAAUAGUAUUGGGUUAAUUGAUUAAAUUGAAAAUUGGUGGUCUGUCUAAUUUUGUACAUACCCAAGAUAGAAAAUACAUAUCUUUAUUAGCUAAUUACUACUUCUUUUUUAAGGAACUAGUUACUACUUUUUAGACUUAUUUAAUAUGAAAAUCACAUUUAACAUUUAAUUAUGUUUUAAUUAAAUAAUUUAGUUCAGUUGGUCCAACUGAUUUAAUUUAUAUUUUAAUUGAGGCUGACCGGCCGAGGGAAGGACUGAAAUGAUAUAUUUCUAUAAUUCUAAAGUUCAACAGAGGAUAAAUAUUUACUUUGUAACACAUUUCUACACAUUUCAUCUUCUAAUAUUUUACAGGCAUCAACUUUGAAUAAGAGAAUCAAACAAAAAGACAAAUCAACAUUUCUUUUAAUCUAUUUGCAAUUCUCAUGCAAUGGGCCGCCCUACACCAAUCUUAUUGUAUAAUUGUUUCCUUGCAUAUAGGUUGUCUUUUUUGACUUAAACUCACCAGUAUAUUUUACCUAUAAAUACAUGCAACAAUUGCACUCUUAUCCUCACAGAUUCUGUGCCAAAUUUCAAGAGCAAACCAAAAAAGGCAGCAAAUUAAGCUUUUCAAUAUUUGCUUUUGAUCAAUCGAAAUGGCUUCACAAGUUUCUCAAAUGCCUUCUUCAUCACCCCUUUCUUCCAAUAAGGAUGAAAUGCGUCCCAAAGCCGAUUUUCAGCCUAGCAUUUGGGGAGAUCUCUUCCUCAAUUGCCCCGACAAGGUAUGCAUACAUAUGACCAUAUUGGUAUAUAUAUAAUCUUAACAGAUUAUUUGUUUAGUUAUUUAGUGAUUCAAUAUGAAGCAAAUUUUCAUUAUUUUGAGCAGAAUAUUGAUGCUGAAACUGAAAAACGCCACCAACAAUUGAAAGAAGAAGUGAGGAAGAUGAUUGUGGCACCAAUGGCUAAUUCAACCCAAAAGUUAGCCUUCAUUGAUUCAGUCCAAAGACUGGGUGUGAGUUACCAUUUCACCAAGGAGAUCGAAGAUGAACUAGAGAAUAUCUACCAUAACAACAAUGAUGCCGAGAACGACCUCUACACCACAUCCCUUCGAUUCCGACUACUCCGAGAGCAUGGAUUCAAUGUUUCAUGCGGUAAUUACUGGAACAACAACAUGGUAUUUUUAAGUUUCUUGAGUAUAUAAUAGCAUGGAAUGUUUGAUAACAAUAUUUCAUUUUGGGUAAUUUCAUCUCAGACGUAUUCAACAAGUUUAAAGACGAGCAAGGGAAUUUCAAGUCAUCCGUGACAAGCGAUGUUCGAGGAUUGUUGGAACUUUACCAAGCUUCCUAUUUGAGGGUUCAUGGGGAAGAUAUAUUGGAUGAAGCAAUUUCUUUCACCAGCAACCAUUUAAGCCUUGCAGUAGCAUCUUUGGACCAUCCUUUAUCCGAAGAGGUUUCUCAUGCUUUGAAACAAUCAAUUCGAAGAGGCUUGCCAAGGGUUGAGGCAAGACACUAUCUUUCAGUAUACCAAGAUAUUGAGUCCCAUAAUAAGGUUUUGUUGGAGUUUGCUAAGAUCGAUUUCAACAUGGUACAACUUUUGCAUAGAAAAGAGCUAAGUGAGAUUUCUAGGUAUGUUUUUGAAUCUCUUUCACCCAUUUUUUUUUCUUUUUUGUCUUUUUUUUUUUUUUUGGUGGAAGGAGGGUUGAAUUUAAUCGCGGCAUCAUUCUCAAUAUAGGAGACGAGUUGCAAAUGCUAAUAUUUGAAUCUUAAUAUAUAGCACAAGUUAAAAGUGAUGGAUUCAUCUUUUUCACUUACAUUAUUUUACUUAUAUUAUAUAAGUUAUAUAUAUAUUUUAAAAUUUGAGGUUGCCAAUUUACUUAAGAAUCUAACAAUUUACUUAUUGACAACAUGAAUGUGAAACAAAUUAAAACUUUGAAUAUUCAUUUUACUAAUGGGGUUUUCUAUGAUAUGAUUUUUUUAGGUGGUGGAAGGAUUUAGACUUUCAAAGAAAGUUGCCAUACGCAAGAGAUAGAGUGGUUGAAGGCUAUUUUUGGAUCUCAGGAGUGUACUUUGAGCCCCAAUAUUCUCUUGGUAGAAAGAUGUUGACAAAAGUGAUAGCAAUGGCAUCUAUUGUAGAUGAUACAUAUGACUCAUAUGCAACAUAUGAAGAGCUCAUUCCCUAUACAAAUGCAAUUGAGAGGUUAGAUUUCUAAAAUUUUGUUGGUAAUAGGUUAGGUUUCUUUAGUUGAAGUUAACAUUGAAGUUGAAUUCAGGUGGGAUAUCAAAUGCAUAGAUGAACUUCCUGAAUACAUGAAGCCGAGCUACAAGGCACUAUUAGAUGUUUAUGAAGAAAUGGAACAACUGGUGGCUGAGCAUGGGAGACAAUAUCGUGUCGAAUAUGCGAAAAAUGCGGUAUGUACAUCAACAAACAUUUAUUUUGUACAAAAGAGAUAAGAUCUUAGCUAAAUUCUAGAUUUGAAUAAACAACUAACUCGAAUAACAAUAUAUAAUCAUUUAAAUAUUAUUAUUGAAUUUGAAUUGAUAUUAGUGAUAAUUGUUGGGAUUUUGUCGCCUCAGAUGAUACGACUUGCUCAAUCUUAUCUUGUGGAGGCCAGAUGGACUCUUCAAAACUACAAACCAUCAUUCGAGGAGUUUAAGGCUAAUGCAUUGCCAACUUGUGGUUAUGCCAUGCUUGCUAUUACAUCUUUCGUCGGCAUGGGAGAUAUUGUAACACCAGAAACCUUUAAAUGGGCAGCCAAUGACCCUAAGAUCAUUCAAGCUUCCACAAUUAUUUGUAGGUUUAUGGAUGAUGUUGCUGAACACAAGGUAUAAUAAUAUAUUUAAAUAAUCACAAGAAACCAAACUAUUAACUCAAUAACGAUGGUUUUUGUCACGAUUUGAAACAAUUAAAGUUUAAUGUUUAUAUAUCAAAUGUUUAGCCUUAAAUCGAAGAAUAAGAAAAGAUAUCUAGUUUCAUUUUAAAAAUAUAUAUAGUUUAACAAACGAAUAGAAUUUAGGUUAUAUAGUGAUUGAAUAAUUUUUAUUUUAUUAUGGUUGCAGUUCAAACAUAGGAGAGAAGACGAUUGCUCAGCAAUUGAGUGUUACAUGGAAGAAUAUGGUGUAACAGCACAAGAGGCAUAUGAUGUAUUCAACAAGCAUGUUGAGAGUGCUUGGAAGGAUGUGAAUCAAGAGUUUCUGAAACCAACAGAAAUGCCAACAGAAGUUUUGAAUCGUAGCUUAAACCUUGCAAGGGUGAUGGAUGUACUCUACAGAGAAGGUGAUGGCUACACAUAUGUUGGAAAAGCGGCUAAGGGUGGAAUCACUUCAUUACUCAUUGAACCAAUUGCACUUUGAAAUCGUAUUAAAUUUUCCUCUUCUGUUCCUUAAGGAAUAGUUAUUAAGUUAUAAUUAAUAAUGUUUUAUAAUAUAUAUAUUAUAAAAGAAAUUCUAAAUCAACUGUCUUUGUAUUCAUUUCCCUGUAUUGAUCUAAUAAAGUUCUUUUCAAGCUUUCAUUUGUGAAAAAUCUGCUAUUUUAUAUUUUAUAUUUUAAUUUUCCUUCUUUCGUUGCUAUAGCUUUGAACACAAAAUUUAGAGUAUGAUCCUAUCAUGCUCUUCCUUUUUACCAACAUUGUUGUCACUUUCAAUGAUUUUUCUCUUCUUCGCCAUAACAUUAUCAUCAAGAUUGCAUGUGAUAAAGUUUUGCCAUUCAGAUAGCCUUUUCAAGGCUCGCCACUAGAAGCUCACUUAAAUAGGGAUACUUGUUAAUAAAAUAUGUUUGUUGUCCUUGUUUUUAGGCAUAUAUUUGCUGCACAUCAAGGAUUUAGUGGCUACAGAUCAUGGGUUUAUUUGGUUUAGAUUUUUUUUCCUUAGUUGUUAAGAGUCCUAUUCUGAGUCGUUUGUUGUUAGUGUGCGAUUUCUUGAUUUUUCUAUCAUGUAAUUGCCUAUAUAAUAGGUUCUUGAGGUUGUGAAUAAAUGAGUUGAUCAUCUUAUUUUCCCUUUCCUUUAUUUUUUUCAUCUUGCUGUUAUCUCCUUAGUAAGCUAAUAGUUGUGUCAGAGCCUGGUAAAAGAAGAGUAUUUUCGGUGAGAGAAAAAUGUUUAUGGUCCUCUUAUGGCUUUUGAAAAUUGUUUGCAACUACCUAUUCCACAUUUUGACGGUCACUAUGACCAUUGGAGAUGUUGAUGGAGAACUUAUUAUAGUCCAAGGAGUAUUGGCAAGUCAUUAAGCACGGUAUAGCAACACCAACAGAUGGAGAAAAGCUUACAGAAUACAACAAAAAAGACUUGAAGGGGCUGAAGUUCAAAGAUUUGAAAGCAAAGAAUUACUUAUUUCAAGCUGUUUCGAUCCUAGAAACCAUUCUUUGCAAAGAAACUUUCAAGGAUAUUUGGUACUCCAUUAAGACAAAAUGUCAAGGCUCUUCCAAAGUGAAGCGUGCAUAGCUUCAAGCUCUUUGGAAGGACCUUGAGGUUCUUCGGAUGGAGGAUGGUGAGUCCAUUAUAGACUAUUGUGCAUGAACCAUGGGAAUCAUGAGUAAUAUGUGAUUUCAUGGUGAGAAGAUGAAUGACACAACCAUUGUUAAGAAGAUACUACGGUCCUCAUCACCAAAGUAUGAUUAUGUUGUCUACUCAAUUGAAGAAUCCAAUGACAUUGAUGCACUCACCAUUGAUGAACUCCAGAGUUCCUUGUUGGUCCAUAAAUAGAAGAUGAAUAGAACUUCUACCCCCAAUGGAGCAGGCUUUGAAAGCUUCAACUCAUUCUUUCAAAAGAAGAAAUGGAGGUCAAGGAAAGGGAAGAGACAGAUGAGACAGUUGGAAUAAAAAUAGUGGCAGGUAUGCCAGAUCAGAUGAUAAAGGCAAACAACAAGAUCGACAAUUUGACAAGUCAAAGGUAGAAUGUUUUGGAUGUUAUAAGUUUGGUCAUUAUUGUUUUGAAUGUCGUACUAAUCUAUCAAUGAUAAGGAAAAGGGAGAAAAGUCAAAAUUUUCAUAAAAAGAAGCUAAAACCUUGUUAAUGGCAAUUCAUGACAAGCAAGAGAAGCCACAAAACUCAUGUUUAUGGUAUGUGGAUACAGGCUGUAGCAACCACAUGUGCGGUAAUAAGUUUUCUUUCUCUUAUCUAAAUGAAGACUUUCACAUUAAUGUGCCUUUUGGAGAUAAAUCUAUUGUUGAUGUAGUGGGAAAGGGUGGUAUUAGUAUAAGAACCAAUAAUAGUUUUGUAGAAACAAUGUCCCAUGUUUUCUUUGUGUCUGCUUUGAAAACUUAUUAAGUGCUGGUCAAUUGCAAGGAAAAAGAUAUGUGAUUACGGUAUCAAAAAGUGAUUGUGAAAUUUAUGAUCCUUCUAGAGGUGCUAUUGCAGUGGUUCCAAUGAGUUCCAACAGGUUGUUUCCAUUAGUGAUUGAUUGUUUUCAACCUUGCUUGAUGGCUAAAGUGAAGGACAACACAUGGCUUUGGCAUUUUUGAUGUGGUCAUCUUAAUUUUGAGGGUUUGAAGACUCUUUGGUAGAAAGAGAUGGUCAACGACCUCCCUCAGAUUGUCAUUCAAACCAUGUGUGUGAAGAUUGUGUUGUUAGCAGACAACAUCAUGAACAAUUUCCCAAAAUAAAGUUUUAGAUAGCAAAACAUGUGCAGGAAUUGGUCCAUUUAGAUAUCUGUGGACCAAUAAAACCAUAAUCUAAUGGAGGUAAAAUUUAUUUCUUUACUUUCAUCGAUGAUUAUUUCCAAAAAUUGUGGGUUUACUUUUUGCAGGAGAAAUCGGAAGCAUUUAGUGCAUUUACUAGCUUCAAGGCACUUGUUGAGAAUGAAAUCGGGAAAACCAUUCAAGUUCUUCGCAUUGAUUGUGGUGGAGAAUAUUGUUUCAAGGAAUUUGAAGCAUUUUGUGAGAGCCAUGACAUCUGGAAAAAGCUUACCACUGCAUAUACCUCCCAAAAAAAUAGCGUAUAAGAGAGGAAAAACAGAACCAUACUUAAUAUGGUGAAAAGCAUGCUUGCUAGUGGAAGGGUCUUAAAAUAAUUUUGGGCAAAAGGAGUAAAUUGGAGCAUCCAUGUCUUGAAUAGAAGCCCAACUUUUGCUGUUCAAAACAUGACACCUGAAGAAGCUUGGAGUGGAAGGAGACCAGCUGCAGAUCACUUCAAAAUUUUUGGUUGCAUUGCUUAUGCACAUGUUCCAAAUGUAAAGAGAAAGAAGCUUAAUGUCAAAGGAGAGAAGCGUGUCUUUCUAGGUGUAAGUGAAACAUCUGAAGUGUAUAAAUUGUUUAAUCCUUUAAAGGAGAAAAUUGUGAUUAGCAGGGAUGUAAUUUUUGAUGAGGAGAAUACUUGGAAUUGGGAUGACAAACAACCUUUUCAAACCUUUGUUGGUACUGAAGUUGAAGAUGAAAAGCAGUAGCCUUUAGAUUAGUAGACUCAAGCAACACUUAAGCUUAAGAGUUCACCAAAUAAUACUCUAAUAAGUAGUUGAACCUCAUCCUAGCUAUAUUUGACGGAGACCAGCUUGGAUAGGAGAUUUUUAGGUAAUCAGCGUUGGGCAGACUGAAGAUCCAACCAUCUAUUUUGCUUUAUUUGCGGAUUGUGAUCUAACAACCUUUGAAAGUGCUGUAAAUGAGUCAAAAUGGAGAAAAACAAUGGAUGAAAAAAUUGCAGUAUAGAGAGGAAUGAUACAUACAAGUUCACUAAACUUCCAAAAAGGCACAAGACAAUUAGUGUCAAAUAGGUGUACAAGACAAAGUUGAAGGAGAAUGGAGAAGUUAAUAAGUAUAAGGCACAUUUGUGGCUAAAGGUUAUAAAUAGGAGUUUGGGGUAGAUUACAAAGAAGCCUUUGCUCCUGUUCCAAGGCAUGAUACAAUCAGAUUGGUGAUUUCACUUAUAGUCUAAUACUCUUGGCCUAUCUUCCAACUAGAUAUGAAUUCGACAUUUUUACAUGGUGAGCUCAAAGAACAGGUUUUUAUUGAACAACAUACUGGUUAUGUUAAACAUGAAAGUGAAAAUAAAGUUUAUAAACUAAAAAAAGGCUUUAUAUGGGUUGAAACAAGCCCCACAUGCUUGGUAUAGUCGAAUUGAAGCUUAUUUCUUGAAAGCUGGUUUUCCCAAGUGUCCUUAUGAGUCUACUCUUUUCAUUAAAACUGGUGAUAAAAGGAAAAUACUUAUUGUGAGUUUAUAUGUUGAUGGUUUUAUUUUCAUUGGAAAUUGUAGUUCCAUGUUUAAUGGAUUCAAGAAGUCUGAUGGUUGAGUUUAAAAUGUCAGAUCUUAGUAUGAUGCAUUAUUUUCUAGGCAUAGAAGUAGUGCAAUCAACUAAUGGAAUAUUUUUUUCUCAAAGGAAAUACAUUCAAGAUAUUCUGAGCAAGUUUGACAUGAAGGAUUGCAAUCUAGCAAGCACCACCAUUGAGUUUGGCUUGAAGUUGAGCAAAGAAGGAAAGUAAGUGGACAACACUUUUUAUAAGCAGAUUGUAGGCAAUUUAAUGUACUUGAUUGGUACAAGACCUGACAUAAUAUAUUUUGUGAGUUUGAUCAGUAGGUUUAUGGAGAAUCCUACAGAGAUGCAUUUAUUGGUUACUAAGAGAAUCCUUCGUUACUUGCAAAGAACCAUAUAUUUUGGGUUGUUUUACAAAAAAGGAGAAUUUUAAUAUCUAUUUAGGUUCAUUGACUGUGACUGUAGGAGAUCUAGAUGAUAGAAAAAACACUUCAGUUUAUGUUUUCAUGAUGGGAAUCGGAGUUGUUUCAUGGUCAUCCAAGAGGCAAUCUAUUGUUCCUUUGUCAACAACUGAAGCUGAAUUUGUUGUUGCAACAACCUGUGCUUGUCAAGCUAUUUCGUUGAGAAAAAUCUUGGAGGAGCUGAAAUUCAAGAGAAUGGGAGCUACAAUAAUUUUUUGUGACAACAACUCAGUUAUCGGAUUCUCAAAAAAUCCAGUAUUACAUGGUAGAAGCAAGCAUAUUGAUGUGAAGUACUAUUUUUGAGAGAUCUUAACAAUGAUGGGGUAGUUGAUCUUAAAUGCUGCAAGAGUAAAGAUCAGCUGGAUGACAUAUUCACCAGACCUGGCAAAUUAUUUCCCUUAUUGUGAGUCCUAUUGUGAGCCUUAUUAUGUUAGUGCCUAAUUUCUUGAUUUUUCUGUUAUGUAAUUGCAUAUAUAAUAGGUUUUUGAUGUUGCGAAUAAAUGAACUGAUCAUCUUAUUUUCCCUUUCCUUUAUUUUUUUCAUAUUGCUGUUAUCUCUCUUAGUAAGCUAACAGCACCUUCACCUCUUUAAGCCCUACCAUUAUCAACUUGCCCUUUAGAAUCAGUGCUACAAAGCUCUCCUUUCAAACUCACCAAGAAGCUCCACCAACAAAAUGUCUACACCAUCAACAUCACCUCUCUAGGCAAGCCAAUGACAACACAUUACACCUUGCCCAAAAAUAUUAUCUCAUGGAAGGCCACUUUAUAAUCUCUUGCUCAAUUGCAAUAGAGGGGUGAUCCACCCAAGCACACUUACAUAAAAAUGGAACAAAUAAAAUCAAUUAUAUCAACAACGUAGGCACCACAUUAUCAUAAGCAUGAUGGUGUCAAAUUAUAAUAUAGUAGUUACAAUGGAACACUUACAUAAGUACUCCAAGGAUCAUUCUUCCACAUGGAUUGAUAAAGGAAGUCCAUAACCAAACAAACAAAUUUGGCCAUUACAAAUACAAUGAGGUAAACUUAAAUGAUCUUUGAAUAGUUAGGUGACCAAAGGGUAAACUUACUAGUUGUUGAGUGGCUAUAAGUGUAGUUUACCAAUUCUUUAAUGUUUAAGAUUACUUUUGUUUAAAUCUUACCUUUUUGCUUCAAAAUUAUUGGUGUUCUUGGUUGGUUGAAAAACUAGAGGAAUGGGAGGAAGGAGUGGAAAAGUGGAAAGAAAAUAAAAUUUAAUUGUACUUCGUAGGGAAUAAAAGUGAGAGAAAAGAAAAUAGGAGAGAUAAUCAUUUUUCAUCUUAAUGCAUAGAAAUCAAUCCUUCCAAAUUGGAAAGAUGAGAGGAGAGAAUAUUAUAAAGAUGUGUAUGUUAGUUUAAAAUUAUGCUAUUUUCUUUCAUUUCAUUUUUUAACUCUAUCAAACAAUAGAGGGAAAGAAAAUUACUUUGUUUUUCCACUUUUUCAUUUCUCCUAUCAAACACAACUACGGAAAGAAAAUUUAUGUUUUCCAUCCUUCUAAUUUUCAACCCCUUCAAUAUUCCAUCUUUCCAAUUUUCUUUCCACUCCAACAAGCAAAGCGAAAAUGUCUAGAGACAAAAUUGUUGACUUUUAUAAUUGUUAUAACAAACGUCGAUAAUGACAAUAGCAUGAUCGCAAAGUAUGAAAAAAAUAAGAACACACAGAUUUUACGUGGAAACCCUUUCGGGAAAAAACUACGGACAAAGGAGAAGAAAUUUACUAAUGUUGAAAAACGAAUAAUACAGGAGAAGUUUCGACUACAUCUAUUAAAAAGGUUAAAAAAUCCUAUUAUAAUCAAUAUCAAAUAGAAUAAAUAUAGUUCUUCAACAAGUGACGGGAUUUGGGUCACACAAACUCUAACAAUAAUUAAUGAAUUAAUUUAGUCUUUUACUUCAUAAUACAAUGACCCACAUUGUGAAAUUUCCAUUUCUGUUUUAGAAAAUUUCUAAAAAAAAGUUGUUUAGAAAUAAUCUUCUCAUGAGUUGUAAGUAAAAAAUCCAGUAAUAUUAUUAAAUAUUUAGUAAUAUUACAAGAAAUCUGUAUUCCUAAUAUAAGUAGCUUUGUAAAAGACUUAGUAAUUUACAUUGUAAGAAAUUCAAUAAUUUAUUGAAAAUGUUACAAUGUUGUAGCAAAUUCAGUAUUUUAAGUAGCCCACACUAAAUCUUUUUUAAAAUUACUGAAUUUAUAAUAAUUACUGAAUUACUUACAUGAUUACCAAAAAAAACUUCAACUAUUACUGAAUUCAUUAUGACAUUUUUUAUUUAUCUAAUUUCUUAAGGAAUUCUAUCAGUAAUUCAAUAAUUCUUUAAGAGUUUUAGUAAUUCAGUAUUUUUACGAAAUUUAGUAAUUUACGAAAUUAUGAAAAAUUAGGUAAACAUUAAAAUGUUUUAAGAUAUUCAAUAAUUGAUUUAGGUUAUUCAAUAUAUUUUAAUUUUAAUUUUAGUUUGGCCAUAAUAAGCACUUUUGUUCCUUGGGUUUGUGGGUUUGCUGCAAAUUAGAAAGGUUUCAUCAAUUUUUUAUUUAUUUCUCUAGGUUAUUAGAGUGAAUUCAAUAAUUAAUCCUCCACAUUCAAUAGGUCCAUUAAGGGGUAGAUGCGGACAACGAGUUUUAAAAUUACUCCAUACCCAGGAUAAUAAUUGAACAUUGGGCCACUGGUUAAGAUAGAAGAGACCCUUAACAUCUCAUUUAACUCCUGUGGCUAAAGGGUUCGUUAAUUUUAACAAUAUGUUUUAAGCUUCGUUAUGAGUUAACCCUUCACUCUCCUAGCUACAGAACUAAACUAAAGCAUCAACUUCUAGCUCCCCUUACCAUCAUGCAAUGGUCAUUUCGUGCUUUCAUAAAAUAAAAGUCCAUUUCAAAAGAGAGAAAUCUGAAUAAAAGAUUCAUCAUUAGCAAUAAAAAACAUGAAGAAAUUGAGAAGAAAACAAAAGAAAGAAAAGAGACAUGCCCAUUUCAGAAGGUGGAAAGCCUAAACUUUAGUUUAGAUUUUUAGGGAUUUCUAAGAAGUUUUUUUUUCGAAAAUCAAGCAAAGGAUUGGAUUUGAAAUUUUAGUUUUUUUUUCAUAUAUAUUUUAGUUUUUUUAAAAUUUUUAUAUCAUUUUUAUUUAAAAAUUUUUAGGAACUAUAAAAAAGAAAUAUAUAUAUAUAGUGAUUAGUUCUGCAAUUCAACUUAAAUUUUUCAUCUAACAUAAUUACUUAACAUGUUACGUUAGCUUACUGUUAUUUUAUUAAUGAUAAUUAAUAGCUCAAUAACUAGAUAUUACAAAUCGAUAACGUUAGUGACCAUUUUGUAACAAAUUAAAAUCCAAUGACUAAAAUGUAAUUUAAACCAUAGAUAAAUGAAUAUUUUUAUAAUUUAUCCUAUAUAAUAUUAUAUAUAUGUACCUCAAGAAAAAAAAAUAUCAUACAUAUGCACGCCAAACUAUAUAUAUAUUUAAUGUUAAGUUUCUAAUAUACAAUAUUUAUAAUAUUUAUAAAAAUUAAAUUUUAAGUUUAAAAAUUAUGAAAAAUUUUAAAAAUCUAAAAGUUUCAAACUACACCAACUGACCACAUGCUUGUUGGAAAUACUUAAAUUCAAUGCACAAUAAAAUACUAAAAAGAAAGGAGUUAAUAUAUGUUAACUUUGUUGAUGUGGUAUAUAUGUAAAUUACUAUGUGAAUGAAAUCUCAACAAUUAAAAUUUUUAAAUUUUAGAAAGUUUAACCAAAUAUAUAAAAAAAUAUUUUAAAAUUUAAAAUCAUUUUAAAAAUUUUAAAAAUAUAUUUUAAAAAUUUUAAAAAUUAAUUAAUUGUUAACGUGGCACAUACGUGGAUGCCAUAGUAAUAAAGUUAACAAACAUUAAUUUUUCCAUCCAGUUUGGGAUGAUUUGACAAACAAUGCAAAUUCAAGAGCUAAAAGAGACGAAAAAUUAAAUGAAGAACUAAAAUGACAUUUUAUAAAGUUGAAGGGCUAAAUAAAUUAUUAUGCUUUUUUAAUAACCGUUAUUUCUUUCUUUUUUUUAACAUGCCAAAUUUAAAAUAUGUAUAUUAAAUAUUUAAUUUUAUAUUGUGUGCGAAAUUAAUUGAUUUGGUUUAAUAUAAAUAAAAAUGUAAUACUUAAUUACUCAGUAUUAGAUAAGUUUACUAUCAAUUAGUAAAAAGUAAUUAUAAUAAGUGAAAGUUAUUUUUAGAAUUUAAAGUUUAUCCAAAUGAAUUAUUAAUGCCAUUAGUAGAACUACGAAUGCACAAUAAGGGAAGAAUAUAUCAAUUUUAUUGAUAAAUCUAGACGCCUUUAGUGAAAUUUGCUGAUUCCCUUUGAAUAUUGUUUUUAAAAUUAUGAGUUCCAAAUAUAAAAUUCUAGUAUUGACUGAAUCAUACAACUAUAGAAUUCAAUUUGAAAAAAAUAUGUUAAAUUAAUUGUGAAAAAUACCUUAUUUAAAGAGUCAAGCCGACAUUUUUUUUUUCUUUCUUUUUAUUAUUAUAAAUAUGAAGUAAACAAACACCUGUUAAAUAAUUAUAUUCAUGUUGAAAUUAAAGCGUCCGGUGAAUUUAAAAAUUCUUUUUAGAGGGCCUGAAAAUGAAUUAUAUAUCGUUUCGAUAGUAAAAAAGUAAUUUCAUCAUUUUAAUAGUUUAUAUCUUUAUAAUUUUUAAAGAAUUAAAUCAAAAUUUAUUAUUUUUAGGGUCAAAGUACAAUUUUAUCAUUACUAAUUUGAAAUUUUAUAAAUUAUAAAAAACUUUAAAUAGAAAAUUUUCCAUUUUAAGGGGAACCGAAAUUCCUCUGGCUCCGCCCGACACACAUCACAGUUGCACAUAAUUAAUUAAUAGAUUAAAUCUUAUUACAUGUUUCUCAUUUUUAUUUCUUAUUUCAACGAAUUCAUCGUCACUAAGAUUGACUAAUUUGUCCUUUACAAUGAUCCAAAAGACUUUUCAACACUCUCAGUCUAAGGGGUUCCUCCGGAGUCCGUAUAUUAUGUUUCAAGUCAAUAAUUUUACUGUUUUUUUAUGGAUGCUGAAAAUAUGAUCAAUGUGCCCCUUUUCCCCCCUUAAAUUAUCUCAUUAUGCUGAAAAUUAUGUUAAAUUAAUUGUGAAAAUAUGUUAUUGAAAUAGUCAAGCCUUUUUUUUAAUGCUUUUACUAUUAUAAUGGCAGUACACUUGCAAAUAUAAAUUCAUGUUUAAGGCAAAGAAUUGAAAACAAUUCAUCAUUAGAUAUUUAUGAGUUAAAAGUUGGGUUGAGUCGAGAUCUAGUUUAAAAUAUUUUUCAAGUUUAAGUCUAUUUUCGGGUUAAAAAUUAAUAAAAUAUUAAAAAUAAAUUUUUAAUUGUUAUUUUAUAUAAUUUUAGAAUUAAAUUUUAAUUUUAAAAUAUUUUUUAUUAUUUAAAUUGAAUUCAAGUCAGGCCGGUUCGAACUGCAAAAAUUCUUGUCCAAAUCUGAUCUAAAAACUAAACUCAAUUACCCAAAUUAUUUAAAUUAUUUAUACUAUGUUAAUUAGCAAUUUAAAAAAUUUGUAAAAGUUGAACGUCGACAAUAACAAUAUAGAACGAUUGCAAAGCAAAAGAAAGAAAAAAUAAGAACACGAAGAUUUUACGUGGAAACCCUUUCGGGAAAAAAAGACCAUGGGUAGAGGAAAAAAAAAUUCACUAAUGUCGAAUUCGAAAGAUACAAGAGGAGUUUAGACUACGUCUAUUUAUAGGUUGAAAAAUCUUAUUCUAAUCAAUGUCAAAUUAUUAAAGAGUAGUAAGGUUAAAAAACCUUAUUCUAAUCAAUGUAAAGUAAAAGAAGUAUAGUUUUAUAUGAAUUUUAUUUUAUUUUUAUUUUAACAAGGACUCAAGUCACUCAACUCUAACAAUCUCCACCUUGACAUGAAUUCUCAACGAACAAGUUCUUCACCACGAACUCUUAACGAACAAGUUCUCCACCUAUCCCACGAAACCCUUUAAAGGGUGUUCUUCAACAAUGAAUACCAGUCAAGUCCAAGCAAUACUCAAACUUCUUGGUUAUAGGAAGUGGCUUAGUCAUCAUAUCCGUAGGAUUUUCAUGAGUACUAACUUUGCUCACAACAAUAUCACCACAAGCAAUAAUAUCAUGCACAAAAUCAUACCGAACAUCAAUAUGAUUUGUUCUCUCAUGAAACAUUUGAUCCUUCGUAAAGAAGAUGACACUCUGACUAUCACAAAACACUGUAUUGAUCUGAAGGUCUUUACUGAGUUCACCAAAGAGUCUCUUUAACCAAAUAGUUUUUUUACAAGCCUCGGUAAUCGCCAUGUACUCAGCUUUAGUAGUAGACAAAGCAACUGUAGUUUGCAAAGUAGCUUUCCAACUGAUUGUGCAACCUCCAAUUGUAAAGACAUACCCUAUGAGAGAUCUUCUUUUAUCAAGGUCUCCAGCAAAAUCAGAAUCAACAUAUGUAAUGACUCCAUCCCUAGUUCUUCCAAACUAUAAGCAAACAUUAGUAGUACCUCAUAAGUAUAUGAAAAUCCACUAAACUAUUUUCCAGUAUUCUUUAUUGGGAUUCGCCAUGUAUCUACUAAUUGCACUAACUAUACAUGACAAAUCUGGACAUGAGCAAACCAUAGCAUACAUGAGAGAUCCCAUUGCACUAGAAUACUGAUUGCAAAGACAAAACCGAUGAAAGUCUAAAGUGGGUUGCUAAUAGGGUCCUAAUAGGCUUGGCAUUCUGCAUAUUGAACAUGCAAAGAACUUUUUCAAUGUACCAUUUCUAACUUAGGUACAAUUUACAUGCUUUUCUAUCUCUGAGAAUCUCCAUCUCAAGUAUCUUCUUUACUGCUCCCAAACCCUUUAUCUCAAAUUCUUUAUUAAGUUGGGCUUUGACCUUUCUUAUCUCUUAUUUAUCUUUGGCUGCUAUCAACAUGUCAUCAACAUAGAAGAGUAGAUACACAAAAGAACCAUCACUGUUUUUCUUAAAAUAAAAACAACUGUCAAAGUUGCUUCUUUUGAAAUCAUGAGGAGUCAUAAAAAAAUCGAACCUCUUGUACCACUGCCUUGGUGACUGUUUCAAGCCAUAAAUGGACUUUUUCAACAAGCAAACAUAGUCAUCCUUUUCUGAUACAGUAAAAUCUUCUGGUUAUUGCAUGUAAAUAUCUUCCUCAGAUUCCCCAUGCAAGAACGUUGUAUUUACAUCUAACUACUCAAGCUCCAAAUCAUACAUGGCCACAAUACCAAAUAAGGCUCGAAUCGAAGUAUGUUUCACAACUGGAGAAAACAUAUCUAUGAAGUAUACACUUGAAAUCUGACUAUAACCUUUUGCAAUCAGCCUUGCUUUAUACAUGGGUUCUUCAACUUCAGAGUUCCUUAUUUCUUUUUGAACACCCAUUUACAACGAACAACCUUUUUACCUUUAGGAAAUCUUACUAGAUCCCACGUUCUAUUCUUAUAGAGCGAUUCCACCUCUUCUAGCGUGGCAAUCAUCCAUUUUCUUAAAUCUUCACAAUUAAUUGCCUCAGAAUAAGUAGAUGGCUUUUGAUUUGCAUCUAUAUCUUUAGCCACAUUUAAAGCAUAAGCAACUAGGUCGACCUCAACGUACCUCUUUGGAGGUUUAAUUUCUCUUCUAGGUUUAUUCUUGGUAGUAGAAUAUUGUGGUGAAGAACAACUCUACUCUAAGUUUUUAUACUAACUUAAGUGUUGGAUCACCAGCACCCCUAUGGCGCAGCGAAAAAAAUUAAAAUCGGCGACCCUAACCAUGGAUCCAUGUGUGAAGAACGAAUCGGGGUGAAAAGAUUACGAAAUUACCUAAUAUUUCGAUUAAGAAGAUAGUAACUUCUCGACAAUGUGUAGUCUGAUUUACAGUCAAACCAAGCCGCAAUCUAUCGAGACUCCAACCUCUACGUAAUCCACCCAGUUGACUACGAACGGAAGAAAAUCCCCAAAACAGUUUUGAGAGUUAUAUUUUUUUACGGCUGCUAGACCUUAAAAUAAUGAAAAACGGGAUUCUAAUAUAUCUCUUUUAUUUUUAGGGUUUUUAGGAAUUAAAUAAAUAUAAUAAUAUUUUAAACCGAAAAUUUUAAUUACAUUAAUUAUAAUAUAAUUUCGGUAAACCAUAUAUUUAUUUAAAUUCAUAUGCUAAUCAAAUUCAUGUCCUCAUUAUGCGUACAACAACCUUGUACAUAAUGUGUUGGAAAUUUGAUUACUGAAUUAAAUUAAUUCUAUAAUUAAUUUAAUUCAAGUGACACCCAAAAAUAAAACCAACUAUGGUUUAUUCCGUUCAUUUCAACUAUAGUGUGUGACCUUGUAGGUUCUUGUAACGUUAGCAGUAAUACUAGAACGAUUCCAAUGUUACAAACAAUGAGUGGCAUCUAGCAAUGCAUCAUUCUACCUAAGUCACAAGAGAUCAUGAUUCGACAUAACCUUUUAUGAUUAACCUUUUAUGCAAUAAUCCUUAAGUCCUUUAUCUCUGGAUUGGACACAAGUCAUGGAAUAGUCACACUUGUAUAGUCCAUUCCAUGUUCCUUGAUAUCUUAAGCAGACUACGAUAUACACAUAAGUAUGACAUCUCAUAUCAACUUAUUUGAGCAUGGCCAUGCAUUUCUAGUCUCACUUAAUCAAGUGGCCUAAGAUAUUACUCCCAUUAUGUAGGAGGGACUUAUUCUAUAUCGACCAACCAUAUCCCUCUACAUCGAUUGUGAUAUAUCCAACAUCAGCCUUUAUAGAACAACCAGUUACGGUGUACGUUUAACUGUAUCAAAAUAUAUUACUCACGAUGUUGGGAUUAUGAUGAUCUCAAGUCUGAGGAUCAUAUACAUAUUAAUCACUAUGAGUAAUGUCGUGACAAUUACAUAAUAAUCCAAGAGANNNNNNNNNNNNNNNNNNNNNNNNNNNNNNNNNNNNNNNNNNNNNNNNNNNNNNNNNNNNNNNNNNNNNNNNNNNNNNNNNNNNNNNNNNNNNNNNNNNNAGUCCAAUAUGUUGUUCUCUAACACACAUAUUCAUGCAUCGAUUCUGACAUUCCAUAUCAAUGACAACUCUUUAUCAUCAAUCAACUACAUGUUAGUCUUAAUGCAUUAUCCUUGUCCUAUCCAACAAUAAUACUUGACUAAGGAUCUUUUAAGAAUAAUCAUAUUAUUCUUAGGACAUUAUUAUAAAACAGCUUAUUUAUACACACAGAAAAGAAACUGAAAUAAUAAUGGUAACGCCUUAUAUUAAUAAACAUGAUAAAUCAAGUAUGUUAUUACAAUCAUCUCAUGAUUGGUCUUUGGGCAUACUCUAACAUUAAGAAGUAGACUCUGUUAUAGAUCCUGGAUCAAUCUGAAGCUCCACCUGUUUUUCCUGGUUAUUAUUGGAAGAGUUUUUAAGAGAUAAGUUAGGUAGCAUAGCAGUUUCAUAAAAAAAUAAUAUCUCUGCUAAUCACAACUUUUCUAUUUUCAGGACACAAUAAUUUAUAUCCUUUAACACCAGCCUUAUAACCAAGAAAAAACACAUUUAAUGGAUCUAGGUUCUAAUUUCCCACUAUCAACAUGAGCAUACACAGGACACCCAAAAAUUCUCAAAUUAGAAUAAUCAGUAGGAUUACCAGACCAUACAUUUUGUGGAGUCUUUUUCUCAAUGGCAACGAACAGAGACUGGUUAAUCGAAAAACAUGCAGUACAGGCCACUUCAGCCCAAAAUGACUUCGGUAAACAAGCAUUCGAUAACAUACAUCAAACUUUUUCCAUGAUUAUUCUAUUCAUCCAUUGUGCAAUGCCGUUUUGCUGUGGAGUAUGACGAACUGUCAAGAGUCGCAUGAUUCCUUUUGAUUUGCGCAAUUUAAUAAACUCAUCAAAACAUAAUCCCAUGCCAUUAUCUAUACGGAGGUGUUUUAUCUAUUUUCCUGUCUAGUUAUUGAUCAUAGUUUUCCAAGCCUUAAACACAAAAAACACAUCACUUUUCUGCAAAAAUCAUCAAUGAUUGUUAUCAUAUAAUUAGCGUCACCCUUCGAAGGCACUCUGGAUGUUCCCCAAAGAUCAGAAUGAAUAUAAUCCAGCAUUCUCUUCAUGUUAUGGAUUCCUCUAGUGAAUCAAACUCUCUUUUGCUUCCUAAAAACGCAGUGCUCACAAAACUUUAGUUUGCUAAUGCCUUGUCCAUCAAAAAGUCUUCUUUUGCUUAAUUCUACCAUGCUAUUCUCACUCAUAUGCCCUAGACAUAUAUGUCAAAGUCUAGUAACAUAAUCAUCUAACAAGGAAGAGGAAGCGACGGCUGCAUCACCAGUAACAGUAAAACCUUGCAAAACAUAUAACUUGGCAAUCUUUCUCUGCCCUUUCAUCACAAUGAGGGAAUCCUUACUAAUCUUUAGAACUCCACUUUCAGCUGUGCACUUGUGCCCUUUUGAAUCAAGAGUACUCAACAAAAUCAAAUUCCUCUUCAAUCAUGGUAAAUGUCAUAUUCCACUAAGUGUUCUGAUGACUCUAUCGAACAUUUUAAUUUUGAUCGUGUCAAUACCUGUGAUUUUACAUGAAGCAUUAUUUCUCAUCAAAACAACACUUUCAGACACAAUUUCAUAGGUUGUAGACCAAUCUCGAUUUGGACUCAUAUGGAACGUACAAUCAGAAUCGGGGAUCCCCUCCUCGCUCACUUUAAAUUUGUUGGCAAAAAUAACUAGAAGUUCACCAUCACUGUAGUUUUCUGCUACAUCAGCUUCACCGGAUUGUUCUGGUUGUUUUCCCUUUUGAUUCACAAUCUCCCUUUUGAUCUUGUUUUACAACUUAUAGCACUUAGAUUUAAUGUGCCCUUUCAUCUUGCAAAAGUCACAGGUUUUACCUUUGUUUGAAGAUCUUGAUCUACCCUUAAAUUUGCUGCUAGGAUUUCGCUCUUAUGUCCUCUAACGAUUAUCAUCAGUAUUUUGUUCUUGUCUACCACGAACAGUGAGACCCUUUCCCUGAGAGUCGGAUCCAACUACAGGAUGUUUCAUCUUGUCAUACGAGGCUAAAGGAGCAUAGACUUCAUCAACUGUGAUAGAUUCACAACUAUACAAAAUCGUAUCUCUAAAGGUUGAAUAAGACGGGGUAACGAAUAAAGUAGAAUUAAACCUAAAUCUUCUUUGUCAUACUAAACCUCCAUGGCCUCUAGGUCAGAGAGAAUUUUUUUAAACACAGUUAAGUGUUCGUGUACAGACGCACCUUCCUCCAAAUGAUAAGCAUAAAGACGCUGGUUAUAUGCAACUUGCUAGUUAAGGUUUUCGACAUGUAUAAUUGUUGCAACUUUGCCCGUAAUGCACCGACGAUCUUCUCAUUCAUCACGCCCUGUAGAAUUUCAUUUGACAAAUGGAGAUGUAAUUGUGUUAAAACCUUUCGAUCUUUACGUUUCUUCUCCUCCUCUGUCAAUGUCGAAGGCAUCUUAUCUACCCCUAGCAAGGCAUCCUCUAACUCCAUUUGCGCAAGAACUGGCUGCAUCUUUAUCUGCCAUAGUGCGAACCAGGUGUUGUGAUCUAGUAGUGGAAUAUCAUACUUCAAUGUCGCCAUUACCAUGAUCGAGACAAACAACCCGAAAAGCUCUGAUACCAGUUUGUAAAAGUUGAACGUCGACAAUGACAAUAUAAAACAAUCACAAAUCAAAAGAAAGAAAAAUAAGAGAACACAGAUUUUACGCGGAAACCCUUUCGAGAAAAAAACCACGAGUAGAGGAGAAGAAAAUUCACUAAUGUCAAAUUCGAAUGAUACAAGAGAAAUUUAGACUAUAUCUAUUUAUAGGUUGAAAAACCUUAUUUUAAUCAAUGUCAAAUAGAUGAAGUGUAGUAAGGUUGAAAAACCUUUUUCUAAUUAAUGUAAAAUAAAAGAAGUAUAAUUCUAUAUGGAUUUUACUUUUAUUUUAAUUUACCACUGUAUUUUAUUUUAACAAGGAUUCGAACCACUCAACUCUAUAUAUAUUUAAAAUCAUUCAAAUUUGAAAAAAUAAAUUAAAAUUAAAAAUAUUUUGUUGAAAAUCUGAAAAUUAUUUUUAAAAAGUCCCCCUCAUCUUCUUCAUCUAAAAGAAUGAAGAUUUUCACUGUCAUUUUUUUAUUUACUUAAAACUCUCAGAUCGUAAAAGAUUACUUUUUGUGCAUCCAAAUGAAAAACCCUCAACCAUCCCUUGUAGAAAAGAGAAGACUUGAAGCAAAUGGCACAAAUUCGAUCCGUUUGCGCUUUAAUUUCUAGCGAAAAGUUGGCUAUGUAACAUCAUCAAAACCAACCCUAAUAAAAUUUCUAACAUAGACAUAUUUUUUUAUUUAACUGCGAUUUGUUAUUUAGAAAAUCAUGGUUAUAAUAAAAUUUUAAAAUCAAUUAAAAUUCAUUAAAAUAAUUUUUUAUCUACGAAAUCAAAAUCUAAAUUAGAAAUUAACUGUUAUGCAUGAAGAAGCUUAAUACUAUUUUUGGUCUUUGUACUAUAGUGAAAUUCUUAUUAUGGCCUUUUAUUAUUUUUUGGUCAGAUUGUUUUCUCUAUUUCCAUUUCGUCACUAAGUUCGCCCUUUUAGCAAGUUUCAUUAAAAAUAUUAAAUCCACGAAUGACUUGCUGUGCCACAUUUAAAAAAAUUAAAAAUUUUACUUAAAAAAUUAAAAAUCCAAAAUAUCUCAAAAAUAACAAAAAUUUGAAAACAUAGAAUUUUUUUUUAAAAUAUCCUAAUCUACUUUUGAAAAUUAUAAAAAUUAUUUUUUUACAAAAAAAUUAUUUAAAAAAAUAAGAACUCAUUUAAAUUCCACAAAAAUCAUAAUUUUUUUAAAAGAGUCCCAAAAAUCUUAAAACACAAAAAAAUUAUAAGAUCUUAAUCUAUUUCAAAUUCACUUAAAAUUUAAAAAAUAUAAAAAAACUAAAAUAAAUCAUUAAAAUUCCCCAAAAAAACAUAAUUUUUUUUAAAUCCAGAAAAAUCUUAAAAUUCUGAAAUUUUAAAAAAAAUCAAAAUAUUAAUCUAUUUCAAAUUCACUUAAAAUUUUAAAAAUAUAAAAAACUAAAAAAUAUUAAAAUUCCAAAAAUAUAUAUAUUAAAAAAACACCCCCAAAAAAUCUUAUAACUUUGAAAAUUAUAAAAUAAACUUUUAAAAAAUCUUAAUCUAUUUUUGAAAAUUAUAAAAAAGAAAACCUAAACUUAUAAGUAUGCAGAACUUCAAGAAAAUAAAAAAAUCAUAAAAAUAUAAAAAAUGUUUUUCUUUUUUGAAUUUAGGGUUUUAUAAAAAUAUAGAAUUUUAUGAAAAAUUUUAAGAAUUUUAUGGUAAUUUUUACUUAGGAUUUCCAAAAAAAAAAAAAAUCCCAUAAAUUUCUUCUAAAUUUUAAUAAAAUUCCAAAAUUUUAUAAAAACCUAAAAUUUUCUACAAACCUAAAAUUCCAAAAAGAAACUCAUUUUUUUUAACUUUUUUUCAAAGUUUCGCAUGCUUAUACUUUUUUUUUUCAAAAAAUAUAGUUUUGAAAAAUAUAUUAAGAUUUUUUUAGUUUUUUUAUUACUUUUCUAUGUUUUUAUAAAAGAACCAAAGUGAGAAUUUCAGAUAUUAAGCCAAAAGAUAUUACCUUUUAUUUGAGUUUAUUUAGAGUGAGAUUUCACCGUAUGCAAACAAAAGAGAAUUACAAUACAAAGCAGAUCCUCUCUUUUCCUCCUUUCUUUUUCCGUAGUUUUCUUCUUCUUCUUCUUCUUCUUCUUCUUCCUCUCUUGUAAACUUCUUUUCUUUCUCCUUUACAUGCUUCACUGUUCUCUUCACCUCUCUCUUUUUUCUUCUUACCUUUUUUUGCUUUUCCAUGCAAAAUGAGGCAGGAGGCCAUGCCACCCUUAAAUGUUAAUAACACUGACAAAUAACAUAAUAAUCUAAACUAAAAAAUUAAUAGUCAAAAUCCAAAAUAAAAUCGAGCUAUGAAAGUGUAGCAACAUUCAACUUAGAUUUUUCAAAUUAAACCUAACCCUAGAAUUCAGAUUUAUUGAAAGUGACUUUAAAAUUAAGUUUAGCCCGGAUAAAAAUAAUACCUAUAAUAUAAAUAAUAUUUUUUAAUUAUUUUUUAAUCAAAUUGAUGUUUGAUUAAUGGGUGAUACCGAUACAAAAAAUUUAAAUAGAAACAUAAAUUCUAAUUUAAAUGUUUUAAAAGAAAAUACUAAUUGUUCAAGACUGUAUUUAAUUCAGUUCGUUUUUCUUCGAUUUGUCCUUCUAUUAGAUGAAAAAAAAACUAAUAAAACGACUCGUAAAUUAAUACAUAUUAAUAUUUUUAUUUUUAUCGUGUUAUUGAAAACUAUGGGAUAUUUUACUUUUGAAUUUCAUAUAAAUAUUAAAUGUGCAUAUAAACUCUUCAAGGAUAAUUUAAUUAUUAUUUAAUAAGAAAAUUUUAAGGUAAUAAAAAUUGUAUGUGAGAGAACCCGAUGUGAUGGCUCGAGCUGAUGUGAGUUUCUUUAUUGGCCUAAUAAUAAAUUUAGUCUUCUAAUAUUUACACGUUCUACCCAAGUUUGGAAGUUACUGAUGAUGAUAUGUCCAAGUAAAAAAAAAGGCGAAAAAAAACAAAUUUUCUAUGUUUUGAAAGAUUUCGCAUUUCAUUGUUUCCUCUAUUUGAAUAUUAAGUAUUUGUACAUUUUUUAAAUAAGAAAAACAUGGAAAUAAUUAUUUUGUAAUUGUUUAAAGAAUUGUUAAUUUAUUUAGAGGAAUUGAUUCUUAGAUUAUAUGAUAUUAAUCUAAAAUAUGACACUAAAAUAGUUGGAUUUAAGCCAACUUGAUUUUUUACCAUAUUCAAAAAGGCGAUAUUAAUUUAAAAAGAGCACAAUACAAAUAGUGUUAAAUACUCUUCUUGUUUAGUAUAUUUUGGAGGUACGUUAAAGAAUAUUUAAAAAAAUUUAAAUACUUUCCAAUUUUCUAUUGAAAUUUUUAGAAUUAGAACUAAACUGACAAAUUCUGUGAUGGCUAAAUUUAUUGAUUUUUUUUAGAAUUCGAACUAAAAUGACAAAUUUUGUAAACAUUUAGGGCUAAUUUUGUUGAUUUUGUUUUAGAUUUAGGAUCAAACUGAUAGAAUGUGUAAAUAUUGGAGGCUAAAUUUGUUAUUAGAUCAAUAAAAAGGGCUUACCGAGCUUUUCAUCACUCAUCUAACAACAACUAACGAGAGAGUGACUAAAAUAUUUAAUUUCAAAAAAUUGAGUGGCAAAAUGGAAAAAAAAAUCAAUAGUCAGGUGACCAAAUAGAACCGAAGGCAUAAUUGGUGACUAUUGUUGUAGUUUACCCUUUUAGUAAUUAAAAUUAAUUUCUUUCAAUAAGUUCAAAUAAUAGAAAAUAAUUAUUUGAUAAUUAAAUGAAGAACUACAUUGGUAGUCACUCAACUAUUAGUAUUUUUUUUUGUCAUGCAACUAUGAAACUUUACAAAAAUGGUCAAUAAUUAUUCAACUUUUUUCUAUUUGGUCAACCAACUACCGGCCAUUAAUUUAUACAUUGUGUCAAUUUAGUCUUGAUUCAAAAAAAAUUAACCCUCAACAUUUACACAUUGUGUCAUUUUUUUUUGCAGUUUUACUUUUAUUUGUGACAUUGAGGGUUAAUUUUAAAAGAAUGAGAAAAUAUGAAAAUUAUUAUCUUGGAUUUUGGGUGUUUUCAUUUUUGAUAUAUUUCCGAUUAAAUUUAGUUGAUAGAUUGUUUUUCUUAGCUUAUUAGGUGAAAGGGUCACAAAGAAAAACAAAGAAAAAAUACCAAAUUACAUCAUGUGUAAACACUGAGGGUCACAAUGUAUAAAUGUUGAGUGCUAAAGUUGCUAUUAUGCCAAUUUUAAAAGUUAUACGUCACCUUUUAUUCAAUCAUUCAACGACUAGUGAAAACGAAAAAACCAAAUAGUUGAGUGACCACUUCGUAACUUUUCAUAAUUGGGUGGCUAAAAAAAGAAAAGUACUAAUAGUUGGAUGACUUGAAAUGUAAUUUACCCUUAAAUAAAACAAUGGAUAAUUUGUGAUUGGUGUCCCAAAAUUAUAAAAAAGAAACUAUAUUUGCUAUAAGAAAGGUUAUAUCAACUAGAUAGACUAUAGUGGACAUUAAAUGACGUACCAUAAAAAAUAAAAAGAAAAGAACAAACAACUUCAAAACCUAUAUAUAUAUAUAUAUACAUAUAUAUAUAUAUAUAUUAUUUAAAGGUUGUAUUCUUUUGACUUAAAAAGAAUAAUUGAGGCUAAAGAGAUUGCAAUGAUUUAAGCAUGUUAUUCAUGACUAUAAUGUUUUGGAAAAAUAUAUAAUAUUAUACUUUUUGUAAAAUCAUAAGGAGCGUUAAUGAUUGACAAGUAUCUUAUAAGAAUAUAGUAAAUUUUUUUAAAAAAUACACAUUAUAGUUUUUUAAGACUGUUUGUGAAAUUAAAAAAAAUACACUACUAAUGUACAAAAUACGUAUUGUCGAAACCGUUUUUUGAAAACAAAAAUUUUAGUUUCGACUUAAAAAUAAAAACAAAAACUGGAGUCGCCACCGAUCAUUUAUGAAGGUGUGAUCGGCCCACCUUAAAAAUAAUUUUGGUCUGCGAAAUUCGAGAAAACAGGCUCGGGAGUCAGUUACGCACGAGGAAGGAUUAGCACCCUCGUAACGCCCAAAAUUGGUACCAAAUUGAUUUUUUUUAAUGCCUUGGUGUCGAAAAUUUGAAAAGAUUUUAAAAGGAAACUUUUUAUUUCAUGAAUGGAUUAAAAUAAAAAGACAUUCGUAUUUCAAAGAAAUAAAACACCACACCCAGUGAGUUAGGGCACAAUGUUUUUAAAUCUUCAAAAUACCCGAAUAUUGCCUUUUGCUUUUGAAAAUUCUUAUUUCGAGAAGAAAAUGUCAUGACCAGUAAGUUAGGACCCAACAUUUCGAAUUCCCGAGAAUAAGUUUUUAUUUAAAAUUUGAAUUUAUUGCAAAACAAAUAUUUGGCUUUCUAAACUCAUCGAAAAAUAAUCGCGAUCCAAUAAGUUAGGACACGAUCUUUCACGAGAAUCAUGAAUACCAAAUAUUUUGGAAUUUAUAAAAUAAGAUGAUUUAAAUACUUUGAGAAAACAUAUAUUUUCUUUAAAAGCAAGAUAAAAUGUUAAUAUACAACAUGAUACACAUAUUUUAAUUUAAAUUAUAAAUGUGCAUGUAUUUACAAAAUAUAUAUAAGUGUAAUACACAAGUAAAUUUGAAAAUAUGUGCAUGCGUAUGUUUAACACACAUACACAAAUAUACAUAAAAAACAUGCAUAGCAUAACUUAUAAUAAUCUCCAAAAAUAUGUACGUAUAUUUCAUAAAACAUGCAUAUGUACAAAAAAAUAGAAAAAAAAAAUGCAUAUGCCUUGUAAAAUAUGAGAGUACAUACAUAUAUAUAUAUAUAUAUACAUAUUUAUUUAUAAAAACUAUGUAAACAAAAUAUAUAUAAAAUAUGAGCGUAUAAGGACUUCAAAGGAGAUUGGAUUGGUUACUUCAGUCUGCUCCACUGCAACUUCAGGGAGAUAAGACUUGUAUAUUCGAUCUACUUCACCACCAGUAUGGGAAGACAAGAUCUGUUUUCUUCGAUCUACUUCACGCCAAUACAUGAGGACAAGAUCUGUUUUUUCAAUCGAUUCCACUGCCGACCGGGGAGGUAGAAUUACUGGCUUCAAUAUACUCCGCUGCAACCUCAGGGAGGUAAAAUCCGCCAUCUUCGAUCUGCUCCACUACUGCUUAGGGAGAUAAGAUCUGUAAUCUUCAAUUUGCUCAACUGCAAUGUCGGGGAAACCAGAUCCGCCGUCGUGGCUUCAAUCUAUUCCACCGCACCGUUAGAGAAGUAAGAUUUGCCGUUGUGGCUUCAAUCUUUUUAAUUGCAAUAUCAGGGAAACCAAAUCCGCCGUCGUAGCUUCAAUCUGUUCCACUGCACUGCUAAGGAAGUAAGAUCCGCCGUUGUGGCUUCAAUCUUUUAAAUUGUAAUAUCAGGGAAACUAGAUCCGCCGUCGUAGCUUCAAUCUGUUCCGCUGCACUGCUAAGGAAGUAAAAUCCGCCGUUGUGGCUUCAAUCUUUUUACUUUUCAACCCGCUCCAUUGUUACUCACGGAGACAAGGCUUUAUGAUUUCACCGAUCUGCUCUCUGUGGAACAUGACCUGUAUGACUCACUUUAUGAGCCUAAUUAUGCCUAAUGAUUAGGAUGUCAUGAUCAGAAUGAAUCAAAUGCUCCUAACUAGGCGUGUAUAAAUGACAUUUGAAUAUUAUGUCAUGAAAAAUGAAUAUUGAAUGUGUAAAGUCAUUAUUGCUCAUUAAGGCUUCCUUCGUGGCAACAACGCUUCGUCAAAACUUGAAAAAUUUAAAAUCUCGACUCUUGGCUCCUAGAUAUCUCCGACCUUUUAACCCAGUGAAGGUCUAAACAAUAGUCCUGUUUCAGGUUCCUGAGUUAUUUAAAGAUUUCUAGAGUAAUAUGAAAAACUUCCCUUGUGAAAGUUUUACUAGUCCAUUAAUCGUCAUUCUAAUGCAACAUGCUUGCGAAAAGAUCAUAACGAUAACAUAAACAAAAUUAGUCUGGGAGGAUAGCUCGCAAUGGAUUGUCAAUGAUAGAGGAAUUGUCUGGGGACAUUUAUAUUGAAAAAAAAUGUCAUAAUUUAACAAUGAAUUCAAUACAAAUACUAUGAACAUGUGCCCCAGAUAUCUCUGCUUGAAUUUCUCUAUACAGCUUUCGAAGACCCUUUUGAAUUCAACACGUGUUUAGGAAAUUCACAGUAUUUUGUUGAUGCCCCAAGAUGUCGUCUAUUCCUUUCUGUCGAUUUAGGUACAGCAAGACUACCACGUGACAACCAAAAUUUGAGCCGCCCUUUUUGGGUUUUCAACUCAAAUCCCCUUUGGUCUUAAGGUGCCCUUUGCGGGUUUUCACCUUAGCCUCUCCUUUCCUUUUCUUUUCUUUUCUUUUUUUUUUUUGGAAUCAAAGCGCCCUUUGCGGGUUUUCACCUUGGUUACUUCCCUUCUUCAAGUAAAGUACCUCUUCACCGAAUCUGAAUUUACCGGAUUAGGCAAGUUUUUCCCGUCCAUUUCAGCCAGGAUCAGGGCUCCUCCAGAAAAGGCCUUUUUUACAACAUAAGGACCCUCCCAAUUCGGCAUCCAUUUCCCCUUAAAAUCCUUUUGUAGAGGAAGAAUUUUUCUCAACACCAGGUCCCCCUCGUGAAAUUCUCUGGGUCGGACUUUCUUGUUGUAGGCUCGCAUCAUUCUUUUCUGGUAUAUCUGACCGUGCUGAAUAGCCUUUAGCCUCUUUCCCUCUAUCAAGUUCAACUGAUCGUAUCGAGAUUGAACCCAAUCCGCUUCAUCCAAUUGUAGCUCAGACAAAACCCGGAGAGAAGGGACUUCAACUUCGAUGGGCAACACUGCCUCCAUGCCAUAAACUAAGGAGAAAGGCGUUGCCUCGGUGGAGGUCCUGGUUGACGUUCAAUAAACAAGGAGGGCAAACGGUAAUUUCUCGUGCCAGUCCAUGUAAGUCUCAGUCAACUUCCCUACAAUCUUCUUUAUAUUUUUAUUGGUCGCUUCUACUGCACCAUUCAUUUUCGGGCGAUACGGCGACGAAUUGUGAUGUCUGAUCUUGAAUUGACUGCAGACCUCUGCUAUUGAGCUGUUGUUCAAAUUCAACGUAUUGUCGGAUAUGAUUCUUUCAGGCAUUCCAUACCGACAUAUGAUCUCUCUCUUCAAGAACUUACUGACUGAUGACUUUGUAACAUUAGCAUACGAAGCAGCUUCUACCCAUUUGGUGAAGUAGUUAAUAACCACGAAUAUGAAAUGAUGCCCAUUUGAAGCCUUUGGCGAUAUUGGCCCGAUAACAUCCAUACCCCACAUGGAGAAAGGCCAUGGAGAAGUCAUGACAUGAAGAGGUGAAGGAGGUGCAUGCAUUUUAUCACCAUAGAUUUGACAUUUAUGGAACUUCUUGGAAUAAUUGAUGCAAUCCCCUUCCAUGGUAGACCAGUAGUACCCGAAUCUCAUAAUCUGCCUAGCCAUUGUGAACCCGCUGGCAUGCGUUCCGCAGAUGCCCUCAUGGACUUCUUCUAGAAUUUUCUUUGCUUCUACGGCGUCCACACAUCUUAGCAGUACCUGAUCUUUUCCCCUCUUGUACAAGAUCUCCCCAUCUAAGACGUAGUCAAUGGCUAGUCUUCUCAGAGUUCUCUUUUCAUUCUCCGUUGUCUGGCCAAGAUACUCACGAUUUUUUACAUACCGUAGUAUAUCUUGAUACCAAGGACUAUCAUCGAUUUCCCCUUCUUCAAUAUUGUAACAAUGAGCCGGGUCUUCAUAGAUACUCAUUUGGAUUGGUUUCAUAUCCCCAUUUCUGUUCAGUUUGAUCAUGGAAGCUAAGGUAGCUAGUGCAUCAGCCAUCUGGUUCUCAUCUCGUGGGAGAUAGCAAAAAGUGAUGUCCUCAAACUCCUUAAUCAAUUCGAGGACCAACUUUCGGUAACUGAUUAAUUUGGGAUCUCUCGUUUCCCAUUCACCCCUGAGCUGAUAUAUCACCAAUGCUGAAUCUCCAUAGACCUCUAGCACUUUGAUUCCUCGCUCUAUAGCUGCACGAAUACCCAUGAUGCAUGCUUCAUAUUCUGCCAUGUUAUUUGUACAAUCAAAAUCCAAUUUACAAGUGAAAGGAUAAUGAUCACCAUUUGGGGACACCAGGACUGCCCCAAUUCCAUUGCCUACAGCGUUCGAGGCUCCAUCAAAGUUUAGCUUCCAACUGUGACCUUCUUGGGGACUUUCUUCAGUAGCGGCUACACACAUCAGGUCCUCAUUUAGGAAAUCAAAACUCAACAGCUCGUAGUCCUCCAGAGCUCUACUAGCUAGAAAGUCAGCAAUUGCACUCCCUUUCACAGCCUUUUGGUUCACAUAGACAACAUCAAAUUCAGACAAUAAAAUUUGCCAUCGGGCCAUUCUCCCAUUCAAAGCAGCUGACUCCAUCAUAUACUUUAACGGGUCUAACUUUGAGAUCAGCCAAGUCGUAUGGUAUAACAUGUACUGCCUUAAUCUUCGGGUUGUCCAAAUCAAGGCACAGCAUAAUUUCUCAAAUAGGCGAAUAUCUCAUUUCACAGUCAGUGAAUUUCUUGCUGAGAUAAUAUAUCGCUCUUUCUUUCCUCCCCGUUUCAUCAUGUUGACCUAACACACACCCCAUGGAAUUGUCAAAUACCGUUAGAUACAAUAUCAGAGGCCUAUCCGGGUUAGGUGGUGACAGCACUGGAGUAUUAGACAAAUACUGUUUCACUUUGUUGAAAGCUUCCUCGCAUUCCUCAUCCCAAGUACCAGGAUUAUGUUUCUUCAGAAGACGAAAUAUAGGGUCACAUUUCUCAGUCAGUUGUGAAAUAAACCUAGCGAUGUAAUUCAGUCUUCCUAGGAAACCUCGAACUUCUUUCUGAAUGCGAGGUGAAGGUAAAUCUCGUAUUGCCUUGACUUUGUCUGGGUCAAUCUCGAUUCCCUUUUCACUGACUACAAAGCCUAGCAACUUUCCUGACCUGGCCCCAAAAGUGCACUUCGCUGGAUUAAGCUUGAGUUAGAACUUUCUCAAUCUUAAGAAUAACUUUCUCAAGACCCACACAUGUUCGCCCUCUGUUCUAGAUUUCGCGAUCAUAUCAUCAACAUAAACCUCGAUUUCCCUGUGCAUCAUGUCAUGGAACAAGGCUACCAUGGCUCUUUGGUAUGUCGCUCCUGCAUUCUUCAAUCCAAACGGCAUCACUUUGUAACAGAACGUCCCCCAUAACGUAAUGAAUGUAGUCUUCCUCAUGUCUUCAGGAUGCAUCUUUAUCUGAUUGUACCCAGAAAAACCAUCCAUGAAGGAAAACAGUGAAAAGCCCGCAGUAUUGUCUACCAAUGUGUCAAUGUGAGGCAAUGGGAAAUUAUCCUUUGGACUAGCCUUGUUCAAAUCCCGAUAAUCCACACACAUUCGUACUUUUCCAUCNNNNNNNNNNNNNNNNNNNNNNNNNNNNNNNNNNNNNNNNNNNNNNNNNNNNNNNNNNNNNNNNNNNNNNNNNNNNNNNNNNNNNNNNNNNNNNNNNNNNCUUGCAGAAACCCGGCAUCAAACUGCUUUUGGACCUCCUCCUUUUAUCUUCAACACGAUAUCAGGCCUCAUCCUUCUGAGUUUUUGCUGCACUGGCUUGCAAUCUUCUCUUAUAGGGAGACGAUGGACUACCAUGUCGGUACUCAACCCCGGCAUAUCCUGGUAUGACCAUGCAAACACGUCUUUGAACUCUCGGAGUAAUUCAAUGAGGUCCUGCCUUGUCCUUUCAGAGAUAACCGAUCUGAUCUUCACCUCUUUACCCUCCUCUAAGCUCACGACUUCUAUUGAUUCCCUGUGAGGUAGGAUUUAUUUCUCGGCCCUUUCUACCAUCUUUGACAAGUCAGGAGACAAACCACAGUCUUCGUUGUCUUCAAAAUUAUGCGAUCCCUCUAAACACAUGUUUCGUUCAAAAGGAGACUCUAAAUUUGUAAGAGUGACAUUCGCAUCAUUGAUAUCAUGGGACCUGUUAUAAGUAUGAAAAACAAUAUGGAUUCAGGAAUUUGUUUGGUGCAAUAUGGUCAUGAAUGAAAUGCAAGUGUAGUUUAAGAGAAACUUAAAAUAACUGCUCUUAUGGGAAGAAAGAUUUGCUCCAAAAAUGAUUGCAAACAUGAACUUUAUUAAAAUAACGAUUUUCUGGACAUGAGCCUAUUUCACAAAGGAAUCCUUAUCACUUCUAGGCUAAAAGGCAAUAAGGGUGUUCUGGACAUUACUCUGGGGAAAUCCUAAAAACUACAGGUAUUUCUUCUGCAGUCCAGUUGUUUAGCUCCCUUUCCGACUCGUAAGGACGAAUAUCUGGCAAAGCUCUUCCUCGCGUCACUUCUUCAUACACAACAUGAAUACUCUCUAGCUCCAUGUUAAUACUUCUGACCCCUAGCAUUCUUUGAUAGGUGAAUCCUCCCGGUACAAAAGUCUUGGAUAGGUGAGGAAAGGUCAUGGGUUCCCAUUUGACUUCAUCACCUGUCAAGCGAGCCCUUCUCCGCACUCGCUUAUUUUCCUGCUCUAUCCUCUUCUGCCUAGCAUCUGGCUUGUAUUCUAAGCCAAAACGAUCCUGCUUGUCUUUCAACACUAGAGCCUCAACUCGGCCCUGAAGAUAUCUCCCCAAUCCUCUUCUCGGUAAUGCUCCCUUUCCAACAGUCAACUGCAGACCCAUCUCUGUGGUCCUGGAUAUUCUCGGCAUCGGGAUCUUGUUUCCCUCACGGAUGAAUGUUGCAUUUACAAACUCCAAGGAACGAAAAGAGCAUUCGAUUGGAUCAUCGCUCGUUUCUAGAUAAGUCGCAUCGUUGGUCACAGAUGCAAUGAUAUCUUCUUCAGCAUCUAUCGUCACAACCCUGCCUUCUGACACCAGCUUCAGUUUUUGAUGUAACGAUGACGGUACCGCACCUGCUGAAUGAAUCCAUGGCCUUCCUAAUAGGCAACUGUAAGAAGGCUUGAUGUCCAUAACUAAGAAGUCCACCUCAUAAAUAGUUGGGCCAAUUAACAAGAGAAUGUCAACUCUUCCCAUGACCCUCCUCUCAGUACCAUCGAAUGCUCGAACCACGUUCUGACACGACUUCAUAUGCGAACUAUCCACAGGUAGCCUGUUGAGCGUGGAUAGGGGAAAUACAUUUAAUGCCGAUCCAUUGUCUACCAGAACCCCCGGUAAUAUGCACCCUUUACACCUUGCAAUGAUGUGUAAAGCUCUAGUGGAUCCCAUACCCCCAGGUGGUAUUUCGUCAUCGCUGAAAGAGAUGAAGUUAUCAGCGCUUAUAUUACCGACCAGUCGAUCCAACUUGUUAAUAGAGAUAUCAUCGGCCACAUAAGUUUCAUUUAGCACCUUCAGUAGUGCAUUCUGAUGUCCCUCCGAGUUCAGGAGUAAAGCUAGCACAGAUAUGCGAGCUGGUUGUUUGUGCAGCUGUUCCACAACGCUGUACUCGCUAUGUUUUAUGAACUUCAAGAACUCUCUAGCUUCCUCCUCCUUGAUUGGUUCAUUGACCACCAAUUCAGGUUCGACCGUCUUCUUCUUCUUUCCAAUCAGAGUUUCUUCUCUUAUUGGCUCUACUCGAGCCUUCACCUGUUCGUUAUACCCUCCUUCAUCAUGGUCCUCCUUCCCUGGGAUUGUCACAUUACAAUUGUAAUGCCAAGGAACCCUCCUGUUAUCCUUGUAAGUAAACGCAGUCGGUUUUUGAAUGAUAACCCUUGGUGCUACUCGUGCUCCAGCCUCACUAUUCUUAGGUUGUGAGAUGAUGACCACAGGAUGGUUAACCUUUGGAACUCCCAAUGCCAACUCUGACGUACAUACAUGACUCUCUUUCUGAAUUCCUUCCCAAAAUUCCAUCUCUUUAUUAUCUAUCAUACCCUGUACCACGGCUCUGAACUCCGUACACUCCUGGAUUUCAUGCCCCAUUUCACAGUGGAACUCACAGUAGUUCCUCCUCUUCUCACAGCUUUCUUCUGAAGGAAUUAGCCCCCUUUUCACCAUCUCUUUCCAGACCCAUCUCAAAGGAGUCUUCACGUCCGCAAUGUCUACCUUAAUUCUCAUGUCUUCGUCCAUCAUAUUUACCCCACCAUCAGUGUGAUUUGGUAAUGGGUUCUCUGCCUUGGUGGCUUCAUCAAAUUUAACGACACCCAUACCAAUGAGCCUUUCAACCAGCUUCUUGAAGGCCGUACAGUUUUCUAUGGAGUGCCCCGUGAUUCCCGCAUGAUAGUCGCACUGUGCAUUUGCGUCGUACCAUUUGGGGGACGGGGGCUGUAAGGGCUUCAGAUAGAAAGGGGAAACUACAUGUGCGUCGAAUAAGUUUCGGUAUAAUUCCCUGUACGACAUGGGAAUUGGCGUGAAUUGGGGCCUCUCCGUAUUUCGCCUUGUACCGACCUUCUGUCUCGACAAGCUUUGUUGAUUGGCAGCCGUCUUUCCUGGCUGACUCACUGUUACUGACUUCGAGUAACCCUUGUUGUACAUGCUCACGUUGUUCACCUCGUUUUCCUUCCUUUUCGAAGCUGAUCUUCUGUUACUCUCUCCAGCAUCGAUCUUCCCACUCCUGAUGGUGUUCUCAAUCAUCUCGCCAUUCAUGACUAUGUCAGGAAAGCUUUUUGUGGCACUUCCUAACAUAUGUGUAAUGAACGGUGCCUUCAGGGUGUUAAUGAACAACAUGGUCAUUUCCUUUUCCAAGAGCGGUGGUUGAACUUGGACCGCGACCUCCCUCCAUCUCUGUGCGUACUGCCUAAAGCUUUCGCUCGGCUUCUUCUCCAUGUUUUGAAGGGUGAUCUUAUCAGGAGUCAUGUCUGUCACAUGACUAUAUUGUUUCAUGAAUGCUUGCGCCAAGUCCCUCCAUGAACCAAUCGUAGCUCGACUCAACUGAUUGUACCACUUGGAUGCUGCCCCUGCAAGGCUGUCUUGGAAGUAAUGUAUUAAUAGCUGGUCAUUACUAACGUAUCCAGCCAUUCGCCUGCAGAACAUGGUGAUAUGAGCCUCUGGGCAAGUCGUCCCAUUGUACUUCUCGAAUUCAGGCAUCUUAAACUUAUGAGGGAGAACAAGAUCCCGCACUAAACUCAGCUCUUUUGCGUCAAUGCCUCGAUAGCUUUCAGUAACUUCCAUCGCCUUGAACUUCUCCUCAAGCCACUUGCAUCUCUCUUCCAACUGUCUCGGUAACUCCUCCUUCACUCUUUCCUUCUCAACUACUUCAUCAAAGUCAGGAAUGGCAGAGUUAAUAGGAUUAUUUUCGGGAUUAAAACACGGCCCAGUUUGGAGGUUCGAAACACCAGCUUGAAAUUGCUGAGGCAUGAUUGUGACAGUAGAUUUGCGCGGGUAUUCAUCUUGAGUUCGCUCAUGUGGAGGGGUGAAACCUGGAGGAUAGAAAAGUUCAUCAUCAUUUCCCUCAUCGACAUCUGCCAUGGGGCCCUUUCCUUUGUCACCUCCCUUAGUUAUCAGUCGGGUUAACUUUGCCACUAUAUCCUCUUGAGAUUCCCGCAUCUUCUCAGACAUUUCUUGUUUCAUCUUGUCUAACCGCUCCUGCAUUUGUAGCUGAAUCCAGUCUUGCAUCUCCUUCUGGUACUGUUCGAGCUUUUCUAAUCUCUGAUCCAUAUCUCUUGUCUUUGUUCGAGUGCCGUAUCGGUGUUGGAUUGGUUGGUUGGUUUCCAGGUUAACUGAGCAAUAAUUUUAAUUAAUUAGGAUCAAUUCAAAGUUUUGAAUGCAUAUGAUGCGAUGCAUGAGAUGAAUGCAAGAAAGGCGUUAAUUAUGAUUCAAUUCCACUUGGAAAACUUUAUUAGAAAACAAAUCUCUUUACAUAGAAUAGACUACAAAUACGACUUCGCCCUAAUACUUAAGACCUUGAUUUUUUGAAGCAACGAGGCUAACUCCCGUCCCCGGUCUGACUCCAAUUCAUACUUUACGCUCAACGUGUCAGCUUGUACUGCCAGAGUUUGUAAGUGAUCAGCUACUUCUCGAAUCUGAACCAAGGCUUGUCCCAUAACACGAUCCCUGCUUCUGACCUAAUUCUGGAGAUAGUGAAGCUGUUCGCUUUGAUGAUCUUUGUUUGCCUCCAAAUACUCAAUCCUGGCUUCACAGUUCUGCAAUGCCACCUCUAGUUCUUCUAUAGUUUUCUUCAUUUGCUCGAUUCUACUUAAACUUGCUUGCAGUUCCACCACUGAAUUACGAUUUCGGUAUUGAUGAACAAUCUUCUCAAGUUCGGCCACUCUAGCCCUUAGUUUAUCCCUUUCAUCUUGAUUUUCUGACAAACUCUUCUCAAGCGAUCUAUUUUGCAUCUGGGCUUCUUGGAAUCUUUCUUCCCAUCUGCCAGCCUUGGCUUUUUCUUCUUGAACCUCUUGACGCCACUGCUCUGAGGUUUUUCCCAACCCAGCAGUUCUUACUGACAGACGUAGUCUCUUAUAAUCCGUCUUCAAGCUGUUCAAAUCUUCCUCGACUUUGCGCUUCCCUUUUCUCAGGCCUUCGGUUUCCUGCAUUUGAACAUCUAUGUCCAACUUUAAAUUCACCUUUUCCUCCUCCAUUUUCUCUAUUUUCUUCUCUAAUUCUGCAUUCCUUCUUUCGAGGUCUUAAUUUAUGAUUUCCAGCUCAGAAGGGACGACGCACAAAUGCUCCUCUAUCGACUGACUAUUUUCUGAACUUGGCCCGGGAAUGUUGUCAUUAAUCCUCCUAACACGCCAUUCGUUAUAUUCAGAAGUUGUCAUUGGACCCACGGCUAAUCUCUUCAUUCGGCGAGUCUGAUUCCACGCAUUGGCCAUCUCACGAGCCUUCCUUUUGUAGCCAUCAUCCUUAUAUGAGAAUUCACACUCAGCUAGUCCUUGAGUGGCAGGCACAAACUGUCUUGACCUGUACUGUCUUAACACUAGCAAUGGGGCAUAACCAACAGCUCCCCAAAUCCCGAGCAACGGAACCCAGUCGAAAUCGCCACACCUAUAUAGGAUCUCAUCUGGAAGCAACCACGGAGCUCUCCACUCGAUAUCUUCUUCUUGCAGAUUCUGAAAGAUUGCCAUCCAUUUCUCCUCUGUAAUAUCAUCUCUCCUUGAUGCAGCCACUAUCUCUUUCAACGGUGAAUAACUUUCAGAGAAGACCUGAUAUGAAACCUUAUCAACCUUCCAAAAGUGGCUAUGGAACCACCCAAGUAAUAACUGCGCACAUCUAAAAAAUCUGCCCUCUCCCGUUCUUCGGCAUGCAUUUAAUGACCUAAAGGUUUCUGCCAAAAUCACCGGAACUGGCGUAACUCCCUUGUCAAGCCGGUCGAAUAAAUCAGUGACCGCCUAAUCAACAUGUCCCAAAAUCUUAGGAAACAAGAUUAGACCAUAUAUACUUAGAGCAAAGACGUCCACUUUCUUCCUCGCAUCUGGGUGUGCUAAAAUGAGGUCCUUCAAGUUUUUCCAAGGAAUACACCUACUAUCCCCUUUUUGCUUAAUCCGAGCUGUAACCCACUACUCAUUUAUCCCUGUUAUACUCAUCAACUUCCUCAAGAAGGUUGGUACAUUCACCGCUUUCGAAUAAAUUCUAUCCACCUGUACCUUCGAACACCGAAGUAAAGCCGUGUACUCCUCUAUUGUAGGCACUAGGUCAACCUUUCCGAAUGUGAAGCAACUGUACGCCGGAUUCCAAAACUGGGCAAGAGCUCGAAACAGACGGUUGUCUACCUUCAUGUCAAGUAAAUAAGGUAAAUCCCCAUAAUUUGAAUAGAAUAGCUGUCUAACCUCAUUAUCCCAUUGAUCCCAAAUCUCCUUCAAUUCCUGCAAGUUGUUCUGAGCUACGCUAACACGAGUGAAGUCCCAUAACUCUGAUACGUAUCCCACGGCCAAACUAUCACCUUUUUCAUGCUGUAUCUUCUCAGACCAAGUCCGGACAGCCGUAUUGUCUUCCACUCUAUCAAGAAACCCAUUUCCCAUGAUAAACUUUCUAUAUGGCAACCGAAUAUGAACCAACGCCUUUAUAAUGAAAUGUCAUGCAAUUAUGAUGUCAUGCAAUCAAAACAAAAGAAACCCAAGUUAGUAUCACAUAUAAAAAUAUAAUCCAAACAAGAACACUUAUUUAGGAAUCUACUAGGGUUCAGUAUAGUUCUCCCUAGGGCAAGUUCCUAAAGCUCACUAUAUGAGGUUUAGUUUCUAGAGUAAGGGUACCCGAACCAACAGAUUCCUCGAUCCUCACCCAUUAUAGGCUCAUACAGAUCGAGUUCAGUUCAGGGGGACACAUUUCCCUAUGGCUGCACGGAGAUGAAAAUCUCACGAAGACAUAGGUACGAAUGUAUCCCGGAAGCAGUCCACUAUCCUGCACGGAGGUGAAAACCUCACGAAGGACUAGUUUCUCGCUCCCACUUAAGGGUAAAAUGCAAAAUGCAAAUGCAAAGUUGCCAAAGUUCCAUGAUAAAAUAUCAAUGAGUGCAAAGGGAAAAUUUUUAAAAACUUUUUGAUUUUCGACACAAAAACAAAUAUGAUCAGUUUAUGGCUCGACUCUCUAUGUCCCCAGCGGAGUCGCCAAGCUGUCGAAACCGUUUUUUGAAAACAAAAAUUUUAGUUGUCGACUUAAAAAAAACAAAAACUGGAGUCGCCACCGAUCCUUUAUUAAGGUGUGAUCGGCCCACCUUAAAAAUAAUUUUGGUCUGCGAAAUUCGAGAAAAUAGGCUCGGGAGUCAGUUACGCACGAGGAAGGAUUAGCACCCUCGUAACGCCCAAAAUUGGUACCAAAUUGAUUUUUUUUAAUGCCUUGGUGUCGAAAAUUUGAAAAGAUUUUAAAAGGAAACUUUUUAUUUCAUGAAUGGAUUAAAAUAAAAAGACAUUCGUAUUUCAAAGAAAUAAAACACCACACCCAGUGAGUUAGGGCACAAUGUUUUUAAAUCUUCAAAAUACCCGAAUAUUGCCUUUUGCUUUUGAAAAUUCUUAUUUCGAGAAGAAAAUGUCAUGACCAGUAAGUUAGGACCCAACAUUUCGAAUUCCCGAGAAUAAGUUUUUAUUUAAAAUUUGAAUUUAUUGCAAAACAAAUAUUUGGCUUUCUAAACUCAUCGAAAAAUAAUCGCGAUCCAAUAAGUUAGGACACGAUCUUUCACGAGAAUCAUGAAUACUAAAUAUUUUGGAAUUUAUAAAAUAAGAUGAUUUAAAUACUUUGAGAAAACAUAUAUUUUCUUUNNNNNNNNNNNNNNNNNNNNNNNNNNNNNNNNNNNNNNNNNNNNNNNNNNNNNNNNNNNNNNNNNNNNNNNNNNNNNNNNNNNNNNNNNNNNNNNNNNNNCACAAGUAAAUUUGAAAAUAUGUGCAUGCGUAUGUUUAACACACAUACACAAAUAUACAUAAAAAACAUGCAUAGCAUAACUUAUAAUAAUCUCCAAAAAUAUGUACGUAUAUUUCAUAAAACAUGCAUAUGUACAAAAAAAAUAGAAAAAAAAUGCAUAUGCCUUGUAAAAUAUGAGAGUACAUACAUAUAUAUAUAUAUAUAUACAUAUUUAUUUAUAAAAACUAUGUAAACAAAAUAUAUAUAAAAUAUGAGCGUAUAAGGACUAAAAUAUGUAUGUAAGCAUAUAUAUAUAUAUGAACGUAAAACUAUGAGAAUAAAAUAUAAAAACGUGUGGAUGUGUACAUGUUUAAAAAAAUGUAUAAACACAUAUAUAUAAAAUAUAAGGUAUAAAAAUAUAAAGGAUAAAAGAUAGAAUAAAGGAAAUAAAAUGUAUGUAAAACGUAUGCAUGCAUUUUAAAGCUUAAGGAUGUAUAUAUGCUAGAAAUGAAAACAUGAAAAGUGAAUAAUAAAAGUUAUACGUUUGUAAAAAACGAAAUAUAAAACAAUAUGUAUAUACACGUACAUGAAAAUCAUAAAUGGAAUUAGUGUAAUAAUAAUAGUAAUAAUAAACGUGUAACAGUAUAUUAAAAAAAGAAAAAAAACUAAAUAAAGUAAAGAAAAGACCAAAUUGAAUAAAAAAACCAAAAAAAUAGGGGCAAAUUCGAAAAUAAUAAAAAAGGGAUGAAUUCGAACACGCGAGCGGCAAUGGGGGACCAAAAGAGCAAUUUACCCAGGCCUCCAAAACGCUGCGCUGAAGGGGACUGAAUUGAAACGUGAAUUGAAUAUGCGGCCCAAUUUUAAAACAAAAAAAAAGAUUUAAUUGACAUGCGCUGCAAAAGGGAGGGGUCAAAUGCACAAAUAACCCAUAUGACGUUAGAACGCGCGGAUCCUCCCCUCCGGGUCGGGUCACCGCGCGAGUCACACUUGACCAAAACGACGCCGUUUUGAAUGUUGUUUAAAACAAAAAUUUUCCUUCCAAAAAAAUCCAUUUGAAAUCGAAUGGGAAAAAAAAAAAGAAACUCCGGCGCUCUGCUAGGGUUCAAUCCCUAGCGUCCUUGCGCCGCCACUCAAUCGGCCCUCUCACCAAACUCCGAUCACGACAGAGAUGGCGGUGGCACGGCGUUUUUAGGUAUGUUUUCCUCCCUUUUUGUUAUUUCAAAUGAAAUAAAAUGAAAAUAAAGAAAAAAAUGUAAAAACGAUAAACACUUUUAACAAUAAAAAAGAAAUCACCUUUAAAACAAAACAAGUUUUUUUCUGCUUUUAUUCCCGAUUCUCUCCGUCAAAAAUCCGUCCUUUUUACAGAUAAAAGUCGGCCUUUUAUAGCCUGAAAACCUAUUUGUUUUACACUAUAUUUUCGCUAAUGGACUCUCUGAAUCCGUGUUUGCAGGUGCGUGGAGAGUGGAGGCCGAAACGUGCGGAGGCUGCAGGAGGCUGUUGCGGCGCUGGGCAUGGGCUGCUGAGGCUUGCGGCGCUGAAGCAGAGAGGCUCUAGGGUUUCUGCUUUCAACGUUUUUGGUGUAUUGGGCUUGAACGGCCCAUUUUUGUUUUGUAAAUGGUCUGGGCCAAUUGGGCCUUAUUACACGUAUUAUAUAUAUAUAUAUAUAUAUAUAUAUUAUAAACCAAUGGCUAAAAAUUUUUCUAAUCCUUCUAGCUUUCUUUAUAUGAGAGUCGUUAAAUUUUAGUUUUGAUUCGUAUACUUUGCUCAAAUUUUAAAUUUAAUCUAUAUACUUUAAUUUUUCAUAAUUUAAUUUCUCAUCCUUUUUAAUAUCAUUAGUUAAUUUAAAUAUUUUAUUCCAAAAACUUGAAAUAUAAUAAUUUAAUUAAAAGAAUAAAUAAUCAACACGAAGCAUGGGUGAGAAUCAUAAAUCAUGCAUGACUUCUAUCAUUAAGUAUCCUUAGCAGUCUUUUUAAGCUGUUAUUAUUAUAUUAUUAUUUUAUUCGUGCAUUGAAAUUAAAUCAAAUCCGAAUAUAAUACGUAAUUUCUUUUUGACCGGUCCAAGAUUAAGUUUAAUAAAAUCUAUUUGCUGUAUAUUUAUUAUUAAGAAACAUUGGUCUUAGUACGUCUCCUUUAGAAUAUUUACACUUAAUUCGCAUUAAAUAUAAAAUAUGAUUAUAAUUAUUUAAAUUCUUUUGUUUGGAAAGGAUAAAAUAUGAAUAUUUACACUUGAAAAGUAUUUUGUUUAAUAGGUUGGUUUGUCUUAAUUUUGAAUAUGGAAAUUAAGUUAUCUUGGAAAAGGAAGUUACAUGAGAGAAAAACUUGUUAAUCCUUAGAAUUUUCAGCAUUUUUAUAGUAAUUUUGAAAUGGUUAAUAUUAUUGUUGAGUAUGACUUAUAGUUAAAUUUAAGAGAUAAUCUCUUAGUUAAACUCUGUUUAUUUGUUUCAGUUAAAUUUUGAUUAGUCUAGAUUAUUUUAUUAUUAUUUGACCUACGAAUUUAGCCUAUAAAUAGGAUCUUUUACAACAUUAUAAAAAACACCCAUUAAAAUAUUAGAACUCAUAACACUUUUGGAGAAUUUUGUAUUUACAUUUUGAGGGUUCUUUUUUUUAGGUUUCGGGGUUUAGUUUUUAUCUUCAUCUUUUGUAAUUUUUAUUUUUUUGUCAUUAUAGUAAAAUUAUCUUUAUCCGUGGUUUUUUAUCCUCUUUGGAGGGGUUUUUUUCACGUUAAAUUUGUGUGUUCAAUUUCUCAAUUGCUUCCGCUAUUUUUUACUUGUUUGUUGCUUAAUCGGAUCAAUUCCCAACAAUCAUCAUAUAAUAUUUUUUAUAUGUUGCUAGUGAAUUGAGGACAUAUUUCUAAAAUUUAAAUGAAUUUUUUCUUUUGUAUUCUUUAUAUUCAUUUUACGGUAAUGCAUCACAUAUAAAUCCAUUUUAAAUUGAAAUCCAUGUUUUAUCAUUUACAUUAUCUUAUAUUAUUUUGAGCUAAUUCAAUCAAUUGUCUCUAAAUUAUUGUCAAUAUUUUUAAGGUAUAAUGUCAAAUUGUUUACAUCUUUUUUCAGUUUGGUUCUUAUUCUUUUUUGAGUUAUAAAUUUGGCCCUCAAUUUUUUUUAAAAAAUUGUCAAAUCACUUUUUAAUGAAAAUAUUCAUUAAAACCUUAUUUUUUAACGAUGUUGGUAUGUCAACCCGUGUGGUAAUCCACGUGUACUUCAUGCUAACAUGACACUUUAUCUUAUAUAUCACACCAAGAAAUAAUUUAAAUUAUAAAAAAUUCCAAAAAAAAACGAGAGCAUGAAGUACAUGUGGAUUGCUAUGCGAGCUGUCAUGUCUAAAAACCUAAUGUUUAGCUAAUAUUUCCGUUAAAAAAAUAACAAUUUAAUUUUUUUUGAAAGGUUGAUGGUCAAAUAUGAUUUUUUUUUAAAGGUCGUGAGCCAAAUUGAUAAAAAAAAAUGUAAACAUUAAGGGAUAAAUUUGACAUUAUGCCAAUUCUUAAUUAGUUUUAAACUUCAAAAUAUGUUAUUGACAUGGUAUCAAAUAGGUUUUCCAUUAGCAUAGUAGUUAAUUUAAGUGUUAAAUGUCAAUUAGGAUAUAAUGUGGAGCCUACUUAAAACAUGAAUUAAAUUGUAAAUUUGAGUAUUGUCACUUCCCAAAAAUAAGGCUAGAAGAAAUAGGGAUAAAAUUUAGAUUUUAUUUUUUUAAGCAUAGGGUAAAAGAAUUUAGAAUGCCUUAAAAAUUAUUUUUGAUAAGAAAUUAACAAGAAUUAGUCUACUAGUUCAUUGGUAAGGCCUUAGCUUUCUCUUGGGUCUCAAGUUUGAAAUCUCUUGUUCACCUUUCAAGCAAAAUAUUUUAUUUUCUUAUUUUUACCCCAUAAAAGUGCCGAAUUUUCAAACUAGCCCAAACCAAAAAUUGUUAUUUUCUAAUUUAGUCCUUAAUUUAAAAUAGUCUUGCUUCUCCAUGGAAUCCUAAAACCUAUUUCAAUUAGGGAAAAAGAGUUUUAUAAUUAGGAAAUCUUUUCAAAACUCUAGAAAUUUUAUCUAGUGAAUUUUUCAAGGAAAACUCUCAAGUUCUUCAUUUUCUCCAUCAUUACCAAACCAAUUUUCAAGCAAAGAAAUCCAAGGUUUCCAAAAUCGUCCCUCUCCUCCCAAGUAGACCAUCAUUCUCCUCAUCCAAAUUAAGGUUUUUGUGUCUUCGAAUCAGGUGUGGGAUCUAAACAUAAAUCAUUAUAUAUGAUUAACUGUAGUGUUAGGAAGUAAUAAGACUGCUAUGCAACCCCUCAUGUUAUGCGAACCCCCUUGCAUGUGCGAGCCCUGUGUGUGAUCCCCGUGUGCAAAACCCCCUAUGUGUGAGCUUGUGAGCGAACCUCUAUACGCGAACCCCUAUAGAUGAACUAUAGCUUGUAUAUACAUAUGCAAACCCUCAUGAUUUUUAGUAUAGGAUUUAAGUUGCAAACCCUAUAUAUAUUACGCGAGGCAUAUAUAUCAUGCGCACCCUAAACAUACUUUGCGAGCUUUAUAUAACAUGCAAACCCUAGGUAAUAUGUGAAUCGAGUAUAUCAUGCAAACCCUAGGUCCUAUACGAGCUAUAUAUAUCAUGUGAACCAAAGCUUGCAUAUCAUGAAAAUCCUAGGUACUAUGCGAACCCCCUGUGUUACAAACCCCCUGUAUGUCCGAACUCUGUUAGGCGAACUGAAGCAUAUGUGCGAACCCUACAUGUACGAACCCCUAGGUGCAAACCCUACAUGCGCUAACCCAUAUGUGCAAUCCUAUAUGUGCGAACCCUGUAUGUGCAAACCCUGCUUAUGUAUGUGUUAGCCGAACUAAGAAUGUUAAUAUGCAUGAAGAUAUUGUAUAUGUGAAAUUGUUUUAGAUCGCUUAAAUUAAUUGUAUAUGUGAAAUUGAUGGGAAUGGAUGAAUGAUCACAUGCCAUUAAAUGAUAGUAUGAAAUAUCAAAUGAAGCAUUGAAAGAUGAUAAAUAGCAUAAUAUGCUAAUUGUAUGUGCAUAAUUACAUGAAUUUAGGUAAGAAGGUCGAAGGAGUUCCAUAGGAGAUAGUGGCAAUUCAAGUCCACACCAAAAGUCAGUAUUGCACAGAGUAGGUGGCUAUGUCAUCAAAACUGGAUAAAUCAGGAUGAUAGUUUAAAAAGCCAUAAAAAAUCGGGUAACUGAGAUGGUAAGUUAUUGUUGUAAAAGUCAUCGUCACAUAUGACAAGUGAACGACCAUCGUCAUCGGAAAUCAAAUCCGAGAUGGUUAGUUUUUUUUAUGUGUUUUGGUGUGUCGAGCGAUGCUUGAUGGCGAUUAAGAUGGACAGGUUGGAAAUUAAAUUUAUAAUUGCAUUUGCAUCAUGAAUAAACUAUAUAUGCAUUGAAUCACUACAUGUUCCUUACAUCAGCUUAACUUGUAUUAUGCUUGAUUUGUUAUUAUGCUAUAAAUUAAAUUCUAUAUUAUUUGAAUGAUUAUAUAUAACGGUUUAAAAAUUAGACUCACACUGAGCUAUCAUAAGCUCACCCCCCAUUUCUUUACCUCUUAGGUAAUGCAGGAAACUAGGUCUCGGAAUGGCAUAAGAAGAACCUCGAAUUAGCAACUUGUUUUGGUUUUAUUUAAAAGUUUCAUUAAAAGUUUUCCUUAAUAAUUUAUUUUUGGGUUUGUAAUUAUUAAGUAUUUUCUCGUUUUUAUAUCAUAGGUUUGGGAUUUGUUUAGCUUAUUUAUUUUAAGCAUGUCAUUUGAUUAUUACUCUAAUAUUUGCAUGCUAUUCAGUAUAGGAAACUAUUAUUCUAAAUGUUUUCUGCUGCUUUACAAAAUACUUAAAGUUUUGAUAGGUCUUUUCUUAAAAACUUAAAAGUCGUUUUCUUAAAACUUCAUAUCAAUUAUACUGUAGAUGAACUAAUAAGUCAAAUUGGUUUAAUGAAUGAAUGUUUUUCUAAAAACAAAAGAGUAUUUCCAUACAAAUCAAACGCAUCUAAAAAGAACGGUUUUACAGGAUCACUUCGGUGAUCGAAUGUAAUGCCUUUGACUUAGCCGAAACUCCUAGGCCAGGUCGAGGAUGUUACAUAUAUAUAUAACUACGACAUGAAAAACCUGGAUUUGACGUAUUAAAAACUAGUAUCAAUUAAAUUUUAUCUAUGCAAUAGAUAUAUAUGUUUUUUAUAAUUUGAUCUACGAAUUUUAAAUAUAUUUCAUCUCAAAUUUGAGUUGGCAUUUAAUGCCUAAACUAAUUGUUGAAUUAAUAAAAGGACUUAAUUGAUAUGAUAUGAUAAUUUGAGAACUAAAUUAAAACAUUUUAAAAAUUAAAGAUGAAUUUAAAAUCCCAUAAUUUGAGAACAUUGCGUCUAAUGUGUUUAUGGUGAAUUGUAAACAAAUCCUUGGUCAAACCUGACAUGCUCUAUAAAAAUCCAUGAAAAAUCAGUUGUAAAAAGGUAGAAAAGAAAGGCAAAUACUUUCAGAUGCUUAACCGACUUCAUUCAAUUUUUAUUUUCAUAUAAAAAAUACUUAAUAUAUUUAAUAUAUAUUUGAUGGUUGAAUUUUUUACAUAAAAUAAAUUAAAUUUAUAUAAAAUUUGUUAUGCAUAAUUUAAAGGAAUAAACCAUAAAACAUAAUGGUUUUAUCGUUAAAAUAUUAAUUAUAUAAAUAAUUAUAAAAGUGUAUAAAAUUACUUUAAUUUUUAUUAAUUUUUAAUUUCUUCGUUAUUAUUUUUAUUAAUUUUUUUUAAAAAAAUUAUAAAAUAUUUGAUGUUUAGAAUUUUAAGAAUGAUACAUAUAAACAAUUUCUUUUCUUAGUUUUUAAAUUCAUCCAUUUAAAAACAAUUCUGAUAUCCUAAAGAGAGUGGGUCAAAUAAGUAACAAAUUUAUUUAUUUUAAAAUGCUAACAAGUAAACAAAUACAUUUGAUCACUAAGGAUUAAAAGAAACAUGACAAACAUUUUUUAAAGUAAAAUUUUAAAACUUUAUAUCAAAAUAAGUCAGUAUUUUGAAUACUAUAGAGUCGUAUUGUUCUUUCUUUCCAAUCAUAUUUCCUAGGAAAUUAAUAUAAGAUUACUGGUCAAAAGUUUUGUGAAGAGUAUGUCAAAAGCAGAGAAAAGAAUAAAUAUCAUUCAUGCCCUCAAACAUUUUGAUCGAACUGCAAAAGUUUAAAGUAAAUAGAGGAUAUUUAAACCUUUUUUACAGACAUCAACUUUGAAUCAAAAGAAUCAAACAAAAGACAAAUCAACAUUUCUUUUAAUCUAUUUGUAUUUCUCAUGCACUUUGUUUUCUUGAAUUUAAGUUCUCCUUUUUUGACUUCAAAUAUCACCACUAUUUUUCUUACCUAUAAAUACAUGCAACAAUUGCACUCUUAUCCUCACACAAAUUCUGUGCCAAAUUUCAAGAGCAAACCAAGAAAAGGCUGCAAAUUCAGCUUUUCAAUAUCUGCUUUUGAUCAAUCGAAAUGGCUUCACAAGUUUCUCAAAUGCCUUCUUCAUCACCCCUUUCUUCCAAUAAGGAUGAAAUCCGUCCCAAAGCCGAUUUUCAGCCUAGCAUUUGGGGAGAUUUCUUCCUCAAUUGUCCCGACAAGGUAUACAUACAUAUCACCAUAUUGAUAUAAUCUUAACAUAUUAUUUGUUCAAUUAUUUAGUGAUUCAAUAUGAAGAAAAUUUUCAUUGUUUUGAGCAGAAUAUUGAUGCUGGAACUGAAAAACGCCACCAACAAUUGAAAGAAGAAGUGAGGAAGAUGAUUGUGGCACCAAUGGCUAAUUCGACCCAAAAGUUAGCCUUCAUUGAUUCAGUCCAAAGACUGGGUGUGAGUUACCAUUUCACCAAGGAGAUCGAAGAUGAACUAGAGAAUAUCUACCAUAACAACAAUGAUGCCGAGAACGACCUCUACACUACAUCUCUUCGAUUCCGACUACUCCGAGAGCAUGGAUACAAUGUUUCAUGCGGUAAUUAUUGGAACAGAAACAUAGUGUUUUUAAGUUUCUUGAGAAUAUAAUAGCAUGGAAUGUUUGAUAACGAUAUUUCAUUUUGGGUAAUUUCAUGUCAGACGUAUUCAACAAGUUUAAAGACGAGCAAGGGAAUUUCAAGUCAUCCGUGACAAGCGAUGUUCGAGGAUUGUUGGAACUUUACCAAGCUUCCUAUUUGAGGGUUCAUGGGGAAGAUAUAUUGGAUGAAGCAAUUUCUUUCACCACCAACCAUUUAAGCCUUGCAGUAGCAUCUUUGGACCAUCCUUUGUCCGAAGAGGUUUCUCAUGCUUUGAAACAAUCAAUUCGAAGAGGCUUGCCAAGGGUUGAGGCAAGGCACUAUCUUUCAGUAUACCAAGAUAUUGAGUCCCAUAAUAAGGCUUUGUUGGAGUUUGCUAAGAUCGACUUCAACAUCUUACAAUUUUUGCAUAGGAAAGAGCUAAGCGAGAUUUGCAGGUAUGUUUUUUAAUCUCUUUCACCCAUUUUUUCUUUUUCAUCUUAUUUAUUUAUUUAUUUAUUAGUGGAAGGAGGGUUGAAUUUAUUGGAGACAUCAUUCUCAGUAUAGGAGACAAGUUGCAAAUGCUAAUAUUUGAAUCUUAUUAAAUAGUACAAGUUAAAAGUGAUGGCAUGAACCUUGGAUUCAUCUUUUUCACCUAUAUCAUUUUACUUAUAAAUAUUUUAAUAUUUGAGGUUGCCAAUUGACUUAAAUCUAACAACAUGAAUGUGAAACUAAUUGAAACAUUGAAUAUUAAUUGUGCUAAUGGGGUUUUUUAUGAUAUCAUUUUUUAGGUGGUGGAAAGAUUUAGACUUUCAAAGAAAGUUGCCAUAUGCAAGAGAUAGAGUGGUUGAAGGCUAUUUUUGGAUCUCAGGAGUGUACUUUGAGCCCCAAUAUUCACUUGGUAGAAAGAUGUUGACAAAAGUGAUAGCAAUGGCAUCUAUUGUAGAUGAUACAUAUGACUCAUAUGCAACAUAUGAAGAGCUCAUUCCAUAUACAAAUGCAAUUGAGAGGUUAGAUUUCUUUAAUUUUGUUGGUAAUAGGUUAGGUUUCUUUAGUUGAAGUUAACAUUCAAUAAUAUAUUACGAGGAAUGAUUAAAUAUAACGUUGAAGUUGGAUUCAGGUGGGAUAUCAAAUGCAUAGAUGAACUUCCUGAAUACAUGAAGCCGAGCUACAAGGCACUAUUAGAUGUUUAUGAAGAAAUGGAACAACUGGUGGCUGAGCAUGGGAGACAAUAUCGUGUUGAAUAUGCGAAAAAUGCGGUAUGUACAUCAACAAACAUUUAUUUUGUACAAAAGAGAUAAGAUCUUAGCUAAAUUCUAGAUUUGAAUAAACAACUAACUCGAAUAACAAUAUAUAAUCAUUUAAAUAUUAUUAUCGAAUUUGAAUUGAUAUUAGUGAUAAUUGUUGGGAUUUUUUCGCUUCAGAUGAUACGACUUGCUCAAUCUUAUCUUGUGGAGGCCAGAUGGACUCUUCAAAACUACAAACCAUCAUUCGAGGAGUUUAAGGCUAAUGCAUUGCCAACUUGUGGUUAUGCCAUGCUUGCUAUUACAUCUUUCGUCGGCAUGGGAGAUAUCGUAACACCAGAGACCUUUAAAUGGGCAGCCAAUGACCCUAAGAUAAUUCAAGCUUCCACAAUUAUUUGUAGGUUUAUGGAUGAUGUUGCGGAACACAAGGUAUAAUAAUAUAUUUAGAUAACCACAGGAAACCGAACUCUUAACUAAAUAAUUCAAUGUCUUUGUAACAAAAUCAAACGAUGGUUUUUAUCAUGAUCUAAAAAAAAAUAAAGUUUAAUGUUUAUAUAUAAAAUGUUUAGUCUCAAAUUGAAGAAUAAGAAAAGAAAUCUAGUUUCAUUUUAGGGCUUUUAGUGAGGAAGUAUUGUCAAUAAAUGUAUUUUAUCGUCACAAACAAAGGUAGUUUAAUAAACUGAUAGAUUUUAGGGUAUAUAGUGAUAGAAUAAUUUUGAUUUUAUUAUGGCUGCAGUUUAAGCAUAGGAGAGAAGACGAUUGCUCAGCAAUAGAGUGUUACAUGGAAGAAUAUGGCGUAUCAGCACAAGAGGCAUAUGAUGUAUUCAACAAGCAUGUUGAGAGUGCCUGGAAGGAUGUGAAUCAAGAGUUUCUGAAACCAACAGAAAUGCCAACAGAAGUUUUAAAUCGUAGCCUAAACCUUGCAAGGGUGAUGGAUGUACUUUACAGGGAAGGAGAUGGAUAUACAUAUGUUGGAAAAGCGGCUAAGGGUGGAAUCACUUCAUUGCUUAUUGAACCAAUUGCACUUUGAAAUUUAUAUUAAAUUUUCCUCUUCAAGCAUCUUCCUUAAGAAAUAGUUAUUAAGUUCUAAUUAAUAAUGUUGUAUAAUAUUCAUAUAUAUUAUCAAAGAAAGUCCGAAUCGAUUGUCUUUGUACUCAUUACCUUCUAUUAAUUCAAUAAAGUUCUUUUCAAGCUUUCCAUUAUGAAAAAUAUUCUUUUUUAUAUUUUAUAUUUACUUAUUUUUAUAUACUUUUUUAUAUAAAAGAAUAUGUGAUGUAAAAGUAGGACGAAUUAUAAAUAUUGGAAUUAAGAUAAUAAUAAAAAUCCACUAUCCCUUACCACUUUAAGUUUAUUGACAUAAACUUUGAACUCGUUAUUUAUUUAAUUUUGAUGAAGUUUGACAUAUAAAAUACAUUGAUUAAGUUUGACAUAUAAAAUACUCACUAUUAAUUGCGGCUUAAAAAUCAUCAAAUUUGUAGCCAAUCUUAAAGGAUUAGUAGUCAAUUUCAAAAUAAUUAUUUCUUAAAUGGAAUGAUCGGAAUGGAUUAAAUUGGUUGAUUGAUUAAUUUUUUUAUCAAGUUUAAUUAGGGAAAUAUUUUGUUUCAGAUAUUGGAGUGGAUGAUUUCCAUAAAAUAGAGACAUAGAUGUGAUUGAUCAGACUGACAGUACAUCGGACAAGAACCAAGUAGAAUAAAUUCUAGAUCCAUUUAUGGAUUUAUUCACUUAUGACAUUCAUAGUGUGAUAUACUUUAAUAUUGAAUGGAUAAUUGAAUGGAUAAGGGAGUAUGUAUAUGUGACUCGGAUGCUUUGAUGUAAAUGAAAACAGGUGUUCAAAUAGAUAAAUAAUCCAAAGUUGGUACAUUGGGUAUAUGACUUCUGCAUGAUGUAGGAUCAUUCCACAAUAGUGAAAUUCAUAGCCCAAUUAAGGGGAAAUGAUGAUAGAUGGAAAGUAAUGUGACCAUAGGUCAUUUGUCUUAGAGAUAAAUUAUUUAAUUAGUAAUUGACUUUUCAUGAAUGAAGAUGUUAUGGUUACCAUGACAUAAAACAGUAUCAUAAUGGGAGCACGGGUUUAUCUCAAAGAGAUUAAGGAUAUCCUAUGAGAGUAACAUACUUAUGACAAGGUAUUUGAAUGAACACUUAAUUAGUAGAUUUUAUAAUAGUAUAUAAUAAAGAAGUGUUCAAUCAUGGUACUUUAGUGGAAUGACUCUAUAAUUAAAUAAUAUUGUAAUUAAUAGAUGAAGAGUCGAAACUUAAUUACAAAUUAUUUGAGCCAUAAUUUUAUAUGUUCAAUUGGUCUCUCUGUUAGCUCAAGAUAAGUCAAAACAAAUUGCAUGCAAAACCAAUCAUAUGAAAUGAAUGAAAACAAUGAAAUAAGAUAAAUAGAUUGCAUGUAUACUAUCUGUAAUGAAUGCAUUUUCUCGCUAAUUACAAAAGAUGACUUAUAAAUUAAUUUAACUUCUUUAUAUUAUUAUUUAAUUAAUUGUAAUUAUUUAGAAUUAAUUUAAUUUGUCAACAUGGAUUUAUUGAAAGGGAUAAUUAAAUAUUUUUCCUCCUAGAUUCUAAUACGGUAAAGUUGUGUGACUUCAACAAAAUUAGAAUUGGGUUGAGAAAAGAAUUUAAUUGUGAAAUUAAUUUAACUAAUUAGUUAAUUAAAUUAAGUUAUUAAUUAAUAUUUUAAGAAAUAGAAAAUAAUUAUUGGGUUAGAUAAAUUAUAAAUAUUAGAUAAAAAUCUAGAUAACACAUAUAAUAGUACCUAAUACAUGAAAGACUCAAAUUAAGCCCGGUUUAAUAUAAGGAGUAACAAACCCUAAUACCCUAGGGGUGCCACUACCCACUCCUUAUUCUACUUCCAAGUAGAAUUUAUAUUUUUAUUAAAAUAUAUAUAAUUAAUUACACUUAAUUCGAACAAAACUCUUAUACCAUAUCUCUAUAAAUAACACAAUUUUGAGAGCACCAUUAUUUUGUCGAAAAAUAGUGACAAUUUUAUUUUAUAAUAAAUUUUAUUUUUUGAGAAAAAUUUAAUUUUUGGUUAUAGAGAGAAUUAAUUUUCCCUUUUGAAAGUUAAAAAAAGUUGUAACACCCCAAGAUUUGGGAAUUCCUAAAUUUGGACGCAUAGUUCAAAAGUAAUUUGUUCGUUCAAAAGUCCUAAGUUGUAACACAUGCAGAAUAAAUUAUUAUGAAGAAAGAAAGAUAUUAAUUUCAUUGAAAACUUUGAAUUAUAAAUAGACGCCUUUGGUGAAAUUUACUUAAUUCCCUUUCAAUAUUUCAUUUCAAUUCUAAUGUAUUAGAUUUUCUUUUAAGGCAUCUAUUGGAGCGAGCGUAGUAACUAAUUUUUCGUAUUCUGUAGGUUCAUUAAAGGAUAGAUGUUGACUCUAAAUUUUAAAGCCGCUUCAUAUUUAGGACCCAUAAAAAAAACAUUAUCAUCUCACUUAACUCUCGUAGUUAAUGUAUUAGAAUAUUUUAAAUGAUGAAUUUAAAUAUAAAUUUUUAGUAUCGACUAAAUCAUACAGCUACGGAGAUUACAAUUCAAAUUAAAAAAUAUGUUAAAUUAAAUAGUGAAAAAUACGUUAUUCAAAGAGUGAAGCUGUCUUGUUUGUAUGGUUAGAUUUUAUUAGAAUUUUUUUUAUAUAUUUCAUGCUUAUUUUAUGGUUUACGUUUAUCAGUUUUCGUUGUUUUUUUCAAUGAAUUUCGUAACUAUACAGUGAGAAUCCGUCACUAAAGUUGACUAAUUUGUCAUUUCCGAUGAUUCAAAUGACUUUUCAACACUCUAAGUCUAGAGUCAAUAUUUUAUUGCUUUUUUUUAGAUGGCUGAAAAUAUGAUUAAUGUGCCUUUCUUUUCUUCCUUAAAUUAUGUCAUUAUGUUAAUUAACUUCUUUUUUUCAUAUUAUUUCAAUAUAAUAUAUAUUAGAAUAAAUUUAAAAAAUCAAAAAUCAGUUUUGAGUAAUUAUUAUUAUUUGAAUAAUCUCAUUAUAGGUUCUGGUCAUAUUAUUUUUAACACAAUGGUUAAAACUAUCCAUAACCCCUCUCCAACGAUAAAUAAGACUCAAACGCACAUACUCCUGUAUUGACAACAAUAUCCAUGUUAAUCGAACUAAAAUUUAAUCGACAUAGCUAAUUUUUUUUUAAUAUACGAUAAAAGAUAAACCAAACUUUGAUCUUAUUAAUCCAAACUCAAACAUGAUUAUCUUGAUUUGAUAAUAGGAAAAAAUUUAAAUUAACCCAAAAUAACUUAAAUGGAAAACACCCAAACUUUAAAACUCUUGCAAGUAUUUGAUUGAAGAUUGUUAAUUAACAUUUAAAAAAAUUGUUUUACGUUCAUUACAUUAUUUUUAUUAAGCUAAAAAGUAAUUAAUGGUGUAUAUUUUAAUGUGAUCCAACACCAUAUGUUAAAAUUUAUUAGUAUUCAUUUUCAAGAUUUGGUUAUGAUAUUUAAUUUCGUUUAUCUUAUACUCUUGUUUUCUUUUCCCAAGGAAUAUUCAAUAAAUGUUGCCAAUGUAUAUCUCAAAAUAAUGACUAUGAUUUGAAAUAAAAUAAUGUUAGAUGCAUGUACCUUUCUCUUUGUUUCUCUAUUCGAUUUUUCUUAAUGAUAAUUAUAUCUACCAUUUGAGUAUUUAAUCAUUACUAGGGGACUGAAGGUAGAAAAAAUAUUUUCAUUAACGUUUAUGUAAGAAUUAAAUAAAAAAAUUUGAUUAAAAUUGUAAAGUGAAAUAUUUAAAAAUUAUAAUAUAAAUUUAUCGAUUCUAUAUAAAAAUAUGUGAAAAAGAUAAAAUCACCCUCUGACGAAUUUUUAAAACCAUACGAAGCCGCCACCAAUUUCUUUUAAAGAGUGGUUGACUGCAUAGAAAGUUUAAAAUCAUUAAAACAAAUUUUGAUGGGCGAAACUAAAUCUGAGUUUAAGAGCACGAUUAUGCGUCAGAAAGAAAGAUGUUAGCAUCCUCAUGACACCCAUUAUUAAAGGGAUACCAAAAUAAUCAUGAGUAUUUGUAGAUUGGAUUAAAAUAACUUUAAUUCUAAUAUUUAAAAACCAUUGCUCAUAAUAAAAAAUAAUUUUUAUUUAUAUAAAAUGAAUUUUUACUAGAUCCAAAAUGGUUGGUAUCCUUUGAGAUAAAUAGUAAGAAUACAAUAAUAAAUUAAGCUCUCAACGUUUAUAUUUUUGUCAAUUUGGCCUUUUUUUUUUCAAUUAAAUUUUGUCAUUAAACUUUUAAAAAGAGUUGAAUCGCUUUUCUUUACUAGAAAUGUUGAUUAAAACAUUAAGUUUUUAACAACGUUGGCAUGGCAAUCUAUGUGUACUUCACACAACAAUUAAUUUAAAAAUAUUCAAAAUUUAAAAUUUAAAAAAAGUUAAUAAAAACUCAAAAGAAAUUUGCAUGAAAUAUAUGUAAAUUGUCAUGUGAGGUAUCAUGUUUAAAACAUUUAAUGGUUAAAUUCAAUUGUUAUUGAAAGAUUAAUGGUUAAAUUUAACUUUUUUUUAUAAGAUUGAUGACAAAAAAAUAAAGGUUAAAUUGAUAAAAAAAAAAGAUAAACAUUAAAAACUAAAUUUACGAGUAUGCCUUUAGUCACAUUUGUGGGUGGUACAUAUACCCAAAACACUUUGUUGGGUACUUUACUAUUGAGGUUGUCCACGAUAACAUAUAACCCACAUGUGGUGUUUCCACUUUUGAAACCCAAAAGAUAUAUCCCAAGUGCAUGUUGCAUAGAAGACUCAAACACGCACACAUCCUAAUAACACAAACAAAUUUUGCAAUCUCUCACAUGAAAUAAACAAAAUUUGCAAUCUCACACUCUGAAGGACUCAAGAAUAGUGAGAUUCCAAGAGCAUGCAACCAUACACCUAAAACCAUGAAAUUAUUUACCUUCAAUUCGUGUUUAUUCGAAGUAAGAUUUCAUCGUAUGCAAACGAGAGAGGGUUACAAUACAAAGUAGAUCCUCUCUAUAUAUAUGCUCCCUUCUUGGUUCUUCUUCUACCUCACUUGUAAGCUUCCUGUCUUUCUCCUUUGAAUGCUUCACUGUUCUCUUCACCUCUCUCUUUUUUCUUAUUACCUUUUUCUUUCUCUUCCCUUGCAAAAUGAGGGAGGAGGUCAUGCCACCCUUAAAUGUUAAUAACAUUGACAAAUACCAUAAAAACCAAAAAAUAAAAAUAAAAAAGAAUCAAAAUUUAUAGUCAAAAUCAAAGUUAAGGUCAAAAAUUAAAAUCAACCGCCGAAACUUAGAGCAAUAUUAAACUUGGAUUUUUCAAAAUUAAACUUGAAAUAUGGUUACCUGCGGUAGUGACUUUAAAAUCGAGUUUUUCCCGAAUAAGAAUGAGUUACAAUACAUAUAAAUAAUAAUUUCUUAACUAUUUUUCUUUAAAUUUUAAAUUAAAUUAAUAUUUAAUUGAUUCGUGAUACCUAUUUAAAAUUUUAAUCUAAAGUAAAUAUAUCCAUCAAUAAAUGUCUUAAUAAUACUAUCACUAUCUAUAUUUUUAGUAAUUAAAAUUAAAUUUUCGAUAAUGAUCCAUUUAUAUACGUAUAAAUUUAAAGUAAUUUUACAGUUUUUUAUAUCUCUUAAUAUGAUUAAUAUUCUAAGUAUUUAAUCGUUAAAAUUAUUAUUUUAUUUAUAUAUUCUAACUAUUUGUUUUAGGUAAAAAAAAUUAACCAUUCAAUAAAUAUUAAUAUAUAUCUAUAGUAUUUUAGAUUGAUGUGAUGAAGAUAUAUAUUAGAUUAAUUCAAAAAUAUACAUGCAUGACAAGUAUAAUUAUAUCAAUAAAUCCGACGGUUAAAUUGUUACAAUAUUAAUCUUAAAAAGAGAUAUGAAAGAGUAAAUCACUGUAAAUAGAUCUCCCAAAAUAAUUUGUAGUUAAUGUCCCAAAUUUCCAUAUAUAUAUAUAUAUAUAUAUAUAUAUAUAUAUAUAUACACGAUAAUGUGACCACUAGAUAGACUAUUUUGGACAUUAAAUGACGUACCAAAAAAGGAAAGAAAAAAAUAAUUCAAAAACGACACACUCUCCAUUGAUAUUUUCAUUUUAAGGUUGUAUUCUUUUGACUUAAAAAGAUAAUUAAAAUUAAAAAAAAAAUACAAUAAUUUUAUCGUGUUAUUGAUAAAUAUAAUAUUUUAGGAAAAUAUGGAAUAUUUUACUUUUGAAUUUCAUAUGGAUAAUAAAUGUGUAUAUAUAUGAACUCUUCAAGGAUAAUUUAAUUAUUAUUUAAUAAGAAGAUUUGGUAACUAACGUAUUGUUUUGACUAAAAGGACGUUUAGUAUGAUGGAAAGUUAUCAUUUUUUAUGACAUAUAAUUGGUUAAAAUGUGAUUCAAAUUUAAUUUCCUUGGAAUGUAACAUUCUCUUUGGAGAUACUUUCCUUAGGUAAUGGAAAGUGAUUCCCUUGAUAAUUGGUAAGAAAGUUACUUUCUCAUAUAGAUCGAAAGUAAAAAGAAUUUAUUAAGACAAAAUUAUAAUUUUUUUUUCUAUUUGUGUUUACGAUUAAAAUUUAAAUUGAAUGUAUUUUUUAAUAUAAAAUUUUUAAAUUAUAGUUUUUCGAUGAUAUGAAAUUUUAGUAUCAAGAAAAGUGCUCAAACGAAAUUUAUUUUCGAGUUUAAAAGAAAUAUUUCAUUUCUUAAUGCACAAAUACUUGCUAGCUUUUUUAUACAACAAUAUUGAUCCAUAUCUUCUACAUCUUUGGAGAAAAAAGGGAGGUGCAAGAAGGAGAAAAUAAGGCGGCGAGCAUAAUGGUAAAACCAGGGAAGAAAAGAGGAUAAUGUCAUGUGCUUACUGUCUCUAGUGCUUGAAACCAUUUUGAGCUAUUUUUUUCUUUGAAUCCAAACCUUCCUAAGCCUUAGAAUGUUACAAGCCGAGAAGACCUAUGUGACCUAAGCAUUUCCUUUACAUGAUCUUCUUGACUUGUUUAUAGUUAGCUUAUUGAAAGCUUUGGAUUUGCAUGUUGUGUCUACUAUAUAUCUAUAUAAGUUAUAUUGAUGGAUAACAUAAUUGAGUAUUUACUCAUUUGAAUCGCCAAGGUUUAUUAGUUUUUUAACUUAGUUAACUAGGUAGAUUUGCUUUAGGAGUACUUAAGUUAGCUAAAAAUCAAUCUUAAAUUGCAUGUGAAAUACGUCUUGUAUAAAUUCAAUAUUCGAUUGUCAUGCUUCUUAUUGUUCACCAUAUUCCAAGGGUCAUCUUAUGCAUGUUUUGUGUGUUUGCUUGUGGACAAACAACAACUUAAGUAUGGAGGAGUUUGAUCUAUCGUAUUUAUGUGUUAAAUUAAGCUAUUUAUUCUUGAGUAUUUUAUAUCGUCUGUUAUUACUUUCCCACAAUUAUUAGAUUUAAUACUUAACAUUAGUUUUUAUUUCGUUUUUAUGUUUUCGGAAUAAAAUGACAAGUUUAUGACAUUAGUAACUUAAUCUUUGAGUUAAGCUUGGUACAGUUACUUGGUUGAUGUGAAAAUGAGAAGAGGAGCCUAAACUAGAGCAAAGGUUGCGACACCAAUGCUUCCAACAUCAUCCGAGGAGUGAGACUUCAAUAAAUUGCACAUUUGUGGAGAUUACUUCCAUUGUUGCGACACCAAGGAGUUGAUGUCGCAACACCAACCUUGGUGGUUUUAACACUGGGCUAGCAAUGUCGCAACAUCGAUCAUAGCCUCUAAAGUUGAAGAACUCAAGUUGCCUGAAGACAAUGUCAUGACACCAAAGGCCAUUGUUGCAACACUAAAAUACCCAAUAACCCAAAUGUGUAGACUAUCAUAGGUGUCGUGACAUCGACCCUUGACGAGGCAAAAUAGUUGAGGGUAUUUUAUUGUCCAACAACCUUCAAAUUAGAUUUUUAAGGGGGGCAUAAUUAUCAUUUUUAGGUUAAGUUAGAAAAGACUAUAAAAACUACUUUAUAAGUCUUUUUGUAGUAGAGUUGUAGGGUAGAACAUAUUUCUACUUUUCAUCUUUUUAGAUUAUAUUUAUUUUUCUUUUCUUUUCUUUCAUUUUCUUUAGAAUAAUUUUAGCUAUAGAUUUUCUUCUCUUUUAUCGAGAACUCUGUAAAUGGAGAUGAUCAAGCUUGUGGGCUUCAUCGUAUUUUAAUCUAUUAAUGAGCAUUUUCUCAUAUCCUUAUCUUUUAUAUUUUAUUUCUACCAUGUGUUUAAUAAAAUGCUUGUGUAGGAUUUAAGUUUUAUUAUAUGCUAAAUUGGUUGAUGGUUAGUUGAUGAAAGUGGUCCUUUCUUGGUCUUCCUAAGCCAUCAAGAUGUGAUUAUGCCCAGAAAAAGGUGUCAACCAUUUUUUCUUUGACGAGGAGAGGGAAGCUAUCUUUUGGGCAAGCUUUAUUGAGGUUGGUGAAAUCCAUACACAUCCUUCACUUGCCAUUAGACUUCAACACCAUGACUAUAACACCUCACACCCGACUCGAUUGUUGGAUCCAAAUGCGUGAUGUCACAUUACGUUACCGAAACAACUCAAACUAUCUCAUUUUAUAAUAAUAAAAUUUAAAUCAUAAUUAUCAUAUAAACUGAUUUAAUCAUCAAACAUACUCACACAUAUGCAUUCAUAGUGUUUAGGAUUCAAUUCAUCAUGUUAUGGGGUUAUGCAAGGUUAAAUUUAGAGUUAGGACUCAAAUCCAAACUCAACUAUCAAAUUUCAAUGUUAUGUCUCGAGAUAGAGGACUUCUUGUUUUCAAGAUAGUCCUCAUUUUAUUUUAGGUAUUUUUUCUUCGAUGCCAACAUGUCUCGAGACACUGGAGGUAGUGUCUUAAGGGAAGGUUCUUUGCGUCUCGAGGCCAACCUCCCCUGUUUCAUUAAUUUAGCUUCGAUGUUUAAAUGUCUAGGGACAAGGGUUCUUGUCUCGAGACUUGAAACAGAGCAAAUCUAAUUUAGCUUCAAAGUUUACUUGUCUCAAGACAAUGACCCCUUGUCUCGAUGCUUGAAUAGGAUUGUCUCGAGACUAGCUUGCCAAAUCUUGAGACACUAAACAUAUAAGUUAAAUUAUAAGGUAAAUUUUGUUCUUAUGGUCUCGCGACAUGUUCCUACUAUCUUGCGACUCAAUGGUAAAAUAGCUUUAAAUGCACAUUGUCAUGUGUCCAAACCAUACCAAAUGGCACAUUAAAUAUACCAAAAUUUUACAUCAAAUUAAGGCCAUAAAUUAAACACAUAUAAACACAAUUAAACAUCAUCAAAUCAUAACCAUCAAUGUAACAUCUUUUAAACAACUAAUUUACAUAAUCAAACUGAUAUAAACUAGAAUAAUUAACUACUAAUUAAAUAUUAAAAUUCAUCUUAUAAAACCUUAUAGGCCAAAUACAAAAUAUACCAAAAUUAAAACUUAAGCAACAUGCCUAAAACAACCUAGGUACAUGCCAUUUCAACUCAAACACACACACACACACAAAAGAGGUAAUAAGGCAUGUUCUGAGUUGAGUUGUUGAGUUGGAUGCUGGGCAUUAUAAUCUACAUCUACUAACGUUCAAUACUUGCACAUAAAAACAAACAUAACCAUACGUUGAGUAUCGAAUACUUAGUGGUGCUUGUUGAAACCUUCUUUUUUUUUUUUGAAAAUGACUUUUAUUUAAAAAAAAUAAAAAUGGAGUCGCCACUGAUCCUUUUUAUUAGGUGUAAUUGGGCCACCUCAAAUUUUAACCAUCUUAAUAAAAUAUUAGAUUUUUCUAAAAUGAUAAUUUUUAGCCUACGAAAUCCAAGAAUGUGGGUUCGAGAGUCGGUUAUGUAUGAGGAAGGAUUAGCACCCUCAUAAUGUCCAAAAUUGGUACCUAGUUGGUUACUUAAUAUUGUGAUGUCGAGAAUUGAAAAUUCGAAGCAAAUUUAAAAUACGAUCCCUCUUUGUAUGAUAUUAAAAUAUCGCUUAACUAAAUUAAUUUUCACAAAAAGGCCUUCUUUCAAGUUAAUCGAGAAGAAAAGAUCGUGCCCUGUAAGUUAGGACACGAUGCCUUAAAUCCUCGAAAACAAGAAUAAUCGUCAUUUGAUCAUUACUUAAAUCUCGUUUAUUUUUUAUUUUUAAAAUAGAUAUUCAACUAUUUGGGUUUUAGAAAGAGGCCAUACUCCAUAAGUUAGGAGCACGACUCCUCUAAUUCAAAAAUAAUGAACACUGCCUUGGUUUUCCUUUAAAAUAUUUCCUAUUCAUAUGGUAAAACGAAUGCAACCUUUUAACAAUUGCUUUUUAAUUUAUCUAGGCCUAGUAGUAAAAUGGAUGAAUAUGUUUAACGCGAUACACGGCAUGGAUGUUAGCAAAAUAAAGUAACAUAGUAACGGGUAAAAAUGAAAUGAUGAUAUUAAAAUGAUAAGUAAAUAAAUGAACAAAUCAAUAAAUCAAUAAAAUAAAAAAAUGAUAGGUAAUAAUAAUACAACUAUAAUGAUAGUAAAAAAAACAAUUUAUAGUAAUAAUAACGAUAAUCAUAUUAUAAUUACUAUAAUAAUAAUAAUAAGGGCGAAAAAUGCACAAUAAAAAGGAAAUAUAAGUAACAUGAAUUUUAAUUAUAAAAAGGGUAAAGAAAUAAUAAAUAAAUAUAUAAAAACAAUUCAUAAAAGGUUAAAAUUAAAUAAACCAAGGACUGAAUCGGAACUAAAAUGAAAUUAAAAGCAUAAAUUGUAAUAAAAUAAACAAACAAGUAAAUAAAGGACUAAAAUAAGAAAUGUGAAAAUAAACAAGGCUCAAAUUGGUAAUUAUUCCAAACCCCAGGACACAAGUCAUUCCCCGGCAAAUGAAGGACUAAAUUGAAAACAAGUUAAAAUUAAAUGGUGUAAUCUAAAAAGAAAAAAAUUGAGAUUAGGACCAUAUCAAAAAGAAGGUUCAAAAGUGGAAGGACCAGGACCGCAAAUAGACCACUCUACGAAAACACAUGGAUCCCAAGGGAUCCGGAUCGGGUUGGCGGGCCAAGCUUCAAAACGAAACCGUUUCGGGACUUUUGAACACCGGCCAAAACGGUGUUGUUUAGUCUUGCUUAUAUAAAUCAAAAUUUUUUUAAAUCUGCUUAGGUUUUUAAAAAAAAUUUUGAAACCCUUUCUUUUUCUCUCAGCCUUUCUUUAGGUCCGGCCUUUGGCCCGCCGAUGCUCUGCCAUGGCCACCGAUCAUCGGCGACAACAACCGUCCCCUCCGAUGGCCGGAGUCCAAAAAAACCCAUUUUCAGCCCUUUUCAACCCUAAAACCCGGAUCUAAAGGCAAAUGCCUUUAAAAAAACAAAAAAAAUGAAAAAGAUUUCGGAUUUCCCCCUUUCUGGUCGCGCCCUUUUGUAUCCCCUUUUAUUGAAGCCCAGACGAAACCUAAUGGGUUCGACGACUCUCAAGAUCGAGGGAGACCCCCGACGGCGGCGCGAGACGAAGCCAGGGAAAAGGUUUUAUAUUUAUUUAUUGUUUUUGAAUCUAAAGAAACAAAGUAAAUCACCUUUUUUUUGCUUAAUGUUUGUAUCCGAUUUUUAUUUCAAUCUUCUCAGGCGGUGAGCACGCUGACGUGGUGAGGCGCGGUGCAAAAGGGGAUCUAGGGUUUUUAGCUUUCUGAAAAUAGUUUAGGUUAUGGGCUAUUUGGCUUUAGGUUAUUGGGUAUUAGGUUUAGCAUAUGGGUUGGGCUAUUGGGCUCUUUUUGUUUGGGCCAAUCUAGUUUGUAAAUGGACUUAGACUUUUAUUUUUCAUUUUUAUUUUGUUUAUUUAUUUUUGGUUUCUAUUUGGGUCAGAAAAAAUUGGGCCCUUACAAUGCUAAUAUAAUUCAAAUUCAAAUAUAUAUUGUGUUAAGAAUAAACUAAAGUAAGUAUAUAUAACAAGUAUCAAUUACGUAAAUGAAUACUACUUUAACUUAUCAUAUCAUUUUCCAACUUUCAUAUUCAUUUCACAUUUCAAUAUAAAUUUCAAUGCUUAUUCAUUUUUCCCCUAUUAUCCAAUGAUAGAUAUUAGAAUGGAUACUUAAAUCUGUAUAUAUCAAGUAACUCCACAACCCUUUUGGAAACUAGGACUAUUUUAUUCUGUCAUCCCGGGUUGCUCGACAACGAUGAUUUUCAAUAUUUUUCCCACUAUUUAUUCAACCAUUCUGGAUUUCCCGACAACGAUGGCUACUAAAUCACUAUAUUGAUGACCCUAUGGCAUUCCAACUAUACCCGAACUACGUCUAACAUCGUUUAAUGGGGCAUUAACAUCAUAUUCACUGCUCUAACAUAUAUCAUUAUAAUACCAAUGUCCAAAUAUUCAUAGUCACAUCCAAAGCAAUUUCAAAUAUUUAUCACAUAAUUCAAAUAUCACCAAUCAAAUCCAUUAUUCAAAGUUGAUAGGGAAAGAUGCCAUUAAGUCAUAUUGAUUACAACGACUAAUUAAUCUACGAAAGUAAAUUGGAAUUGAAUUACAAAAGCACAAACCACAAUAGUUAUUUGUGUUCACUUUUUCUUUCCCCUUCACCUUGGACAUUCCAACAUCGUCUUUCACUACGAUCGAUAAUACAGUAUAAUCAUACAUAUCUUAUUUACCAAAAUUUUAUCGACUUAACAAGAAUAUAUAUUAUUUUUAUUAUAUAUUUAUAUAUAAUGUUGAGUAUGCCUCAUAUUUUAGUCAAAUUUGAGAGAUAAUCUCACAGUUAAACUCUGUUUAUUUGUUUCAGUCAAACUCUGACUAGUCUAUAUUAUUUUAUUAUUAUUUGACCUUCAAAUUUAGCCUAUAAUAGGCUCUUUUACAACCUUAAAAAAAAUACACUCAUUAAAUAUUAGAUCUCAUAACACUUUUGAAGAAUUUUGUGUUUACGUUUUGAGGGUUCUUUGUUUUCGAGUUUCGAGGUUUAGUUUUUUAUCUCCAUCUUUUGUACUCUUCAUUCUUUUGUCAUUAUAGUAAAAUCAUCUUUGCUCGUGGUUUUUUUAUCCUCUUUGAAGGGGUUUUUCCACAUUAAAUUUGUGUGUACAAUUUCUCAAUUUCUUCUGCUAUUUUUACUUGUUCAUUGCUUAAUCGGGUUAAUUCCUAACAAGUGGUAUCAGAGUUAGUUCGAUUUUCAUAGAUCAACUCAUUCAGAUAUGGCAGCAACAAAAUUUGACAUUGAGAAGUUCGAUGGUGUCACAAAUUUCAAUUUGUGGAAAGUUCGGAUGAUGGCAAUUCUAGUUCAAACUGACCUGAAAAAGGUUGUUACUGGGAAAAAGCCUGAGAAUCUAGAUCAGACAGAGCGAGAAGAGCUUGAUGAAAAGGCCCCUGUCUACAAUUUAGUUGUGCCUCGCGAAUAAGGUAUUACAGGAGGUAUUGAUGGAGAAAAACCUCAUCCGCCUUGUGGAAAAGGUUAGAAACUCUAUAUGCGACUAAGUGUCUAGAUAACCAUUUAGUAUUGAAACAACGUAUUUUUACGUUUCGCAUGAACGAAGGUGAGCUUCAUAGAGAUCAGACUAGUCAAUUUAUUACUCUUUUGAAUGAUUUAAAAAUGUUGAGGUUAAGAUUAACGACGAAGAUCAGGCUAUGUUAUUAUUGUGCCUUUUACCCCCUUCAUACAAGUCUUUCAGGGAAAUCCUAAUUUAUGGUAGAGACAAACUCUCGUUUGAGGAUAUGAAGGGUCAUUUGUUGAGUAAUGACAAACUCGAAAAUGAUUUUGGUUCGAAUAGCAAGGCAGAUAGGCAAGCUUCCAUUUUGGUAGCAUCAAAGAAGUGAGACAGAAUGUGUCGCUAUUGUAAAAAGUUAGGUCACAUCAAAGCAGAUUGUUAUAAACUGCGAAAUAAAAGGGAUGCUGAGAGUAACGAGGAAGAUGUAGCUACUGCUAAUUUAGAUGACGAAACCAGUGAUGAUUUCUUGUUAGUGUCAAUAAGCGAAAGCUCCGAGCUUGCGUCUGAGUGGAUCCUAGAUUCGGGAUGCUCUUUCCACAUGUGUACAAACAGAAAAUGGUUCUCCACAUACAGUUUGCUUGAAGGUGGAGUUGUACGCAUGGAAAAUGAUUCAUCCAUUAAGGUAAUCGGUAUUGGUACUAUUAAAAUUAGGAUGCACGAUGGGACAAUUAGGACAUUCUUAGAUAUCAGGUAUGUACCUGAUUUACAAAAGAAUCUCAUCUCCUUGAGUAUUUUAGACUGGAGAGGUUAGAGAAUCAACAUUGAGUCGAGCGACAUUAAGGUGUCUCGUACGGCUCUCGUUUAGUUAAAAGGUAAAAGAACCGACAAUCUUUAUAUUAUGACAGGUUCUAUAGUGAUUGGUGAAAUCAGACAUCCCUCAUCUAUUACGAAGUCGAAGUCAACUCAUUUAGAGUGGAGGCAACUUGGUCAUAAGAGGGAAAAAUGUAUGAUCAUUUCGUUGAAGAAAGGCUCUCUUUUGGAUGCAGGUUUUGAAAAGUUAGGGCAUUGUGUUCGUGAAAAUCAGACCCGUGUUAGUUUUGGUUUGACAGUGCACAAUUCGAAGGCUAGAAGUCUUCUAGCUUCUAAGCAUAUAUUCGACUUAGUUAAUUCCCUGCAUAGUUCAAGAUAGUCCCAUGGCAGGCUUUGGCAAAGAUGGAGUUGUGGAAAUACGAGUCAAGGUGGAGAUUUGUUGAGUAUGCCUCAUAUUUUAGUUAAAUUUAAAAGAUAAUCUCUCAAUUAAACUCUGUUUAUUUGUUUCAGUCGAACUCUAAUUAUUUUAGAUUAUUUUAUUAUUAUUUGACCUCAAAUUUAGCCUAUAAAUAGGCUAUUUUACAACCUUAGAAAAUACACCCAUUAAAUAUUAUAACUCAUAACACUUUUGGAGAAUUUUGUGUUUACGUUUUGAGGGUUCUUUGUUUUUGGGUUUUGAGUUUUAGCUUUUUAUCUCCAUCUUUUAUACUCUUCGUUCUUUUGUCAUCAUAGUAAAAUUAUCUUUGCCCGUGAUUUUUUAUCCUCUUUGGAGGGGUUUUUCCAAAUUAAAUUUGUGAGUUCAAUUUCUCAUUUUCUUCCGCUAUUUUUAUUUGUUCAUUGUUUAAUCGGGUCGAUUCUCAACAUAUAAUAUUUUAUACUUAAGAUUUUAAGAACAUAUCCUAUUUUAGGUGUAAUAGUAUAACAAAAGAACAUAUGAUAGUGGUAGUAUUUGAACUUGUGGGAUUAAAAUAUUGUACUUUUAAUUUAUCGAAAUAACCUCUUGUAUAUUAUCUUAACCAAUAAGUGAUUUUGAGAUUUCAAGUUUCUUUUUUGAAUUAUAAGAGGAGGGUAAAGUCUUAAUAGUGAGACGACUAGCAUGAUUCAAACUCAAGACACACCUGAGACGAUAAACACUCUGACCAUUAGGCUAAUAUAGAAAUUUUAGUCUAUAUUAUCCUUUCUUUUGUAAUUUUCAUUUACCUUAAAAUAAUAACUGUUUUUCAUAGUUUUUAAAUUCAUCAAUUUAAAAAUAAUUCUAAAACCCUAAAGAAAGUUGGUCGAAUAAGUAAUAAAUUUAUUUAUUUUAAAAUGCUAACAAGUAAACAAAUACAUUUGAUUACUAAGGAUUAAAAGAAACAUGAUAAACAUUUUUUAUUAAGUAAAAUUUUAAAAUAUUAUACCAAAAAAAAUUAGUAUUUCAAAUACUAUAGAGUCGUAUUAUUCUUGCUUUCCACUAAUAUUUCCUAAGAAACUAGUAUCAGUAAUGAAAAUAUUGCCCAUAAAGACUGCUGGUGGACUGAGGACUUAAAUUCAAUCAAGAGCAUGUCAAAAGGAAAAGAAAAGAGUAAAUAUCACACAUGCCCUCAAAACAUUUGACAUCAAUUAUUUUGAUAUUUACAUUUCGAUUGGUGAAGAAAAAUCGAACUACAUUAACUGGUUAAAUUAAGAAUUGAUAUUGAAUGAUAAAAAAAAUCAGCACAAAAUUUAAUUAGAAAAACCAAUUUUUGAUAUUGAGUUUUUUUAUAUUAAAAUUAUUUUUCUGCAAGUGAUCAGAUUAGAAGUUUAAACUUAAUAGCCUUUUAUAUAUAUUAAAUAUGAUAACAUUAAAUCAAGUACAUGAAGAACAUAUAUAAGCAAAAAUCUGUCUAUUGAAUUAUGUCAUGAACAAAAAUCAAGAGCAUGCUAUGUAUACAUAUAGGGGCUUCAACACAUCAUCUUGCUUUCCCACAUUCACGCAUAUCUAUAUAAACAAGUACAGGGACCUUUAUUCAAUACUUAAAGUCUGCAGCCAUGCUAGACCGACUGGAAGGAACAAAACAAAUUUAACUAAUAAAUUACUACUUUUUAAACAUAUUUAAUAUCAAAAUUAUAUUUAAGAUUUAAUUUAUAUUUUAAUUAAAUAAUUCCGUUUGACCAAUCCAACCGAUAGAAUAAUUAAAUAACUUAAAAUUCACAUCGAUUUGUUACAGAUGGGGCCCUGGGAAGGACCAAAAAGAUAUUUGUCUGAAAGUUUAAAGAUAAAUAGAGGAUAUUUACUUUGUAACACACAUUUAAACAUUUAUCUACUAAUUUUUUAAAGACAUCAACUUUGAAUGAAAAGAAUCAAACAAAAGACAAACCAAUAUUGCUUUUAAUCUAUUUGCAAAUCUCAUUCAAUGGGCCCUACAUGCAUUUUGUUCUAUAAUUGGUUUCAUGCAUUUAUGUGGUCUUUUUUUGACUUAAAAUCACCAGUAUUUUGUUUUUACCUAUAAAUACAUGCAACGAUUGCAUUCUUAUCCUCACUCAAAUUCUGUGCCAAAUUUGAAGAGCAAACCAAAAAAAAAGCGGCAAAUUAAGCUUUCGAAUAUUUGCUUUUGUUCAAUCCAAAUGGCUUCACAAGUUUCUCAAUUGCCUUCUUCAUCACCCCUUACUUCCAAUAAGGAUGAAAUGCGCCCCAAAGCUGAUUUUCAGCCUAGCAUUUGGGGAGAUCUCUUCCUCACUUGUCCUAAAAAGGUAUACUAAUAUAUGAGCAUAUUGACAUAUAAUGUUAACAUAUUAUUUGUUUAAUUAUUUAGUGUUUCAGUAUGAAUAAAAUUUGCAUUAUUUUGAGCAGGAUAUCAAUGCAGAAACUGAACAACGCCACCAACAAUUGAAAGAAGAAGUGAGGAAGAUGGUUGUGGCACCGAUGAAUAAUUCAACCCAAAAGUUAAACUUCAUUGAUUCAGUACAAAGACUGGGUGUGAGUUACCAUUUCACAAAAGAGAUCGAGGAUGAACUAGAGAACAUCUACCAUAACAACAACGAUGCCGAGAACGACAUCUACACUACAUCUCUUCGAUUCCGAUUACUCCGAGAGCAUGGAUUCAAUGUUUCGUGUGGUAAUUAUUGGAACAACAUAGUGCUUUUAAGUUUUAUGACUAUAUAAUAGCAUGGAAUGUUUGAAAACGAUAUUUUGUUUCGGGUGAUUUGAUCGCAGAUGUAUUCACCAAGUUUAAAGAUGAGCAAGGGAACUUUAAGUCAUCUAUGACAAGCGAUGUUCCAGGAUUGUUGGAACUUUAUGAAGCUUCCUAUUUAAGGGUUCAUGGGGAAGAUAUAUUGGAUGAAGCAAUUUCUUUCACCACCAACCAUUUAAGGCUUGUAGUAGCAUCUUUGGAUUAUCCUUUAUCCGAACAGGUUUCUCAUGCUUUGAAACAAUCAAUCCGAAGAGGCUUGCCAAGGGUUGAGGCGAGGCACUAUCUUUCAGUAUACCAUGAUAUUGAAUCCCAUAAUAAGGCUUUGCUGGAGUUUGCAAAGAUUGAUUUCAACAUGUUACAACUUUUGCAUAGGAAAGAGCUAAGUGAGAUUUGUAGGUAUGUGUUUUUGAAUAUUUUUCAUCCAUUUCUUCUUUUUUCACCUUUUUUUUUUCAAUUUAUAGGAGGCUUCAUCCUCAGUAUAAGGGACGGGUUGCAAAUACUAAUAUUCAAAUCUUAAACGUAUUAAAUUACAUUAGUUAAAAGUGAAGACAUGAACUUUGGACUCAUCUUUUUCACCUAUUUCAUUUAACGUAUGAAGAUAUAUAUAUAUAUAUAUAUAUAUAUAUAUAUAUACAAACUUGAGAUUUCCAAUAGAAUUAAGAAUCUAACAAUUUACUCUUCAACAACAUGAAUGUGAAACUAAUAAAAACUUUGAAGAUUCAUUGUGCUAAUGAGGUUUUUUAUGAUAUAUUUUUUAGGUGGUGGAAGGAUUUAGACUUUCAAAAAAAGUUGCCAUAUGCAAGAGAUAGAGUGGUUGAAGGUUAUUUUUGGAUCUCAGGAGUAUACUUUGAGCCCCAAUAUUCACUUGGUAGAAAGAUGUUGACAAAAGUGAUAGCAAUGGCAUCUAUUGUAGAUGAUACAUAUGACUCAUAUGCAACAUAUGAUGAGCUCAUUCCCUAUACAAAUGCAAUUGAGAGGUUAGAUUUCUUUAGUUAGAGAUUAACAUUCAGUUAUAUAUUACGAGGAAUGAUUGAAUAUAACGUUGAAGUUGGAUUCAGGUGGGAUAUCAAAUGCAUAGACCAACUUCCAGAAUACAUGAAACCGAGCUACAAAGCACUAUUAGAUGUUUAUGAAGAAAUGGAACAACUGAUGGCUAAGCACGGAAGACAAUAUUGUGUCGAAUAUGCGAAAAAUGCGGUAUAUACAUCAAGAAAUAUUUAUUUUAUACAAAAGAGAUAAGACCUUAGCUAAAUUUUAUAUUUGAAUAAACAAUUAACUUAAAUAACAUUAAAAUCAUUUAAAUAUUAUUAUCGAAUUUGACUUGAUAUUAGUGAUAAUUGUUGGGAUUUUGUUGCCUCAGAUGAUACGACUUGCUCAAUCUUACCUUGUGGAGGCCAGAUGGACUCUUCAAAACUACAAACCAUCAUUUGAGGAGUUUAAGGCUAAUGCUUUGCCAACUUGUGGUUAUGCCAUGCUUGCUAUAACAUCUUUUGUCGGGAUGGGAGAUAUCGUAACACCAGAGACCUUUAAAUGGGCUGCCAAUGACCCUAAGAUCAUUCAAGCUUCCACAAUUAUUUGUAGGUUUAUGGAUGAUGUUGCUGAACACAAGGUAUAAUAAUAUAUUUAUAUAAUCACAAGAAACUAAGCUCUUAACUCAAUAAUUGAAUGUCUCUGUAACGAAAUCAAAAAUGGUUUUUUAUCAUGAUCUAAAACCAUUAAAGUUUAAUAUUUAUAUAUAAAUGUUUAGUCUUAAAUUGAAGAAUAAGAAAAAAAAAAAGAGUUUCAUUUUAGGGUUACUAGGGAGGAAAUGUUGUCAAAAGGUAAUUUAUCAUCACUAAACAAAUGUAGUUUAAUAAACUGAUAGAUUUUAGUGUAUAUAGUGAUAGAAUAAUUUUGAUUUUAUUACGGCUGCAGUUCAAGCAUAGGAGAGAAGAUGAUUGCUCAGCAAUUGAGUGUUACAUGGAAGAAUAUGGUGUAACAGCACAAGAGGCAUAUGAUGUGUUCAACAAGCAUGUUGAGAGUGCCUGGAAGGAUGUGAAUCAAGAGUUUAUGAAACCAACAGAAAUGCCAACAGAAGUUUUGAAUCGUAGCCUAAACCUUGCAAGAGUGAUGGAUGUACUUUACAGGGAAGGCGAUGGCUAUACAUAUGUUGGAAAAGCGGCUAAGGGUGGAAUAACUUCCUUGCUCAUUGAACCAAUCGCACUUUAAAAUUAUAUUAUUUUUUCCUCCAAAGGAAUAUUUACCAA